GUCAAUAAAGUCGACUUGCUCCCACCCGAACUUGCUGGUAAUGAAACCAAUAUUUCUUUAUUUCUCUACAUCAACUUCUUUUCCUUGGUCCUGAUAUUCUCUCUCCCUACCUACUUACAGAAACAUAAUCGAUAGCAUAUGCUUCUUUCCUCUCUUAAUACCACUGACUACUUUUUUCCAUUUUCUAUCGGCCCUCAUAAUUUUUCUAUUCUGGAUUCAAUUUAAUUCGGAAUUUCUUUUUGUCAUAUAAUGGAAUAUCAUAUGCCUUUCGCUACCUAUAUAUAUAUAUAUAUAUAUAUAUAUAUAUAUAUAUAUAUAUAUAUAUUCACUUAUCUUCCCAGCUUUUUAAAUAUUUCCCUAAAGAAUGUUAUUCAAAUUGUUAUAAAAUAAUAGCCUACUUUGCAUAUUUUUCUUAGUGUCAAUAUUUUUAAAAAGAUUGCUAUUCAUAAUAGAUUUCAGUUUCUUAAAUCUACGAAAGUAAGUUAACGGCAUGAAGUUAUAAUACAUUGAUAAAGUAUUAACCAAAAUAGGCAUGAAGAAUUUCGUAUGAUAAACGACCAUAUAUUAUAUGGAUAUAGCUAGAUUCUACACAAGUCAAAAUUUAAAAUAAGUUAUGAUAUAUACAUAUAUAUGUAUAUAUAUAUAUAUAUAUAUGUAUGUAGGUAUGCAUGUAUGUAUGUAUGCAUUUAUGUAUGUAUGUAUGUAUGUAUGUGUGUGAUUACGGGAAAAUCGAAUGUUAAAUGAUAUGGAAAGAAAUGAUAACAAUGAAUAAAACUUCCAAGAAUUUAAAAAAUUAAUUCUCCAAAUAUAUAUUGUGACCCGGACUUACUUCAUUCAAUCUAAUCCGCCAAAAUAUUCUUAUAUAAAUACAAUGGCUAAGAAAGAUACAGUGUUUCCGAGUCUACAAGAAAAAUAUAUUUUAAUAUUUUGUGGAUGGGAAAAAAAGGCUUGUUCAAUGUAAUGCGAGGGUGAAAAUCAAUAUAAAAUUUUCAGAUUAUAAAGCGAAAAAAUUGUCUGCUUCCUUUCAACAGGACAUUAACUACAAGGGCAAAGAAUGUGCAGCCAGGCGUUUACUAUACAUAUAUAUAUAUAUAUAUAUAUAUAUACGUAUAUGUGUGUGUGUCUGUGUCUGUGUGUGUGUGGGGGGUUACGUGUAUGUGUGAAAAAGUAUUGUAUGUCCUUUCAUUAUACUGAAAAGUUAUUCAUAAUGAAAAUACAAUUUUAAGCAAGAAAAAAUGAUAUAAACCACCAAUGUAAUUUGCAUAUUUUUUGAAGAGAGAUAAUUUCGGUGCGAAACCCGAUUCGUGUAGAGGCGUAGAGAGUUCGAUCUGAAGAUGUCAUUUCCUUUUGGCGAUCUUUUCAACAACUGGUUUAUUUAAACGAGAAAGCGCUUAUUUGUCAACUUGCGCUUGCUCAGCCUGAAAGGUAGAAUAAAUUCAGCGGGAAAAAUAUCUUAGAAACCAUGUUUCUAGCUGAUGGCACGGCUCUUUUGCUGCCUUUUCUUAGAGGUGCAAACAAUAAUUCCCUAUAAGUAUUUCUAGAAUUUAAAGAUUUUUAUGAAUUGGCUUCAAAUUUUGGCUCAAGGUCAUCGAUUUCGGGUUGGAGGUAAUUCAGUUAUAUCAACCCCAAUGUUCAACCUGUACUUAUUUGGUUCAUCUAAUUAACACAUUCAAUACAUGAUUGUUGGUCACGAGGGGCGUGCGCGCACGUAUGUAGUGUGUGUGUGUAUGUGUGUGUGUGUGUGUGUACAUGUGUGGAACUCCGAAGUUCUGAGGUCGAUUUAAUCGUCUAAACCUCUCUACCUAAAUAUGAGAUUUAUUGUGCAGAUGUGAGAUAUCACGGUUGAUAAAUCCACAUACAAUACUCCUCGUGGUAUUUAGUAUUUCUAUCGCUUACGUUCAGCCUCAAAUUUGCCUUUCAAGCAUCCUGCGUUAAUCAUAAAUGUAAUGGUUGUAUACUAGUGUCGUUAUGAUCCGAUGUGUUUUCCACUAAUAUUCUUAUUCUUUUAAGGCGGCGAACUGGCAGAAACGUUAGCACGCCGGGCAAAAUGCGUAGCCGUAUUUCGUCUGCCGUUAUGUUCUGAGUUCAAAUUCCGCCGAGAUCGACUUUGCCUUUCAUCCUUUCGGGGUCGAUUAAAUAAGUACCAGUUACGCUCUGGAGUCGAUAUAACCGACUUAAUCCGUUUGUCUGUCCUUGUUUGUCCCAUCUUUGUAUAGCGCCUUGUGGGCAGUAAAGAAAUAGGUAUUUUAUUUGUCUUUACGUUCUGAGUUCAAAUUCCGUCGAGGUCAACUUUGCCUUUCAUCCUUUCGGGGUCGAUAAAUUAAGUACCAGUAGCGUACUGGGGUCGAUCUAAUCGACUAGCCCCCUCACCCAAAAUUUCGUGCCUUGUGCCUAUCAUAGAAAAGAUUGUUCAUAUUCUUUUGUUUAUAUUACAAAUCAAUACCGAUAGCACUCAAGUUAAUUUUUGCGGUUUGAUGACAGUCGAAGAGUUUACUUUCUCAAGUUUCCAUGGUACGUUUCUAUAAAUAUGGACGGUGGCAGUAAUCUUGUGGGGGAGUUCAAUGGUAAAGAGAAACGAAAGCAAGAUGAGAUAAACCUUUUCAAAAUUGAUAUCCUGUCCGAGGAAAUUCAGUGAAUGACAAACUCAGCGGAGUACCAGAUACAAACCACCCUAUGAGAUUUUAGUUAUUCCUAUUUGCGUUCAGAAUUCAAAUUCUUCCUUACGUAUUUGCGUGGCAGAUGAAAUAUUUACUCGUUAUGUACUGAGAAAGUUUCAAUCACUACUCCAGAGCGAAACUUGUUGCUUUGAUAAAGUCGGUAGAGCAUCGGACAAACUUGCAGUAUUUUUUCUGGCUUUUUAAGUUCAAAGUUCAAACCUCAUUGAAGUCAAUAUUUUCAUUAAUCAUUUUUAAAUGAUGUGUUUACAUCGUUGUAAAUUGGCGGUUCGUUAAAAAGAAACCGACAGUAUAAAUGUUGAAUUUAAAGUAAAUAGUCAAGUCGAUUCUUACCACAAAACUAUUGAAAGCCAUGCCUCAGCAUGGCUGUAGUUUAAAAACCGAAACAAGUAAAACAAAAAUAUCUUAUUUCUAGUUAUGUAUACAAAGCCCAUACUACGAUAGAAAUGCGAUCCUUAGAUCAAUGUUUCAGUUCACAGAUAACGUUGCAUUGCACCAAACAAACACAACUCAAAUAUACGCAGAUUUUAGGUUUUGAAUAGAACAAUACAAAGAAUGGGAAAUGAUGAUGACGACGAUGACGACAACGACGACAGUUAAGAACGGCAAUAGAAAUAAAGAGGUUGAUUAAACGAUAAAGACAUCAACGAAGAAGAAGAUAAUAAUAAUGGAAACUACGAUAAAGAUAUCAACGUUAAAGAUCAUAGCGACGACGAUGAAGAGGGAGACAAAACAACUGAACAGAUGAAAGGUAAUGUUGAGUUCCGUGGAAUUUGAGCUCAGAACGUGAAGACGACCGAAAUGCAGCUCAGCAUUUUACCCGGCGUGCUAACGAUUCCGUCGGUUCGCCGAAUAAUAGAAUAGAGAAGGAACCCCUUUGGUCAUGAAACACCAUGGGAUUGAACCUAGAAAGUUUCCUUCUGAGGCACAAGCCCUGAAAGAUUGUUCAUGGAAGACCAGCAUUCGCCAACACAUACCAGCCUCCUCUCUCCACGCCACCAUUGUUAUCUAAGGGAAAGGUAAAGGUCAGUAUAGUUUGGCACCAGUGACGUCACUACUCAUUUCUACAGCUGGGUGAACUGGAGCAUCCCGAAAUAAAGUGGCUUGCUCAAGAAAAUUAAACACAGCCCGGUCCGGGAAUCGAACUCACAACCUCAUAAUUGCGAGCACGACACUCUAACCACUGAGCCAAAAUUAACAAUAAGAAAAAAAAGUAAUAGAAUUAUGCGAUCCCAGAAUCAAUGUGUUCGGAUACAAUGGUAUAUAUUCUCUCAUGUACAACGUUUAAAAUAUCAAUAACUACUUAGAUUUUCCGGUUGUGAAUGUAAAGCUCAUAUUACAACAGGAUUCAGUCCUUAGAUCAAGGUCAUAAUGCAUUGAUCUAAGGAUGUACCCCGCAUGAUUCACGCGAAGGAAACCCGUACUUAAUAACGUUACCACAACAACAAUAAUCCAAUGUUAGAAUGUGUCAAUGCACUCAAUCACUCGUUCAUUCAUUCACUCACUCACCUUGAUCUCAACCAAAGCUUCCAAUAAUAUAAUUAUGUUUAUUGAUCGAACCACAAACAUUGUUGUUUGUUAUGCUCUCACUCAACAGGUUAUAAAUCCCUAAUUAUUUUAACACACGAUUAGGUAUUCAUAUUACUUUACAGAAAUAAUUCACUAACAUUUACUUACAUUCUCUCCAAAUACAAAUUUCUUAAUGUAUCAAAAUAUUGCUGUUGUUUUUGUUGUAGUAGUUGUUGUUGUUAUUAUUAUUAUUAUUAUUAUUAUUAUUAUUAUUAGUAGUAGUAGUAGUAGUAGCAGUAGUAGUAGUAGUAGUAAGGCGGCGAGCUGGCAGAAUCGUUAGCACGCUGGGCAAAGUACUUAGCGGCAUUUCGUCCGUCUUUACGUUCUGAGUUCAAAAUCCGCCGAGGUCGACUUUGCCUUUCAUCCUUUCGGGUUCGAUAAAUUAAGUACCAGUGAAACACUGCGGGUUGAUGUAAUCGACUAAUCCCCUCCCCACAAAUUUCAGGCCUUUACCCUAUAGUAGAAAGGAUUAUUAUUAUUAUUAUUGAGCGAGAGAGCAGUUCAUGCCAUCAAAGUGACACUGGGGUAAAAUAUACGAAGCCCAAUAUACCCAUCAUGACUACCCGUCUGAUAAGGGUACACCAGGCACAUGCAUCACAACCAUAUGUGCGCGACAUGGUGAUCUCAUAUCAAGAUAAACAGCACAUGACCUUGCAGGUGGGGCCCAGUUAGAAAUUUUUUCAGGUUGAGUAGCCCAUCCCGCUCAAACGGUCCCUGAAUAAGGGUUGUUUAAGGAUGUUGAAAGAACCGCCCAUGUUUCCAGAGGUGAAUUAUUCAAACCCCAAAGAAUCCCUCUCAACACAUAGCUAUGAUGCUCCCCCACUACUUCUUCUCGUGAUCAGAGAUGCACAUAUCGUCAGCCACUAAGGGACAUGCUCAACUGAUUAUGGUCAAACAACUGACAAGCAAAUCUGUGGUAUUGAGCAGAAUAUUUGCUGUAGCCCAUCUUUUAUACCAAGACAAAACAAUGUACAUGAUAACACUUCCAAUCAGUUAAGAUCAGAAGCCAUGAGAGCCACUGCCUGGUACUGCAUCUAUUAUUAUUAUUAUUAUUAUUAUUAUUAUCAUUAUUAUUACUCAGUGAGAGAGCAGUGCAUGCCAUCAAAGUUACACUGGGGUAAAAUAUACGAAGCCCAGUAUACCCAUCAUGACUACCCGUCUGAUAAGGAUACACUAGGCACAUGCAUCACAACCAUAUGUGCGCGACAUGGUGAUCUCAUAUGAAGAUUAAUGGCGCAUGACCUUGCAGGUGGGGUCCAGUUGGAAUUUUCUUCUGGUUGAGUAGCCCAUCCCGCUCAAAAGGUCCCUGAAUAAGGAUUGUUUUAGGGCUGUUGAACGAAACACCCAUGUUUCCAAAGGCGAAUUAUCCAAACCCCAAAGAAUUCCUCUCAACGCAUGGCUAUGAUACUCCCCCACAACUUCUACUAGUUAUCAGAGAUGCACAUAUCGUCAGCCACUAAAGAACAUGCUAAAGCGAUUAUGGUCAAACAACUGACAAGCAAAUCUGUGGCACUGAGUAGAAUAUUUGCUGUUGCCGAGACAAAACUUACAUGAUAGCACUUCCAAUCAGUUAAGAUCAGAAACCAUGAGAGUCACUGCCUUGCUCUACAUCAGGGCAUAUAUCAUUAUUAUCAUUGUUGUUGUUGUUGUUGUUGAUGUUACCUUUGCACAGCUUCUAACGCUGGAGAUGUACUACAGUGUCAGCUGUUUACUACUAGUGAACUAAGGUCAAACCUCUUAUUUUUCGAGCACCUUCCGGAGUAUUCGAGCGGUUCCAACCAGUGCUGGUUUCUGCAAGUGCUCCACCCUUAUUGCAACCCCUAUUUGUUCCACAUACUUCUCGAGAUUUUUGCUCACUGUUCCGAGGGCUCCAACAAUUAUUGAUACUACUGCUACCUUUUUCAUCGACCACAACUGCUUAACUUCCCAAGCUAACCUGUCAUAUUUCUCGACUUUUCUUUCUUCCUUAUCGCAUACCUUAUUUUCAGCUGGGCAUGCUAUAUCUAUGAUCCAGCAUAAUUUGUUUUCUUUCUCAAUUAAAACUAUGUCCGGCUUCCUAUUCUCUAUCUCAUGGUCGCACAGAAUUAUAAAAUUCUAUAGGAUCUUUGCAUUUCUAUUUUCGACGAUGCCUACAGGUUUGUGGUCGUACAAAUUCUUUGCACUGUCAAGUCCAUACUUAUUUCAAAGUGUCCAAUGGACAAGCCUGGCUAUAUUGUCGUGGCGUCUCUUAUGUUCCUUCUUGGCUAGAGGCGUACAUUGGCUGGUAAUAUGCCUUACGAUUUCACCGUUUUGUUCACAGAUUCUACACUUGUCACUUUCUGAUGUGUUGUCUAUUCUGUAUUUUAUGUAAUUUGUUCUUAGUGCUUGUUCUUGGGUAGCACAGAUUAGAGCCUCCGUUUCCGGUUUUAAAUCAGUUUUAGUAAUCCACAGCUAUUUUUUUCUCUGUCUGUCUUAUGUUCAACAUCCUUAUGAAAUUAAUCAUGCAUUCUUUUCUUUACCCACCUAUUUUCAGUUUCAUUCGUUUUCAAUUUCUCUUAUUCCCCUCCCCCCACUUCCUUUUAAAACAACCCUAAUGUUGUUGUUCAGCCUCUCAUUAGCUUCGGCUCCCUUCAUGCCAACCUUUACUCACAGGUUUUCACUCUAUGCCUACAAUAUGUCCUUCGGCUGGGACUACAUUAUAUUGUGUGUCUACUAUUUUCAAACAAUCGGUUUUGAUCCGAAAGAAACUUUAGCUUCUAUUUCUAGUAAGUCACGCGAUUUCAUCAACUCGUUUGAACUUGCAGUGUGCAAGGGAUAAAACGGGCGUUUAAAGUUUGCGUAUGGAGAUCACAACGCAUGAUAAGCGCCACUUGUCUCAUAGAUUAAGUAUAACAAAGUUACAUUUCCACCACUAUUUUCUCAUUUAUACAUUUUCAUCGGUUAAUCUAUACAUAUAUAUAUAUAUAUAUAUAUAUAUAUAUAUAAACUAUAAUAAAUAUACUGAUUAAUGACCUAGGUGGUAAUGGACGCUGUUAUUAUUGGGACAAUCUGUCUUCUAUACAAAACGAAAAUGAUCUUAGAUGUGGGAUAGACUCUGCGUUAUAAUAGUCCGAUUCAAUAGAUUGCCGGCUUAUUAAAUGAGCGGUGAACAGUCAAGUUCCCUUAAAUGAAGCUGUGUAAUUAAACCAAGGCACUAUAUCUAUCUACCUAUAUGUCUAUCUCUCUGUCUAUCUAUCUAUCUAUCUAUCUAUCUAUCUAUCUAUCUAUCUAUCUAUCUAUCUAUCUAUCUAUCUAUCUAUCUAUCUAGUGGGUGCGCGUGUGUUUGUAUGUGUGUGUGCGUGAAUUGUCGACAAAAUAGGAUGUCCAAUGGUAGAACAUCUAUCAUGUUUACAAGAGAUGUGUGCCCGAUUCCUUUACAAGAGAUGUGUGCCCGAUUCCUUUACAAGAGAUGUGUGCCCGAUUCCUAUGGGCAGCCUUCGACUUUUUCGAUCCAAAAGAGUUUUUCAACUCAAUAUUUUCAUGUCAUUACUUGUAGCUCAUUGCUUGCUUUGAAAUCCAUUAGAAAAAAAGAAACAUAUUUGAGUGUGUUUGUGUGUGUGUGUGUGUGUGUGUGUGUGUGUGUGUGUGUGUGUGUGUGUGUGUGUGUUUGAGUGUAUGUUCAUAUUUCGCUAUGUUUAUAACUUGGCUAGUUUUUAUGUCACCAGCUGCUGUUGUAUAUACCUGUUAAGCUUUGCUAAAGUUUUCAUAUGUAUAUAUUGCCGUUGCAUCUACUCAAUUUCUGCUUUAUCGCAUUUAUACAACUCACAGAUUAACUCUAAAUGUUGUGCAUUUUUAGGGCAACUUUACACAUAUAAUUACAGUAAUUGAAAAAUACAAUGUUUCGGGCGUUUUCGAUAAAUGGUUUGUAUAAAUCCACUCAAUUCCAGAAUUAAUCGAUUCGUAAUGAAUCUGCUGAAGGCUAGGCAUGUUUGUGAGAGCCAUCAUGUUUUUAUUUUCAUUUGCCUGAAACAAAGUUCAUUGUCCAGGAAUAAUGAAUAUAUAGAAUAUAGAUAUAUUAUUUGAAUGCAUUUAUAACAUGAGUUGUCUUUGUGAUAUGUGCUGUUAGCUGUCAUUGCAUUAAUGCAAUACACCACCCACAGAUGUGCAACAUUCUCAUUUUGUUUUUUUUACUUACGCAUUCAGAUUACAUCCUAGUUGCAUCCAUAAAAUACGAGGUGCGUUCAAAAGGUAAUGACUUUAUUUUUUCCCAUUAAAAAUAGCGCCACGCAUGCAAAAUCUUUUGGGUAGAAGGUGACGCCACCCUUCCUGCUGUAGGUCGCGUCCGUUCCCGGUUGUUACACCGAGAAUACAGGCGUGCUGUGCGUGCUUGUUGGAUGUUCGUUUUCAUGCAAGAUGACCGAACGCAUCGAGCAGAGAUGCUGCGUUACGUUUUGCCAAAAGGUUGGUGAUACUCAAGUUCAAACCAUCCAGAUCAUACAGCAGGCUUUUAGUUUAGAUGCCACGGGCAAAACUCAGAUCAAGGAGUAGUACAAUAGCUUCAAACAUGGCUGCACCUCAGUGGAAAGUGAGGCAAGCUCAGGCAAGCUAUCCACCUGCCGAAAUAAAGAUCCAGUCGAGAAGGUUCGUCGAAUAGUCAUGGAAGACCGUGUGUAACAAUGCAGGAAGUUACCCAUGGAGUUUGAAUACGCACAUUCUAUUUUAACGAAGGUUUUGUGCAUGCAGAGAGUUUCGGCGAAAAAUCAAAGUUGUAUACUUUUUGAACACACCUCGUAAUUCAAGAUUCCCUGAUCAAGAACAACAUGCCACUUAUUUGACAGACUCCCGACUCUCCUGACUUGGCACCGCGUGACAUCUGGCCGCACCCCAAACUGAAAACCACGCUUAAGCCGCGAGAGGAAAUCAUGAGGAAAAGCGGCGAUGGCGGGGAUCCAUAGCAUUUCAGAGUAGACGUUCCAGAUGUGGUACAAAUAGUAACAGAACCGCUGGGAGAGGAGUGCGAACUCCCCAAGGAAGUAUUUUGGAGGUGAUUAGAUAACAUUUUUGAAAUGUACAAAAUUAUUAUUCUUUUUAUGCUCAAAAGCCGGAUACUUUUUGAAUGUACCUUUAUCUAUGUAUUUCUAUUAUGGUAAGCUGAGAAAACCAUUAUAAUGUCAAGAAAAUGCUGUACUUCAUUUGUGUCGGUUCCCUAAGUUCUGAGUACGAAAAACAACGAAGUCAACGUUUGUCUUUCAUUCCUCCGGACGCGUGAAGAGUCGUAGACCACACUCUCGAUUCGUUGCCUUUUGAUGGAGUGGUGCGUCCAAGUAGGGGCAGCUAAAGGGAGGCAGUGGCCCUAGCUCUUGGCUGGUACUAAUUUACAGCGGAGUGGACUGGAGCAACAAAAAAUGAAGACCUGCAUGAUCAUGGAAUUGAACGCUCGAUGUUGUCUUUCAUGUUUAUAUUUUACUUGCUUCAGUCAUUAGACUGCAGCUAUGCUGGAGCACCGCCUUGAAGGGAUUUUGCUUUAGUCGGACGAAAUGACCCCAGUGCUUAUUAUUCUUUGUGUGAAGCCGGAUAGUUAUUCUGAUAGUUAUACUUGAAAACAACUGUUUUCAAGUAGUUUUGGAGCAAAAUACAACGACACACACACCACACGCACACGCGCAACCUCUACUCAUACGCAUGCACACAGACAGGCACACACACACGCAUGCCCCUGCACAUACGCAUGUACACAUACAGGCACACACACAGGCACACACACACACGUACAUACACACACACACACACAUAUAUAUAUAUAUAUAUAUAUAUAUAUACAUACACACACAUAUAUACAUACAUAUAUACGACAAGCUUCUUUCAGUUUCCGUCUACCAAAUCUAUUUACAGGGCUUUGGUCGACACGAAGCUAUAGUAGAAAACAUUGACCAAAGUUUCAUGUAUUGGCACUGAACCCGGAAGCAUGUGGCUGGAAAGCAAGCUUCUUACAACACAUCCACGCCUGCGUCUAUGACACUUUACUAUAUAGAUGUGUUUGCGCGCGCGUGUGUGUGUGUGUGUAUUUCAUACAUGUGUUUCUGCAUUUUAUGAACAUGAAGGUCUUGUAGUUAACUGGUUGGGAUAACGAUUGUUGUUAGAUUGUGGGCUAAAUUUCUCACAACAAAAGCGCUAACAAACACAUACGAAAAUAUCCUUCCUAAAGGUUCGAAUCAGUCUGCUAUUCUAAGAAUAUUUUAAAUAGCUAAUAAUUUUUAAGAAAACCUUUCUUUAAAUAUUAUAUCUGAAUGAAGUAUUUUGUACAAAAUCUUUUAAAUACACACAUAUUCAAUGAAAAUGAGUAGUAUGAGACGAGAAUUCAGAGAAUCACACGGCUUUCACAGAAAGCACCUCUCACGGACUUGGCUUACAGUCGACACAGUAAUCCAGUAGAAACAAGAACACUCAGAGAGCGCAAACGUCCGUCAAGGCAAUACCAACAUCCUCUCAACGAUUAGCCAGAGAUGAUUUUUAAAAUGAGGACACCUGAAAUAAACUCGAGUGCUCUCACAAACGAAAAUACUAAAAACGAACCCGACCGUUCUCAAAAAUUAAGUUAAAAAACCGGAAAAAUAAUCCAGAAUCCUUGCCCGGUACCUGAUCGAUCUUAAUGAUUGCCAUGGAAUGUGAAGGUGACGGUAGGAAAUUUAGUAGCAGUAAUAAAUAGUUUAUCCUUAUCUAAUACAAGCCAACGUUAACAAAUUUUCCAUUCAAAAUAGUUACAGCCUAAAGGGAGAUAAUUGAGAAAGUCUUGGAAGUUAACGUAAGAUCAUAAUCACGUAAAGUAAAAUAAAUAUAACAAAUAAUCAAUAAUCCUUGUCCGGUACUGCAUCGAUCCCAAAAUCUAAUCAGUUCGUGCCAGUCACGAGGCCAAAUAUCCCUGAAAGUUUUAUCCGAAUCCAUCUAGCGGUUCUUGAAUUGUCUUGUUCACGGCAAACAAACAAACCAACAAGAAAAAAACAAAAAAACAGGACUAAAAACAAUACCUCUGCCUUCGCUAAGGUAGAGGUAAUAAAUGUAAUAUAGAGUGUCUUCGUAACUGAAAAUCAGAAAGAUCAGAUUAAUGAAAUUAUUUCAUGAGGAGUAAAAAAAAAGCCAUAAAGUAUGAGAGGUAAAUAUAUAUUUCUCUAACCACGUAAAUUCCAUAGGAUAGCGACCGUUGUACAACUUUUUUCAUUAUUUCAGUAUGGAACAAAUGAUGCGUAUUUAUUUACGUUAAUAUGUAUGCUCAGUAUUACAUAAUGCAAUUGUAUAUUUAAAAAUCAAUUCAAAUAAAGAAAUCUAACUCACCAGAUCACCAGAACAUCAUGGUUACACCAAUGCAUUAAUUAGUGAAUAUAAAAUUAUAUUUUAUAAAUCUGAGCAUCAUAUUAAUGCAAACACGUAUGCAUAACUUCUUGUAUACUGAAAUUAAUACUGCAAGACGAAAUCUGCGAAAGAGCUGUAAUCCUAUGGAAGUCACGUGUUUAAAUAAAUAUAUAUUCACUUCUCGUACUUCCUGAAUUUAUGGUUACAUACAUAUAUACAUACUUACAUAUUUGUUAGAAAAUUUUGUACGUUAUUAUUGGAGGAAAUAAGUUGUAGUUAAAUGUGGACCGCACUUGAGUGUAGUAUCUAAUCGAGGAUGAAGUAUUUUCUCAGUGAUACAUGUAAGCUUAAUCUAUGCAUUUUCAUCUUCAACUUCAUUUACCUCAUCAAAAUAGCAAGGAGCAUUUCCUGGAGAAUCAAUUUUUAAAAACUCAUACACACGCACAUACGUGAACAUACACGAGCAUACACUUAUAUAUGUCCAUGUUAUUAUCACGCUUUAUUUAAGGCGGCGAGCUAGCAGAACGUUAUCAUGCCGGGGAAAAUGCUUAGCAGUAUUUCACCCGUCCUUACAUUCCGAGUUCAAUCUCCGCCGAGAUCGACUUUGCUUUUCAUCCUUUAAUACAUUAAAUGCCAGUGAAAUACUGGCGUCGAUACAAUCGAUUAAUCUCCUUUAGUAGAAAAGAUUAUUACGCUUUAUUUCUAGAUUUCUUUCCAAUGUGGAUAGUGUCAGUUUCUAAACUAGAUCCAAGGCUGCUUCAUCAAAUUUUCAAUUGCAUUAUCAGUGUAGUUAUGCAUACUUAUAUGUAAGUGUGCAAGCAUUUGGAACCAGUGCAUGUACAAACCUGUAUGCUUUGUUUUAUAUAAGUUUUCUCAUACACAUAGUUGCACGUCCAAAUAUGUGCCUAUUUACUUAUAUGGAAAACAGUUGCAUUGAUGGCUUGUAUCUGUAAGUAAUCAAAUUAGCUUUCUUCUCUCUGGUUUUAAGACUAUUAAAUUCCUCAAGAUUGGUGCUAAGGCAAUUUGUUAUAUGCAUUAUUGUGCUUCAAUAAUUACGGAUAUGAAUCUAAACUUCAAAUCUGGGUGAUGUAGCUGUAAAUUUCUCAGUUGUUCAGCGUAGUUGUUUUCUUUUUCACUGAUCUUUAACUUUAUGUUGACAUUAACUGGAUAAGAUUAAUAUCUACAACUGUACACAAUUUCUACUCUAUGUCCCAAAUUACACAAAUCACAAUGUCUGUUCUAUGUAUAAUGGUCAUUGUUUCUAUGACACUGAUGAUGUUAUGUCUUUCGUCUCCAGAUUAUCCUUCGAACGGAUCUCAUUGUGCAGUGUAUUCGCCACAAUAUCAUCGGCAGAUAAAAAUGUGAUGACAUUUUCGGAAUAUCACAUCCCUGUGCUUCCCUGCAUCUUUAUACCUUUUGCACAUCAGGAAUGUAAUUGCUGUCUCCUGUUUCCGGCAUGUAUGUAUGCAUCUCUCUCUCUCUCUCUCUCUCUCUCUCUCUCUCUCUCUCUCUCUCUCUCUAUCUAUCUAUCUAUCUAUCUAUCUAUCUAUCUGUCUGUCUGUCUGUCUGUCUAUCUAUCUAUCUAUCUAUCUAUCUAUCUAUCUAUCUAUCUAUAUAUAUAUAUAUAUAUAUAUAUAUAUAUAUAUAUUGAUAUAUCGCUGUCUCUAUCUAUCUGUCUGUCUGUCUCUCUCCCUGUAAGUUUGAUCUACUAAUACUCUAAUACAUAAAUAUCUAUAUAUUUAUACUUAAAUAUUUAUCGUCUGGAAAUCUCCAGUCUUUGUUUUCUUUCUAUUUGCAUGUAUACACACACACACACAAACACACACACACACACACACACACACACACACACACACACAAACAUACACACAUACACACACACGCACACACACGCACACACAUACAUUAUAUAUCAAACCCAAGCUAUUACAUUUAAUUUGUUUAUCCGCAUAAUUUCUUCCAUAUCGUCUAACCUGGAUUCCUCUUAUUGCCACUCUUUACCAGGCCGAAUUGGUCACUCGUAAAGAGACCGGAGUCUAAGUUCGAAUUAUUUGAGCGCUACUAAGUAUUUCCUACAAUGAGAAUCUCUGGAUCCCAUCUGUAGACUAUAUAUAUAUAUAUAUAUAUAUAUAAAAUAUGAAUUAGAAUAUAUAUAUAUAUAUAUUUACAUACAUUAACAAACACACACACACGCACACGCGCACACACACACACACGCCCACAGAUAUAUACAUAUGAAUGUAUGUAUAUAUGAUGAACUGGGAAAUUCAUUACAGCGCCGAAUAGAAUACCGUGUUGUAUUCGUUCAGGCUGUUAGCGUUAUGAGCCCAAAUCGCGCGUAAGUUAACCUUAUUUCUCAUCCUUUCUGGGUCGAUUAAUAAAAUACGAAUCAAAUACUAAAGGCGUUUCUUUUCUCUUUAACUUCCUUUCAGUGUGUAUGUGCGGCGCGUGCGCGUGCGCGGGUGUCUUUUCUUGGGAAGAUUGGCCGUGGCCGAGCAUAUAGAGGGAUAAGCUUUGCCAGAUUUAAAACUGACCAAGACACACUAUGUAUCACCGUAGCUCCUAAAAAUCCACUGAUAAUUAGGAGUCCAAAACAAGACAAUAUAGCUUACGUACUUGUAGAUCACAUGCAUCAAAGAAGCUAUUAUAUACAAUUUUGUUUUAUGCCUUAUAACAAUUCACAAAGCCUCUCUGCGAUUGCUGUAAGAGAGGAAAGUAUUCUCAAGCUUGAAUGCUUGCAGAAGAGUGGACUCUGCUAAAGGCACCCAACGAGACAGUAGGACAGAGAUGAAGGAUCCCAUAUAUCUGUAACAGAAUGUAGGUGAUUUAUGAAGUGGAAGUAAUGGACAGGGGGUAAAUAUAAUGGAAUGCUGGACUACACCAAAUUUAAUGGAAUGUGGUGUCGGACAGAAAAAGAAAGAAAGAGGAAGGUUAGUGAUAGAGAGAGGAAAAGCGAUGGGGAGGGAAAGCUCUGUCUACAAGCCUUUUACUUGAGUAAUGUGGUUAGAAAUUUCCGAUCCAGUAAGGACCAGCUGGAGCAUAUAUUUUAGCAACAGAUUUUUGCGUUUGAGAUGUACAUGCAAUAUUUAUUUGUGCGCCUGCUCGCUGUAUGCACAAAUAUUCAAAUGCAUAAAGACAUACAAUUUAUUGGCAAAGAAACCAAUAGAUGCAUUUAUAUUAAUAUUCAUAAUUCGACGAUUUGUACUCAUACACACACACACAUACCCACACACAUUCACAUAGAUAGAAACGUAUGCAACAACACACACAGAUAAACGUGCAUAAAGCUACUUACAAGAAUGAAUAGCUUCUUUUUGCUAGUGGCAUAACAAUGUAUGUAUUAUGUUAUUUAAUCCCAGUUAAUACCUGACCAAGCAUAACUAUUACCAAAGUUGUCCCAUCUUUUUUUUCCUUUUCAAAGAAUUUAUAAACAAACCACAUUAUGCAGAGGAGUCUACUUUCAUUAAAUAUGUUCACUCUCAAAUAUUUCUCACUCUCUCUCUCAGUAUAUAUGUGUGUGUGUGUGUGUGUCUGCGUGAGCACAUACGUACGUACGUACAUAAUACAUACAUCCAUACAUUCAUGUAUGUAUGCAUGUGUAUGUGUGCGAGCAUGUGUGUGUAUGAAUUUUCUUAUAGUAUUUCUUGAAUAUUGCUGAAUGUGGCACUUGUCUGGAAAUACGAUCAGAGAAAAUUAGUUUCCUCAUAGUUUCUCAAGUUAGGUGUCAUAGUUCCGAAUCACAAUAGUACAACAGAGAAAUUUGCGGUGGCCUUAGGCAGAAUAUAUGAUAUUUCUUGAUAUCCACUAGACAUGGAAAUGAACGCGCGGCAAAAUGUAACCAAUAAUAUUUGCGAAGAUCUGAUGUAAGUUUUUUUUUCUUAGAUGUAGUGCAUCUGAACACUGUACACAAUUUCUCUCAUAUUAUAGAUAGAUAGAUAGAUAGAUAGAUAGAUAGAUAGAUAGAUAGAUAGAUAGAUAGAUAGAUAGAUAGAUAGAUGGGAAGGGUGGUGGUGUUUGUGUGUUUGUGCAUGCAUCUAUGUAUAUAGAAAUAAAUAUACAUCUGUACAUAUGCAUAUAUAUAUGUAUGAUAUAUAUAUAUAUAUAUAUAUAUAUAUAUAUAUAUAUAUAUAUAUAUAUAUAUAGAUAUAUGUCUGUGUGUCUGCGUGUGUGUAUACAUGCAUAGACAGACAGACAGACAGAUAGAUAGAUAGAUAGAUAGAUAGAUAGAUAGAUAGAUAGAUAUUUAGAUAGAUAGAUAGAUAGAUAGAUAGAUAGAUAGAUAGAUAGAUAGAUAGAUAGAUAGAUAGAUAGAUAGAUAGAUAGAUAGAUAGAUAGGUAGGUAGGUAGGUAGGUAGGUAGAUAAUAUAUGCCAUACAUACAUAUUUUUAUGCCGCAACAUAAAAUAUAUCAGGUCAUCCCAUAAGUUCUGUCCGAAUUUUGAAUAAAGAAAACAAGUGAUCAAAUGUUAUAUUUAAUUGAAAUUUGAUAAUCAACGUACUUUCCUUGAUUAUCUAUAACUCCCUUACAUCUAUUUACAAGUUUCUUAAUCCCAUAAAUGUAAAACUCUUUUGGUUUCAAAGCGAAGAACUCUGAAAUGUCAGUUUCGACCUCCCCCUGGCUUGCGAAAGUUAUGUCCCCCAAGUGAUUAUGUAAACAACAAAACAAAUGGUAGCCUGAAGGAGCAAGGACGGGAGAAUACGGUGGAUGAGGAAUUUUUUCCCAACCAAGCUCUUCGAUCUCCUGUGAUGUAAUCUUUGCAGUGUGGGGUUGCGCAUUGGCCUGAUGAAUCAUCACUCCUUUUCGAUUCACUAAAGUGAGUCUUUUUUCCUUCAAAGCUUGGUUCAAAUGCUCUAAUUGCUAACAGUAGACUUGAGCAUUGAUUGUUGCAUUAGGUGGUAAUAAUCCAAAGUGAAUUACCCCUUUGCAAUCCCACCAGAUAGAGAGCAGAAUAUUUUUCCCAUGAAGUUCCUUUCUCGGUUGUAGUCGAGUUUUUCCCUUUUACCAAGCCACUGUUUACGACAUUUAACAUUUCGAUAGAUCCAUUUUUCGUCACCAGUCACAACUCUAUCCAAAAAGGGUGAAAUGAGUUCGCGAGAAUGGAGAGAAGAGCAGAUGUCAACUCGGGAUUUGCGGUUACUUUCGGACAAUUCAUGAGGCACCCGUUUUCCAAGUUUAGGAACCUUUCCAAGUUGUUGAAGAUGAUGACGAAUAGUUGUAUGGUUUGAACUUUAUUGCCAAUUCUUCAAAUGAUAAUGCAGGAUUUUCUUCAAGUAAUGCCUCAAGGAGCUUAUCAUCAAACUCAACUGGAUGUCCUGUUUGAUCUUCAUCUUCAAGGCUGAAAUCUCCACUUCUGAAUUUUGCAAACCAUCUUCUUCAAAUUUUUUCAUCCAAGCAUUCUUUCCCAUAAACUGAAUGUAUGUUUCGAGUCGCUUCGGCUGCAGAGUUUCCUUUUUUGUACUCAUAAAGCAUUAUUUGCUUUAAAUGCUCUUUCGCUACUUCCAUGUUAGAAAGGGUUUUCAUCAAAGAAAUUUUAAUUCUAUUAUUCUUUAAAAUGAUAUUUAAUUAGUUUAAAUGUACACAAAUACAUAAAAAUAAUUUUUAAUUCCAUUAGACAUUCUAAAAUACUAUUGAAUUUCAUUCAAUUUUAGAAAAGGUAAAAUUGGACAGAACUUAUGGGACGACCUGAUAUUUUAUGUAGUGUAAAUUUAACUUUCGAUUUACAAAUGUAAUUUUCUGCGUAGUUUUAAAUGCUUUGUGCAUCAAAUAUAUUAUAGCACUCGCACGUAUUAGCUGCACACUCAUAUAUUGCAUACACGCAUGCAGGAAUACAUACAUAUGUAUGUGUUCAUACAUAAAUACAUAUAAAAUUAUUAAAACAUAUUUUGAAACAUAUUUUACAUAUUUUGAUCUUAUAUUCAUUGCUCUGUCUAAUACCGCUCCAUUUACUAACAAAUCAUUGCCAUUUAUACAACAAUAACUCCUAGUUAUAUUGCACAGUGAGAAGACCGUAAUCUUUAUUCAUAUCUUGUCAAUAUGAUAUUAUCUAUCGUAAUAAUUGAAAUGUAAGCCGCUUGUCCUGCCACGUCUGGUAAUAUUACACCAAGUAAAUGAUACAAUAAUCCUCUUUCAAUCCCAGUGAUGGAUUCUUAGCUGAAGGCCAUUCUUAUACAUUGUUUUCGCUGAUGGAUGUCUCCGAGCAGUAUUCAGUUGAGACGCCUUCUCAUAUAAACAGAUAAAAUUUACACGGAAAUCAUCAGUAGACCAAACGAUAAUGGCGAAUUGCAUUCUAAUAUAUUUCUCAUAAAUACAGAACCGUAGUAAUUCUUUCAUUCAAAAUGCAGUAUACAACCAACUGAAUAAAUAUAUAUAAGUCUUAACAUAUUAAAGCAAAUUUCAAAGUUUAUAUGUAUUUCAAAAUAGAUUAUUCCUAAUUCUUAAUAUAAGAAUUGCACGCUUAUACAUACAGAAUGCAAUACAAAUAGAGAGUUACAAUAAUUCAUAUAGUUUUAAGACACGCAAGCACACACACACACACACACACGCACACACGCACACACACGCACACACACACACACAGGUGCGCGUACGCGCACACUCACAAACACACACACAUGCACAUAUAUGUAUGUACGUAUUUAUGUAUGUAUAUGCAUAUUUUAUGUAUACGUAUAAGUAUACACACACACACAUAUAUGAAGGUAUGUAAUUAUAUAUAUAUAUGUGUGUGUGUCUAUGUGUGUAAGUAUACAUAUAUAUGGAUAGAUGAAUAUACACAUGCAGACAAUGCACACAAACACAGACGCAUGUAUACAUAUACAUUGCAACUGUUUUAUUAUUAUGCUAUCAUGUAUUAUGAAAUAUAUUGAUGCAUAUCACUUUAUCCGAUUUACAGAAAACUCCAAUAAUGGUUGUACAUAUAAGCACUGUCUAAGUCGACGGUUAUAGACAGAUGCUCAGUUAUUACUGAAAUACCUACACAGGAUUGAAACUGAUGUAGCUGAUUCCUCUUAUGUGUGUCUACAGAGAGUUGUUUAUAUCUAUUGUCUAUGUAAUUUCAAUUUAAUUUAUGUUCAUGGAAUUGGCUGAAAUCUCACAUUUCUUCUAUAGUACAUUUCUAUCAAGUUCGCAUUCUAUGCUGCACUGGGAGAACAUUUAUAAAAUUGAUUUGCCUCAAUCUGAUCUGAAUAGAGCAAAAAAAGAGAUAUCAAAAAUGUUUUAACGCUUAGAUGUAUGCAUGUUGUUUAUCAAAUGUGGUCUCGGAGGAUCGACAAAGGGAAAUGUUGCCUUUCACUAUGUAAAUUAGCCGCCCAGUGCUGCAGCAUGUAUUGUGAAGUUAUACUAUAUAUUAUACAUUUGAAAUAGUCCUAUUCAUAGAAACAAAUAAAUCAAAUUAAACAUAUAGCAAUGAUGGGUGAUGUACUAGAAGUAAUAUACCCAGAUCAGACAAUAUAUGAGGGGUGUUCAUUAAAGAUUUCCUCUGAAUCACUUCUGGUUAUUGCAGGAAACAGAACUUGUACAAGUAUAAUUAUGCAUUCCCUACGUCACAUUGCAAAAUGCAACUUUCCACAAGAAUUAGUUUGUCUUUUACGGCUGCUGAAGUGGACUAAGGUGUUAUAAUGGAGCAGUUGAAUGCACAUCUGUGAUCAGGUUCUUAUACUUGAAAGAGAUCCGGUUCUUACACUUCGAUGAGAUAAAAGACGUUUAUGGUGACGAUGCACCAUCAUACGACGUAAUCAAGCACUGGAAUCGCCAGCUCAAAUGUGGUCGGACAUCGGUGGAAACUGCUGCUAUUCAUGGACGACAACAUCCCGCCACUGAUGUCAACACAAUACAUAAAAUGGAAGUCGCCACUUUGGAGGAUCACCGCAUAACUAUUCGGCAACUAGCCCAAGAAGUGAAGAUAAGUGUAGGGUCCGUGGGAAAAAUCAUUUAUGACCAUUUGAACAUGCGGAAGUUGUCUGUGCGAUGGAUUCUCCGAAUGCUCACAGUUCAGAAACAAGAAUGAGUCAAUUGUUCCCAGGCUCUUUUGGCAAUAUGCCAAGUAAACGAAGUGAACUUUUACGUCAGACUUAUCACACAUGGGUCCAUCACUAUGAUCCUGAGACUAGAGUCCACUCGAUGCAAUGGAAACAUGGUAACUCACCACCUCCAAAGAAGGUUCGUGUCCAACCGUCAGCAGGCAAGUUGAUGUUCACAGUCUUCUGGGACCAGCACGGAGUAAUGAUGAUGGAUUUUCUGGCAAAGGGCACCACAAUUAACGGGGCAUGUUAUACUUCUCUGCUGCAGAAAUUUCGGCACGUCAUCAAAGCAGGGAGGCGUGGCACACUGUCCAAAGGAGUCCACCCCCUUCAAGACAACGCCCUAGUUCAUAAUGCGCAUGUAGCAUGGAUGUAAGCACACUCCCGAGGCUAUGAAAUCCUUUCUCAUCUCCCUUACUCUCUCGAUCUCGCACCAUCUGACUUCCACCUCUUUCCUACUAUGAAGUCCUUUUUGAAGGUGAAGUAUUUUCGGAUGAUGAUGAACUUAUUUCCGAGGUAAAGUCUUAGCUCCAGACGCAACCUACCGACUUCUACAGACGAGUUCUUCACAUCUGCAUAAAGCGAUAGGAGAAGUGUGUCACCAUUGGUGGAGGCUAUGUAGAGAAGGACUACUAAUUAUGCCAAGUUUCGUUCAUCCCAGUCCUUGGGAAGAGAGUCAGGUGAAUUCUUUAUUUAGCUCAGGUAGUUACACUUUUUUUAAAACAUUGUGCAACGGUAAUUUUGACUGACAUCAUUAUCAAGUGCACUUGUAUCUUAUUGAGGAUGAAAUUUUAAGUAGUCCAUUUCGUUGAACCAAAUUCAACGAGAAUAAUUCAAAUAUGUGUAUAUAUAAUAAUAUAACAAUAAGCUUUUUGUAUACUGUGUAUACACCACAACUAUUCGGAGACGGGUAAAAGUAGGGUGCAGAAACAAAAUACAAUGUCUUUCCCAGUAGUAUCACAAACGAUCUCUGGUUAUCCUCAUGAAGUUCAGUAAAACAUUACAAUAAUAGGAAAUAUAAUUAAUGUAUCAUUAGAACAAUGCUUAAUUAAUGAUUAUUUGUGCAAUAGGCACAAGGCCUGAAUUUUGCGGUGUGGGGACUAGUCGAGUACAUCGAUUCAAAUGUUUACCUGGUACUUAUUUUACCGACCCUGAAAGGAUGAAGGGCAAAGUGGAUCUCAGCGGAAUUUACACUCAGAAUGUAAAGACGGACGAACUGCCGCUAAGCAUUUUGUCCGGCAUGCUAACAAUUCUGAAAGCUUGUUGCCUUAUUCUUAACUAAAGAUAAGCUAACGAUGGUCAACAUUGUAGUUCUAAUAAUACAUUAGUGGAAGGCGGCAAGCGGGCAGAAUAUUGGGGAAACUGCUUAGCAGCAUUUCUCCAGACACUACGUUUUGACUUCUAAUUUCACGAAGGUAGACUUUGCCUUUCAUGCUUUUCGGUGUCGAUAAAAUAAUUACCACUUGAAUGUCGAUGGUAUCGAAUGUACUCCUCCUCUAAAACUGCUGAUCUCGUACCAAAUUUUGAAACCAAUAAUACAGCUUUAGUGGGCGAAAUAUAAAAAUUUCCCUGGAGAAAAGAUUAUAGCAAAUACGCUUUAUUAUAGACGCAGUUAUAGUACAUCUCACAUCGAAAUUGAUUAUUGUGUCCAUACAGUAAAAAAUCACCUCUCAUGUGUAACAGUGAGGUGAAAAUCGCUUAAUUACAUAUGGGAAACUAUCUGUUCCACCAAACAAUUAGCGGACAAAAACAUUGUUUCUAGAAACGUUUCAAAUCUGAAAACAAGAAAAGAAGGAAACUCCAAUAAAUUAAUUGAAAUUUUGUGAAAACAUAGAAAAUCCAAUGUUUAUGUCUACGUCUCAGAGCAAUUGCGAAUGUCUUUAUACAGUGAGGUGAAAAUCGCUAAAUUAAAAACGAGAAACUAUCUGUUCCACCAAACAAUUAGUGGACAAAAACACUGUCUAUAGAAACGUUUCAAAUUUGAAAACAAGAAGAGAAGAUGACUCCAAUAAAGCUAAUUGACAUUUUAUAAAAACAGAAAAUUCAAUGUAUAUGUCCAUAUCUAAGAUCAAUUUCCAGUAUUAUUAUUGGCCUCAUUAAAGUGGCAAGCUGGCAGGAUCGUUAGGACGCAUAAGGGAAAAAUGCAUAACGGUAUUUCGUCCGUCUUUACACUCUGAGUUCAAACUCCGCAAAUGUCGAUUUUGCAUUCCAUCCUUUUGAGGUUGAUAAAAUAAAUACCAGUCAUAUACUGGUGUCGAUAAAAUCGGCUUGCCCCCUCCCCUAAAAUUUCGGGCAGUAUGUCUAUAUUAGAAAGUAUUAUUAUUUUCUAUUAACGAAGACGGUGAGCUGGCAGAAUCGUUGGCACGUUGGACAAAAGUGCUUAGUGCAGUUAUUCCGGCUGAUUACAUUCUGAAUCCAAAUCCCGUCGAGGUUGAAAUUGCCAUUCACCCUUUCGGGGACGAUAAAUUAAGUACCUUUUCAACACGGGAGCCAAUAUAACCGAUUAGCUCUCGUCAAAAAUUUCUGACCUUGUACUUGUAGUAGAAAGCAUUGUUAUUAUUAAGGUGACGAGCUAGCUAAAUCAUCGACACGUCGAAAAAAUGCCUGGCGGCAUUUCUUCUGAUUUAUUAUGAUAUUCUGAGUUCAAAUUCUACCGAGUUCAACUUUGCGUUUCUUAUUUCGGGGCCGCUAAAAUAAAGGACUACUGAGUACUAGGGUCGACGUAAUAGACUUGUCCCCUCCCCUCAAAACUGCUAACCAUAUGCCAAAAAUAGAAAGACUUAUUUAUCUGUUUCUCAAUCACAAGCAGAGACACAUCUUUCUCUGUAAAUUUCUCCGUGGUACAUAAAUAUUAUAUAAAUAUGUUUCAUUGCUGUUGAUUUAUUUCAGUGGUAUUGUACUAGCUUUACUACCAUCUUGAACCAAAUCUACCUCGACAGAUCAGAUCUAUAAUCGAAAUCUUUCUAACCAUGAUUAUACUACUCACAUUUACUAGGCACAUUUACCACAACUACAACCACAUUAUACAAUGAUUUCGUUGUUUUUAAGAUGAUACGGUAUGAUUUGCAGGAGACUUCGACACUAAUUUUUGCAACUAGUCGAACGACUAUGUAGAAGAACAAUCGUUGGAUCGACUUCUCAGUUGUGUUUUAAUUUAUCAUCGACAUUAUGAGUCCUAUCUCAAUAUCUUCCAAAAUAUCUUUUAUCUUUGAGUCCUAUCUCAAUAUGUUCUUCCAACAUAUCUUUUAUCUUUUACUAGUUUCAGUCAGUGAGCUGAGACCAUGCUGGAACUCUGCCUGUAAGGGUUUUAGUCAAACAAUCCGAUUCCACAACUUAAUUUUUUUAAGUCUGGCACUUAUUCUAUCGAUCUCUUUUUUCAAACCGCUAAGCUAUGGGAUGUGAAGAAACCCACUCCGAUUGUCAAGCACUGGGAGGGCAUAAGGACAUUCAUACACACACACACACACACACACACACAAACACAUACACACACACACUCAUAUAACACCCCCCAUAUAUAUACAUAUAUAUAUGUAUAUAUAUGCACAUAUAUAUAUAUAUAUAUAUACAUAUAUAUAUAUAUGUGUGUGUGUGUGUGUGCGAUGGGCUUUCCGCCUACCAAAUUCACUCACAAGACAUUGGUCAGCAUGGGGAUAUCGUCUUUAUUACACAGCCAUAUGGAUAACUCGACAACAUAUCUAAGAAAUCUAAGAAAACACAGCGGUUUCCAUAAAAACUGUAUAAACUCGGAACGUCCUCUACCAACACCAUUGCACUAACUAGAACUUCCAUCCAACAAUCAAAAUCAUUGAUGUUAUUCCGCAGUGUAACAUUGUUUUAUUGAACAAGCUGGAAAGUUCCUCUUGUGGUAGAAUAACAUAAAAUAUAGCCAUAAUUUAUUGAUUAGGUCAUUGAAUCAGUGAUGCUGGUCAUAAUUUGGUUCAAAUAGGCAGAUAUCCGCUAGGCAUGAAUGCGUUCCACAAUAAUAAUUCGAACAGUCACUUUUUGUUGUUUGCGAACAAAACAAAAGAAUUUUAGUAAAUAUCUAAGAAAAUUCGUACGUAUUGUCGAGAAACUUACAGAAAUAAAAUUAACUUCCGAUCAUUUUGUUUGGAAGAACCAUCAUUAAAUUUUUUGAGUGAGUCAACAUCACAUCGUUUGAACACGCUUCUAUUGGGUCACUCAACUUGCUAGGAAUAGCAGCUAAAUUUCCUCAAAUUCACAGCCUACCGUCUUACAAUAGAGAGCGUAGUUCUAGAUAUACAAUAUAUAAAAAAAAGUAGAGAGAAAAUGAUCGGAAACUAGAGACAAUGAUUUUUGAAGAUUGUUAUUUCGUUAGUUGUUGGCGUUAUUAAUCUCACAUCAACUCUAAUCCAGCAAAUAUAUUAUCAAAAUCUUUCCAACCAUAACGAGUACGUCUUUGUUACACGUAAGCUCUACGACCAUGUACAUUAUCCAAUGUAAUCUACGCUUAUUUAAGACGAUGGAAUGUGAUUUGAGGGAACUUAGGCUAAUAUUUCACGAAGAUCGAGUGACCCGAUAGGGGAUAGAGUUCUAAAUUUACAUUUCAAACGAUUGAAAAGCAAAACAUUUUAUUGUUUUUAUAAACACCUUAUAUUUAUUACUUGUGGUUCCCACUGGCUAUGGCUUUUAAUGCGAGAUAGAUAACCAUCCCCUCACAAAACGAGGUUUGAUUUGAAUUUCGAAUUUGAAAUUAAGGAAUACAAGGAAGAUAAUGCAGAGAAUUCUUCUUUUUAUCUAUCACGAAGUUCUUAAAUUUUCUAGUCAGUGAUAAAUAUGUAUAACACGAUUUCAUUCACUUUAGAAAUCUUCAGCAUGGUUUAACCUGUAAAAGCCACUGAUGAGUACGGUAAGUUAUAAGUUGUGUUUCAUGAAACCUUUAGGUCCAGGUGUGCAAUCCUGUUUAUGUUAUAUAUGUGAGACAUAUAUUAGACACUACACACUUCUGACAUAAAUAUCUCAGGACAAAAUGCAGUAUAGACAGCUGUCACUCGCAUGCAUUUACUGUUUGGUAGCAUGUACAAUAAUUUGGAUAAUUGGUUUAGGUGUCUACGAAGUCGUGAGGAGGCAUAGAUACUCUCUCAGUUUUGUUUUCACUAGAUCCAGCGGAAUAUCUUGGGUGUAAAUGCUGGAGAGAGCGAGAGAACUGCACCAGCACUUGCAUCGUAAUCAUUGCAGCUCAGUUGACUGAAGCAAUGUAAAAUUAAGUAUCUUGCUCAAGGACAUGACCCGCUGCCUGAUCCAGGAAUUGAAUCCACAUUUUAUGGCCAUUAGUUUAAUACCCUAGGCAUUAGGCCACAAUCUUCCACAUAAGAGCGUCACCAACUGCUUAUCUGGAAGGAAGCGUUUUCCUGAUGCAUGGCUAGAUGAUUUUAUAAUAUCUAAGCCACUGCUUUAUCUGCGACUAAUUGUAAGAAUAUACGAAAUUGCUGGUACAGGAUUCGAGCGUAAUUUUUUUGAAAAUAAAAUUAUAGGCACAUUUGGUUCUUGAGGUUACAUCCCUAAAUUCCGUACACUGAAAACUGUUCUGCAAUUUUUUCUGGAUCCCUUUGUUUACCAAGCCUGUAGAAUGCUCAAAACAGUUAUCUGUACCAGUAGCCUUAUCGGACGAGACUAAGUAGACCAGAGUGCUCUUGAAAUUUUUCUAUCGUCAUUGAGCUUCACCAAGUCGUUGUUUACAGGAAUCUGUGAGAGUAUUUCUGUUGUGUUAUCACUGAUCAUUCAGAGUUCAACAUUGAUUUAGUGUGAUCGGUUGUUCAUCCCAUUAGUAUUUGAGAAUGAAUAAAAGACAACUACUGCAUGAAAAGCAAUAACGAAAUUGAUGCUAACAUAUUUAAGGCAUGGAACAUUAAGAACCUAAUUAAACAUAAUUAUACGAUGAGGAAUACAAGCUGUAUUAGACAAUGACUACAAUUAUUUUCUUUAUUUCUGCUGUAUCAUGGCCAGAAUUGUUUCCUGUACUUGCGUCAAAAAAUGGAAAUAUUGCUUUUCUGUUUGUUUUUUUUUCUUUCUUUUUACUGCAUGUUUAUUGCCAGUUUGAUUUUUAAUGUUCCCUGCAUUAGAUAUACUAGCACUAAUUUAAGUGUUAGUUAGUGGUAGUGAUGGUGGUGGUGGUACAACUUCUGAUUGAGUCAUGGAAACAUAGUUUCCAAUAGUUUUUUUUUUCAAAUUGAUUAUUCUAUGCUUCUAAAAAUGUCACGACUUUUUCAGUUAUGGCGCGGUAUUUGAGCUCAGAUCGCAAUAAAUGCUUACAUUGACUAAGAAGGUAUCCUACUCCAUGCUCUAAUAAUCAUGUCAAUCUACCGCUGUGGACUAGUACAUCUUUUGUAUCGAUUCCGAUUGGCUGAAAGUUUUCUUGAUUUCGGUGGGAUUUGAACUUACAGCUGAUAAACAUCGGAAAACCUCAAAGUGUUCUGUCCAGCUCUCUAACACCGCCACUAAUUUGCCGCCAUAAUUAGUAGAAUGUAUCAGCAAGUGACAUACGUGGAUUUGAUUUGCACUGGGAUAGAGAAGAUAAGUGCUGAUUUCUAAAAGAUUUUUAAUGUAAUAAGCGUUGCUUCAUUCAUUUAUUUAUUUUGCAGCAUAGUUUGAAAUUCUAGUAGCCUCAUCUAUUGCUGAGCAAACAGAUGUCUAGCAUUUUCAAAGCUUCAAGUAUGAUUGCAGAAAUUAUUAGAAUAUUGUUGAUCAGCCAUGUAAUCUCUAGAUUGUACAGAACAUAUUUAUUGAAGUUUUCUUUAUUUAAUAUUUAGUCGGAGAAAAGUGGCGAGCUGGCAGGAUCGUUAUCACAGCGGAAAAAUACUUAGCAGUAUUUCGUCCGUCCUCACGUUAUGGGUUCAAAUUCCACCGAGGUUGACUUUGCCAUUUAUUCCUUUCGGGGUCGAUAAAAUAAGCACUAAUUGAGCACUGGGAUCCAUGUAAUCAACAUAGCCCCUUCUCCAAAAUUGCUGAUCUUGUGCCAAAGUUUGAAACUAAUAUAAGUAUGUGUGUGCAUGUGUAUGUGUGUAGGAGUUUAAGUAUGCAUGGGUAGGUAAAGUUGGAUGUGUGUAUGAAUAGUUGUAUUAGAUCUUAGUCUUGUUUAUUAAAGAUUUUUUGCUAUUUGUUUUUUUUUUAUAUUUCUGGUUCUUCGUUUUGAAGAGUAACAUUCUUGAAUACAUUAAUAUCUAUUGAUAAUUUCGACCACAUCAACAGAAUGAAAGCAUAGUAGUAGCGUCUUAUAUUAACCAGCGAAGGAACAUGGAAAUAAUGCCGUAACUGAUCAAAUCGUCGCCACCGUAUUGAAAAUUACUUAACGGUUAAUAACUGGUUAUUUUUGUAGUUUGUUACACGUUCGGUGUGCAAGUAUGCAUAUUGAUUUUGGGUUAAUAUUUUGCUAUGAAGGAAAUUUCAUACCUAAUCUUCUAGUUUUGAGGAUGGUAGUGUUAUCAGCAAAUGUUUUUCUAACCGAUUUUGUUCGUUCUCGGUAUAAUAAUGUGCUGCAAAAACUUCUUUUUACAAAUCAUGGUCAAACGAUAGGAACAUAACAUGCGUGGUAAGGCCGAGUAAGUCUUAAAGCGUUAAUGGACUUUGGAACUUUAUUGCUCCGAAAUGAACAUAAAGCAGUGAUAAGGAAAUAUGAAAGAUUUUCCAUAAGCUUACAUUCACUCGUUCACACAUAAAUAUAUAUAUAUAUACAAGCAUACACACGCACACACACACACACACACACACAUAUUCAUAUACGGUUAUAUAAACACAUAUUUAGGUAUCUACAAAUAUGUAUGCUUAUAUAUAUUCAUAUAUUCAUAAACAGACGUUUAUGCGUUGGGGGAGGGGGAGUGUGUGUGAGUGUGUGUGUGUGUGUGUGUGUGUGUGUGUGUGUGUGUGUGUGUGUGUGUUUAACAUUAUGUUCGUGUGCAUUGUUAGUCUACAUCUGAGUAUAUAACAAUUAUUAUUUAAUCGAGCGCUCAAAGGUAAUUGUUUAAAUUCAUUUCGGUGAAAUUUCAGUACAGACUUUAAAUACAGAAUUUCUAAUCAUUGGACAAUGUUGAUUACCAUAAUCACCAAUUGAAAUUACUGUAUUGUAGACGUGUAGUAUGACUACCGCAAGUUAUCUAAAUUAUUGCUACAGGCAAAAACUCCAGUUAAGAAACAUUACCGCAAACGUUUUUUCAAAUAGCUACGAAGAGGCAUCUUAAUUAAAGAACGCAAUAAAAUUUAAUAAGUUUCUUAUCUCUUGUAAUUAUGAAUCUGAUAGAAUAUCAUUUUGUGUAUUAUCGCAAGCUCAAUUUUGCAAGAUCGGGCAAAUAGAUAUAGAGUCAAUAUAUGUCUUAAAGACAAACUUAUUUUAUGUAACUAUUAAGGGAUCAAAGGGCAGAAUGAACUUCAAAAUUAUCACUGAUGAGUUUAUAUCAGGUCCGAAACCUGUAGGCACUCAUUCCACAUACUUGCAGGAAUAACAUUAAUUAUAUAAAUUAUGAAAUGAUAUCCUUUUUUCUCACGAUUUAUUUAUUUCUAGUAGUUAAAUGUUCUCAACAUAAAAUAUAUUAACACUAACGUAAUUUUAAAACUGUUUUGUGAUCCUUUAAGUAACAUUACCCAAACAAGUUUACGGUAUUUUUCUGUAUGUGACAUCUGUAACAUUAUAGCAGAAAUAAGAAGUGUUUUUCUCUCUUAAUAUUCAGGUAUAGUUGUUGUUACUUUUGAUGUCAUUUAACUCUAUUUACCUCGAUGUUUUGAUCAAAAUAUAUGCAGUGAAUCUAGGUCUAUAUAUUCGCAUAUGCCCAUAGUUUGUUAAGGUUGCAAGACAUGAUUUAAAGGAGAUUUAUCUCCUAUUUCUUGCAUUUCAAAUGAUGAAGUAAAUAUUUCUUGAUAUGCUCAUCGGAUUAUAGUUUAUUGAUAGCAGCUUGUUACUAUAUGGAAUAAUCCGUUUUAGCUAACUACUCUAAACAUUCAUCAUCAAUGUUCUUUGAAUCACCAGUGUUUCACUGUUGAGGGCUGACAUCUUUAUGUAGGGAAUGAUAGAGUUGUACAUCGUAUAUGUUCUGUCAGCACUUCAUGCACCAGAAAGAAAUUCUCUCCUUGAGAUCUGUGUAUUUACAGUGAAGUGUAUUCGGCCGUUGAGAGUUUAACGUUUUUUGUUUCAAAGUGAGGCUACAGUUGGCUACAGUUGGCAAACUGCUGAUAAGUAUAGAAUAAAUGAGGAAGGAUUACUCAGUAGUGCCUGCUGCAUGAAAACCAAACAAUAAACCCUGUAUUAAUAUGCUUGAUGUAAUCAAUCACUCAAUUUUAAUUUAUGUUAAACCCGUAGUUGUGAGGAUAAUCAUUAGUAUAAUGAUAAUUCUGAUAAGACAGAGAAGACAACUCUGAAAUUAUUAUAUAAAUACAUCGCAAGCAGAGGCAGAAGUGAGUCGGUAAAGUCUGUAGUCGGGCUGAACUCUUUUGGCACAACUAUCUGCAGCUCAUAUGAACAUUACUGUUUCGAGCCCUAAGUCUCGUUACCCGGUUUCCAUGGCGUGUAAAUAACUGAGAUCACAAACUUCCCUCAUGGAUAGAACAGCAAUCCGUCGUAGAGUUAUAUAUUUAUACCUGAAUGGAUAGGAGCAACAUGAAAUGUUUUGCUGAAGAACACCACGCACAGCCUCAUACGUGCAGGAACGAAUUUGUUUAAAGACUGUAAGCUCAGGUUCAAUAUUUUUUACAAAGAAGGUGGAUUUUUUCAAUCUUAGUAUGAAAUACAGGUAUAAUAGUAAUUGUUGUUACAUUUAUACAUCGGUUAAAUCAGAUAAAUCUAAUAAAUGGAAAUGUAAUGUUGUAAAUCAGUCCAAAAAUGUUCCUACGCUGGUUCGUUUUGACGAUGAAAUUUUUAGUAGGUGCACUGUUCUCGAGCCUCUGCACAGACUGGUCCUGGAAUCAAACCCUCAAUUUUGCGUGCUGUAUACUAACCGCUAGGCCAUGCACCUUCACACAGCAGCUCGUAACACUGCUUAAAAUAAUCUACUUAUUGCUAUCUCAAGCAAUCUUCCCUACAGAAUAUAAUUCUAGCUCUCUCAUUCUUAUCUCUAUGAAUACCAACAAAAAUUCAAGGUUCUUAUCCACUCACAAACAGCUACAAUGACGUCGUAACAAAAUCUCGAUCUGAUAAAAAUAUAUCGAAAUACAAUCUAUAUCGGAAAUAUUUGCUUUGUGUAACCUAUAUCCGUAACCUUUCAACUAGUGUGGGUAUUGAUUCUAAAGUUUGGUCUCUGAUAUUUUAAAGGAUUAACUCCAUAUCAAAUCAAUCAUGAUAAUCUGAUAUAUUUUUGCUUCCCAAAACAUCUUCGGAGGAUUUUAUUUUCUGAUUUUUCUUUUUCUGCUUCGCAUUCGGUUGCUAUUUUAAGUGCUACAAUUCCUUAUUUCUUUUUUUCCUUUUUCUUUCAAUGAUAAAACUGAAGCUAUUUAGCUUAGCAUAAUAACAAGAUAGUUCUUUGUUUUACCAUUGACCUAAGAAUACCGUUCACCUGCCUCAUUUAUUAUUAUUUUCUCACAAUAAACUUUUGUAAUUGAUAGUGGAUAUAGUGGACCGAAUUAAAAUUUAUGUGUAUAGUAUCUUACUGUUUAUGUCGACGAUCUAAGAGGUAGUUCGCAGUGAUAGAAUAAAUCGGUUGUUUAUAUUAGUUAUGGUAGAGCUUCUUAAUCAUCUUAUCGGGUUUGUUUAACUAACAAAAAAUUUCAAAAAUUUCUAUGAAUGCUCUGUUUGCUUUAAAUUUGGUUUCGUUUAUCGGUCAAACUUCAUUAGCUUUCUUCAAAAUAGAAACGCUCGUUUUCUCGAAGCUGGCCACCUUUAUUAUCUGCUGUUGUUGGAUAUUUUCAUACAACACACACAAAAAAAAGGUUGUAAGCAUUGUCAAAAUCACCACUAAUAUUCAUUUCUUAUCAUUGUAUACAGGCAUAAAUCAAUCGACCAAAAACUAAAGAUAUAUGCUAUUUUGUCAAAUAUUUUGAAAAUAAACAUUGGGUUUGAACCACUCAUCAUAACUCUAUGUCGUGUAUAUUUUCUGUAAAUAUGCAGACGUGGUUGUGUGAUAACAAGUUUUCUUCCCAAACACAUGGUUCCGAGCUCAGUCACACUGUGGGACGCCUUAGGUAAGUGUUUUCUACUGAAUUAAGCCUGUCGUGUAUGUAUGUAUGUAUUUAUAUAUGUAUAUAUAUAUAUAUACAAUAAUAUGUUACAUUACUCAAUAGUCAAGAUAAAACUCUGAGUUUCAGAUGCCGAAGUGGGAAUCCACGACAUCUCUUCGGUUAUCUGGCUAUUUGAAAACAAUAUAUAUAUAUAUAUAUAUAUAUAUAUAUAUAUAUAUAUAUAUAUAUAUAUAUAUAUAUAUAGGUGCAGGAGAGGUUGUGUGAUAAGAAGCUUACUUCCCAACGACAAAGUUUCGGAUUCAUUCCCACUGUGUGGGGCUAACACCCUUUAAUGCAGUGUUCCAGUAUGGGUGCAGUCAAAUGAGUGAAAUAUGUAAAAGAAUAAAAAUUAAAAAUAUAUAUAUAUAUAUAUAUAUAUAUAUAUGUAUAUGCAUAUAUGUGUGUAUGUAUAUAUAUAUAUAUAUAUAUAUAUAUAUGUGUGUGUGUGUGUGUGUGUGUGUGUGGGAGUGUUUGUUCACGACCACCACUUGAAAACUAAUAUUCUUCAUUUGGUACCGCAGCAUUGCACUUUUUAAUUACUGAGACAAGUCAAAGACAUCCUACUUUGGAAGAGAUAAGGAUGUAUGAAAUGGAGUGCCACCGUAGUUCUUCCAACUCCUAAAUACUUUAUGAACUCUGGAGUAUCUUAAGCGGCAGCAUUCUUCAUUCUGCACAUUCGAAGAUACAUAUUCUAAGAAGCAUUCUUUUCUGUACAUAAAUUACCUAAAUGACGUACUCGUUGUUACACCUCUCUAUACAAUAACACACAUCAAUCUUCCUUAAGAACACAUAUACAUAAGUAUUUCACUAGUAACUUAAGCACUUCACUCUAAAAUCAAGAUUACUUCCAUACAGAGAGAUAUUGGAUACAUUCUUCAACGCACUCAUGAUUCUAUAUUUAUUAAGACUUAAUAAGAAAGACAAAAAUAGAAUUGUUUACAAACUAGUGAUUUACAUGUGAAUAAUGAGAACGGGGAUUAACAAAUAUUAUAUUAUUACUGAAUAAAAUAUAAUUGAUUGUUUCUGUUUUGAAAUAAGAUGGUUGUGUUUAUUUUGCUAGAUGGAUGUGGAUUGUUAAGUUAUCUGUAUAAGUUUCAUGAAAACUUUAGGGAUGUUUAUUUUCUUUUAAGUGAGUUUAUCUUAAGAAUAAUUUUUAAAAGGGAUUGUGAGUAGAGUUUUAUUCAGUAAUAUUUUGUUCUACCAGAUAUUUUUUGACAACCUCCAGAGGAAACAAAGAUUUACGUAGAAAGCUAAGACAAAAACAUUUAUCAUAGAAUUUGAUCGUUACAUGCGUAAACAUGUCUCAAAACUUUAAAAUCCGUGUAUUACUUUUGAGAUAGAAUCAGUAAGUCCACAAUUCUGUGUAUGCGUGUUUUUCCCCCCUCUCUCUCUCUUUCACUCAAAACUAGUUUCAUGGCUAUCCGUUCCUCCACGAAUUCAGACAAAAUAGUAACAUGGUUUAAAUGAAAACUAAUAAAAAUUAUAAGUUUGAGAUUUGUUUCCCAAUAAAAGUUUAGAUAGGGCUGGCACUAUACCUUAAACAAAAUAGGAGCACAUGUCUGGGAGCAUCACACAAAAACUCUGAAGAACUUAGACAAAAUUUCUUAAUCCUGCUAAAAACACGAAAACUCGGUAAAUACAGAGGACACAUAUGGGUAUUCCCAGAACUGAGGAAUAUUGAGGACAGGGAUGGAGUGUGGCGGUUUAGGUGAGGGACAUAAAUGCAGAAUAUAUAUGCAAAUAUUAACUUCUACAAAGGAAUAUUUCUCAAUGACAUCAAAGUUUCGGAUUUCUUGUGGCCAUCAAUCUUAUGACAGCGAACAAGCCAAAACUUCGAAGUCGCUACCUUUACUUUGUAAAAGUAAAUAAAUAUGGAAUCUUCUAAGAUGUAUUGAGUAAUUCUUCAUUUUAAUAUGAAAUUGUGUUCAUAUAUAACUUUACAUACAAAGAAACAUUAAUAUAUAUGUGUGUGUGUGCGUGUUUAUGAGUGUGUGUGUGUGUGUGUGUGUGUGUGUGUGCGUGCGUGUGUGUGUGUGUGUGUGUGUGUGUGUGUACAUACAAGCCCAUAUGUGGUUAUAUUAUGUUUGAAGGGCCUGGUAUUUUGCCAAUCUACUUAUUUCAAUCUGCAACGAAAAGCUGUUCCAGUCAUAAAAUUGUUGCCAUAUUUAAACUUAGAAAGUAAAUACAAAAAUCCAUUUCCUAAGUUGGUUUCAUGCCAUUACUGUCAAUGUCACACUGCCACAAUGACGUCAUCGCACUCUGGUACACUCUUUUUAUAGCGAUUCGUGUCAGCAUUGCAUGUGUGUGUUUGUAUGUUGAAAUGUCUGACACAUGUGUAAAUACAUUUAUGUACACGUGUAUGUGCUGGAAUACAUUUUAUUUAUACAGAUUAUAAGAAGUCAUAUUGAGAUUUAAUUGAUAUCCGAAAACAAAAAUCAGUUUGAUACAUUUGAAAUCCAUUGAGUUCGUGUGUUUCUAUUUCUAAUACAUUCGUUUUUCUUUCGUAACUUGAACACGUGAUCUGAAUAGUGACAUGACGUCACUUUUUAUUGAAAGAUUGAUAUGUAUGAAACAAGACAUUGUUUCUUCAUAUAAUACUAGAUUUAAUGUAAUGAUCGAAAGAGAUAGUGGAUAGAUAGAGAAUAUAUGGAAUAAUGCCGGUAUGGGAGCGGGAGGUUCAUUUUUCAGCAAGAUUAAUCAAUGCAUGUGUUUAAUACAGUAGAUGUAUUUAUUUAUAGAAAACGGCCCAACAGAGGGCUCAAUCAUUUAAUCUGUGGCUUACACUACAAUGUUGAAAAUUACUUUAAUCUCCAUACGCACAAAACGUUAUCCCCACCAAAUAUUGUUCCCGCAUGAUGUAUUUCGCCAUAAUAUCUUAUUCUUUCUGCGUAUACCUAUCAUAUACUUUCUUUCAAACUAUCGUGGAGUUUGAAGGGAAUUAUAGAUGUCUCGCAUCCUUUGCACUAUUUACUCUAUUUGCUAGAAAAAUCCUCAAUUCACUACUCCCUAUCAAACAAACACCUAUUUACUGCCAAUAUUUUUCCAUUCCUUCAUCCUUUCGUCUUGAUGAUGAUCAUUUGCACGAAAUAUCGAUCUCCUUCUUCGUCCAAAAUGACUACUAUAUUAAUUUUGCAAGUUUUCCAUUGUGUCAUUUUGUAUUACUCGAUCCUAACUCCAUAUGAUUUAACUAGAUAUCAUUACUGCACACGAGAUUCUCGACUUAAGCGCAACUAAUUAAUUAGGUGUAAUUAAUUACAACACGAUAGUAUUAGUGGUAGCUGUCAAAAUAGCGACACAAAGUAAAGUUGAUCAGUAUGUUGUUAGCGUGUAAUUUGAAGAUCAAAUGCUAUUUCGUAUUGCCUGGACAGGAUGGUAUAUGCCGAGUCUUCAUUUGUAUACUCUAAAUAAGUAGAUGAUACCGGUUGUAGACAUGCUUCAGUGAUGUAUUUAUUAAUACGAUAUCUCUCUCCACACACACAUACACACAUAUGUAAGAGAAACUGUGCACAGUUGUGGAAAUUAGCUGCCCAGUGGAUGUUAACAUAAAGCUGAAGAUCAGUAAAAAAGAGAACACCUAUGCUGAUCUAUUGAGAGAUUUGCAGUUACUCUAUCCGGAUUACAAGUUCAGGUUUAUAUCUGUAAUUAUUGGGGCCCUGGGAUGUGUGGCACACUGCCUAAAUCUCAAUCUUGAGAAACUAGGAUUCUCAGAACCAGAAAAGAGAAAGCUAAUUCGAAGACUACAGAUCUAAUCCAUCACUGGAACUGUAAAAAUCUGUACAAAUUUCCAGAAGUUUAUCAUUUAGAUAUAUAUGAGCAUGUCUAGAUAUGCAACUAUAUGCAUGAGAAUACAUACAUAAAACAUACAAAUCUGCACUUAUAUAUAUGUAGUGGUCGAGGUAGCUGAGUAAUUGAAUGAUCUUCCUUGCACGAAAGAUUACAGAGUAACCUCCAUUUUCUAAGUUCCUCGAAGGAUCUGUGUUAUGAGACUGGAAGUUUCAAGAAUGUCUAGCGUUCCAUUAAUAAAAACAGCUUGCUAAGCCAGCUGUUCACUUCUUAGUCGAUUAGACUUAGAGCCAUUCACGUCAUUGCUAUAUCCGUCUAUUUCUCUACGCCACAUGACUGAAAACCACCACUUAGCUGUUAUUUCUACAUUUUCUAUCUCUGAAAUUUCUUGCAUAGAGUACUUCAUGCAACUAGAUUCUACAUUUUGAUUCUAUGUAUUAUCAUCCACUAGUAAAUAAAAUAUAUUUUUAUGUAGUAAAUACAUAGAUAUUGAAUUUAUUAUUCAGGGAUACACGUUUUUAUUAACCUCUAUCGACAAUUUCUGCGACCACAUCACCCUAACAUCUGGUCACCUAACACCCCAGACUGCAACCUCAUUGAUUAUUAUAUGUGGGGCGCAGUUGAGCGAGAGGUCAACAAAGCUCAUUGUAAUACCAAAGACGUAUGAAGGCAAACAUGAUGGCAGCAUUCACCAACUUAAAAAGGAGAUCGCCUAGAACAGUUGCAGGAGAUUCCGAAGUCCUAUAGAGGCCAUAGUUGAAGCCAAUAGCGAUUUUAUUGAACAAAUUUACUCUUUGGUAUUUCAAGAUAUUUUUAUGUAACUUUGGUAAAUGUAUCUGUUGAAAUGAGAUGUCGGGGUCAUUCUCAGUUUUGCGUAAUUUCGACGACAAUUUAUUCACCGCACCCUGUAUGUAUGGCAGACAAACAUACAAAUAGACAGACAGACAGAGAUACUGACAGAGAGAGACAGACAGACAGUCAGACAGCGGGGAGAGAGAGAAAGAGAGAAAAAGACAGACAGAUAGAUAGAAUGAUAGAUAGAUAGAUAGAUAGAUAGAUAGAUAGAUAGAUAGAUAGAUAGACAGACAAACAGACAGACAUACGUACAUAUAUACAUUCAUACAUAUAUACACACAUACAUAUAUACUCACAUACACAUACAUGUACACAUACAUAUGUUCUCGUGUUUGUUUAUAUCCAUAGACUUAAAAGUGUGUAUGUGUAUGUAUGCUUGUAUGUGCGUAUGUUUUUGGAUAUUUGUAAGACAUGCUUAAAUCUUUGUACGUUAUCGUGACUUGUAUCGAAGAUUGCUUACAUACAGAUGACAGUACCGGUGUGGCCUUAAGAAUAAGAAACGCGUGUUUAAUAUUAAGUCUACAGUACAGACUGAACUAAAGAUUUUACCAAAGUAUUUUGUUGAGAAACAUAUUUUUCUUUAUUUGUUUGAAGUAGUAUUGUAACAGUGAGACAGCAGCAGACAGAAAGCAAUUAUGUAUAUCUGACCAUUUCGAGUUUUCUGUCUACUUACUUUACUCUCCGUCUUGAAAGUGACACAUGGAACGAAAUAAGAAAAUAAGUACGAGAUAUCGCUAUUAUUAAAGUACAAUAAUUUUAAAAUGUGAGCUAAGAGAAAAUAAUUUAAGCUCACAUAAGACAUGAAUUCAGAUGAUUCAGGUAAGUAAUGAUGUGCUGAAUGGCAAACUUUAAUGAAUUAUCUCCGGAAUCGUUUAAUGAUAUUAUGAGAUAUGAGAUGUUAACUAUUCAAUUGUCGCUUUAGAGUAUCCGAUCAUUUUCACUAUUUCAUCUGACGCAGAUGAGCAGUAACAAAGAUAUUGCUAUUUUCAACGGAUAUAAUUUUUUUUUUUUUGUGGGUGAGAGAAUAGUACAGUGCAAUGACUAUUUUCAGAGAGUCCGAGACUGGAAGAAGGUAGGAGGGAAGAAAGUUAUCCGCAAAUUGAAAACAGAACUAGAAUGGUUGGGACAAAAUGGACACCACCGAAAAUCCAGAUGGAGAUGAUAAACCGAACAAAAGACUGAGUCUAGCACCCAAAACAGGAAUGAUCUCAAUAGACGACGUUCACAGUCUCAGUCGAAUAAAUUUCACAUAAUAAGGAUACUAUAAAGGUCCCGCCUAUUAUAAUGUCAUAUUGUAUUUGUGAGAUUGAUGGAGGUUUAUGAACGUUUGCCAGACCCUCUGAGUUGAAAGCACGAUUAACUAUAGAGUUGUAGGUUACAGAUCUUGUAAGGAAAGAGCAUUACUUAAUUAUAUGUAUCUAGGUGUACAGCAAAAAUAAUACAGGAGAAUGAAACACUGUCACAUUUUUAUAUUGAAUGCAAAUAAGCAUAUUAGAGGAAUUUUACAAACAGGUAAAACCAAAGAGUUGGAUUGAAUUACUUAUCUGAAGUUACAUAAUAUGUAUAUACAAUUUCUAUAGGUACAUCCAUUAUAUAAUUGCAAUGCAUCCAGAUCUUUCUAUAAGUCUAAUAUAUAUAUAUAUAUAUAUAUAUAUAUAUAUAUAUAUAUAGGUGUCUGUGUGUGUGUGUAUUCUCUCUGCAAUUUGAUCUGCAUUGGGUAAAACCGACCACCGUCUGUCCAGUACUUUUGCAAGGUUCCUCAAAAACAUCCAAGUUGAAGAGGUAUCACCUGUCUCUCGAGAGUGAGUUCCGCUCCGCAGAUCAUUCCACCCAAUCUCCCACUGUGUUCGGCUUGGUUUUCUACACUGUGUCCCCACUGCUUUUCUUCAGAAGGAUGAGAAGUUAAUCUCUCUCCAAAAAUACACCCUCUUUGAUAUAAAUUCACCAUCUCCUUUUUACUUGUACUCCCCUCAACCUGCUCCAACAAUUUACCUUGAUUCUCCAGCCUUUCUCUAUACUGCCUGCCUGCAACUUCAACUCAUACUAUUCCCACCCUCUCACCCAUAUCUCACCUUUCACCACCCCCACUCUUACAUACACCCUAAACAUAAAAGAAGUUUCACACAUACAUACAUGUACACUCACUCAACUCUUCGGCACUCCAGUUUUGUCUGAGACUUUUAAAUCACCCUUGCCUCCGACUCUUCCGCAUUUCACCUCUAAUUGACUGCUACUCAUUCUUUUACUUGCCAUCAACACGAAGAAAUAACCAUAUUACUUUUCCCUCAACUUCUCUCCUCUACUAUUCAGCCUUCUUUAAAAAAACUCUAAUUUUGCUCUUUCUACUAUUUCCUUUUUACGCAUCGUGCGCAUAAAAUGUUUUUCACCUGUUCACCACAGACAUUUUUUCUUUGCAUUUUACCCGUCUCUUUAUGGCAGUUAUCUCCUCUGUUCGAAGAUUUUACCAGUUUCUUACUAUCUUCUAGACGCUCUACGAAACUCUCCGGACCUUUUUAUCAUUCUUGUGUAAUUUUUAUCAAUUUCUUCCGCUUGUCUGCUCUUUCCAAAAUUCAUACUAUUUUCGCUCCUUUUCAAAUUUUACUUUCAACCAUCGCUCUUUGUUAACAAAAACUUGUUCACAUCUCUACGUACUUAUGUUAUGCAUUUGUACAUACAUCAGUAACAUCUUUCAUAUUGAUCUUGCCGUCUCAUGUUCUUUAAUAAUAUCUCUAUUCCAUCGCACUCGCACCCACUUUUAUUUCCUCACAUAUACACGCUCUCAUACCACCAACAAAACUAUUAUAUACACACACUCUAACAAACAAACACCAAUAUACUUCCACAUUUGCACACCUCUAUACACAAACAUGCACCAGACUAAUACACACGCAUCACUUUGUUAUUCUUGCUCUUAGAUACAACUGCACUCUGACAUCUACACACUCAUCCUUUGGCCCUUUCGAAACCCACCAUAGAAUAGUAUUGGUACCUGGUUCUGAUCCUUUGCCUGUUCUAACCCUUGUUUCAGUGGUUAAUUCUCUUUUGCAUUCAUUCUUUACUUCUUUCUUUUGCUAAAGUACUAAUGUCCGAAUUGUUAAGACAUAUUCUCUUACAAUUUAAGUUUUAAGUUAAUACCAUAUUUGCCAAACAUUUUUUUAUUUGUUGUCUAGUCUUUUUUAUCAUUCAUUGUAUUUAUACUAUAUACACAUAUAUAUGUAUGUGUACGCAUGUGAGUGUGUGUGUAUUCAUACACAUGCAUCAGGUAAUAGAUAGUGCCCAUGGUCUUGAGAAUAAUGAAUGCUAAUCCGUUAUACACGUGACGGAUCAGAAUUCUAUAGCUGAAGUCAAAUGUGAUAGUGUAAAAAACAGAGUCUCAGUUUGAUUUUACAAGUGAGAGAUCAAAACCAUACCAAAAAACUGGAGUGUAUUGUAUAUUCAAAGCACAGAUGAAUUAAUUUAACCGAUUAAACGUUAACUUGAUGUAUAAUUAACAUAACCACGAACAGAGUUACAACAUUGUCAUAUUGUUUCGUUUUAUUUCCCUAGGUGGUAGUAAAAGAAUAUCCUAUACUACAUUAGUCUUUUCUUGAAAUAAAUAACAAAAUAAAAGUCUUUAGCUAACCGUGAUUCACAGAUUUUUCCGUGCAUUGACGCUGAUUGUUUGAGCACAAAAGAAUAGGAAGUAGACGGUUAGCUACGAACACGCAAAAGAAAUGAAAAAACUUGGUAAGGUUUCCUUUAAAAAAGUCAUAUAUAUAUUUUUUUAUAUAUAGUUUAUAUAGUUGGUGUAGUUGGAUUUGGUCUCUUCUGAUCAUGGGUGACUUAAUGUCUAUUGUUUUAUUAUUCUGAAGAAAAGUUGAAAGAAAGAAUUGAUUGCUGACCUGUAACUUACCGACGUACGUUAGCUGAAAAAAAAAAACGAAGUUAUAACAUAUUAACACAUGCAUAUUCGCACAGCACAUACAUAGAUGUUUGUAUAUACACACACGCGCGCACACACACACACACAUAUGUAUAAAUAUAUAUAUAUAAAAAUAUAAAUAAAUAUAUAUAUAUAUAUAGAGAGAGAGAGAGAGAGAGAGAGAGAGAUACAGACAGACAGACAGAGAGGGAGAGAGAGACGGGGAGAGACAGAGAGAGAAAAAGACAGACAAACAGACAAGCAGACAGACAAACGGACAGAGAGGCAAACGGACAGGCAUACAUACAGACUGAUAUAUAUAUAUAUAUAUAUAUAUAUAUAGAUAGAUAGAUAGAUAGAUAGAUAGAUAGAUAGAUAGAUAGAUAGAUAGAUAGAUAGAUAGAUAGAUAGAUAAGUGUGUGCCGUACCUUGAUAUGAGACAACUCAGAGUAUAAAAAUUGCUUCAUUAUAGAAUGAUUAUAACCAUUAAAACACACACACACACACACACACACGCACACACACUCACACAAACACACAUACACACACACAAACUAUUGUAUUCAAUUGUGUUUUAAAAAUUAUGUUUUAAAAAUACUUUACCUUAUAUUACUAUCACUUAAUAAUAGUAUUAAAACAGUUACGUUUUCAACUAUAACAGAAUGAUUUAAACACGCAUACACGCACAGACAUAGUUUUGUACAUUGUGAGUCAUGCUUUCAAUAAAACACACGCAAAUUCCUUUUAUAUUUCAGUUAACUAAUGAAUUAAUUAUUAAAUUAAUCAAAUAAUUAAUUGAUGUGUCAAAGUCCUUUUGUCGAGUGCAGUGAAUUUGCCGGUGACAUAUCUCUCUUCCUAUUACUCCGCGCUGGCAUUCUUUCACUCUGUGAUCCCAGUUACUCUCUCAAAAUGGUAAUAAUGAGUAUCUCCGUACAUGGAAUUUACAUCACAUCGUCUAUGUUUGUAUGUGUGUGUAUAUAUGUGUGUACGAGUGUGCGUGAGUGUGUGAGUGUGUAUGUGUGUGUGAAUUGGUGUGCGUGUGUGUGUGUGUAAUUUUCACUCUGUACUACGUGUGCUACUUGUAUAGAUAAUCACACAUAACAACAUCACUCUAAUUGAAAUUACACGUACGGUACUCACGCAUACACUUGGAGGUUUAACUUUAUACUUAUUUACCUAUUAUAAAGUACCUCGAUGCGAAGAGUGAGUGUAUACUGUUUCAAUGUAAGCGCAUGAAAAACUCUUUACGAAGCAAAAGAGUUUGACAAAGAGACUUUGACAAAUUAAUUGACAAGAUAAUUAAUUAAUUAAUUAAUUAAGCACUGAUAGAGGGGAAGUGAAGUACAAAUCGUGGGUGUGUUCGCUUAAUUGCCCGUGUAACCCUACCAAUGUAUGACGAUAUCUGUUUCAAAAUAUUCCUCAUCAAGAAUCCUGCCAAUUGCGUACAAAAAUAAUAUAUACAUGCAUACAUAUACAUACAUACAUACAUAUAUGCAUACAUACAUACAUACAUACAUACAUACAUACAUACAUACAUACAUACAUACAUGCAUACAUACAUACAUACAUACAUACAUACACACAUGCAUGCAUGCAUACAUACAUACAUACAUACAUACAUACAUACAUACAUACAUACAUACAUACAUAUACAUACACACUCACUUGAGGACCGAAACCUCUGGAAAGGACUUGACCAUAUGACUGUAAGCCGGGUAAUUUUGGCAGAGCAAUUUGCUUUCCAGUUUGAAUGUGGCUCCAUGUUAUAAAAGCUAUCUCUUUGGAAUCAUGACAAUAGCGUUGAUGGUAUUGUUGACAUAAUUAUACUGUCGACGAAAAUCAAAGUAAAUGGGGGUAAAAAGGUAAAGAAAGGAUAAAAGUUAUAAUGAGGAGGAGGGAAGGAAGUGGAGAAGUUGGAGGAAGAGGAGGAGGAGGAGGAGGAGCUGGUGCAGCAGCAGCAGGAAAAUUAUGUGAAGGUAGAAGGGGAUAAGGAAUUGGUGGUAGAUUAUUAAGAUAUAAUUAAGAGUAAUUGAUAUGUCGGCAUGUGUGACUGAGCUGCGAGCCAAACAUUUAAUAAGAGAAUAUCUACGAACAUCACAAUUCUGAUGUUCAUGCUUAUGAUGAUGAUGACGGCGACGAUUAUUAUUAUUAUUAUUAUUGUUAUUGUUAUUAUUAUUAUUAUUGUUGUUGUUGUUGUUGUUGUUGUUGUUAUUAUUAUUAAUUAAGUACCAGUGAAAUACCGGGCUCGAUGUAAUCGACUUAUCACUUCCCCCCAAAUGGCUGCUCUUGUGGCAAAAUAUGAAGCUAUGAGACAUCGCACAGUAUACAAUAUCUCAUGAGGUUGUUGACUGAAGAUACUGUGUCUGCCGAGGGUUUGUAAUGAUUAUCAAGUCACAACAAGGACCUCUGACAGACAAUACUUUACGCAAUAUGCAUGCAGUUCCAAGUAUCCUUAAGGUGGCAAGUGUGCAGAAUCAUUACCGCGCCGGACAAAAAUGGUUAGCAGCAUUUCUUUCGGCUUUACGUUCUUAGUUCAAAUGUCACCGAGGUCGACUUUGCUUUUUAUCCUUUGGGGUAGAUAAAACAAGUAUCAGUGGAACACUGGGUGGACGUAAUCGAUUUGACCCCUCCUACAAAAUUUCAACUCACGUGACUAUAAGAAAAAUAUUACUUUAUGAUUGGCAGACUGGCAGAACCAUUAACACUGUGGACGAAAUGCUUACAAGCAUUUUUUCCGGUUCUUAAUGUUCUGAGUUCAAAUUUAGCCAAAAUCGAGUUUACUUUUCAGCCUUUCAGAGUGGAUGAAAUAAGACCAGCAGGGCACUGCAGUCGAUAUAAUCGACUAACCCUCUCCCCAAAAUUUCAGGCCUUGUGCCUCUAGCACAAAUGAUUAUCAAACUGGAACUCCGUCGGUUACGACGAUGAGCGUUCCAUUUGAGCCAACAAACAGAACAGCCUGCUCAUGAAAUUAAUGUGUUAAUGGCUGAGCACUCCACAGACACGCGUACCCUUAAUGUAGUUCUCAAGGAGAUUCCGCGUGACACAGAAUGUUAGCCCUUUGAAUUACAGAUACUCCUCAUUUUUGCCAGCUGAGUGGACUGGAGCAAUGUGAAAUAAAGUGUCUUGCUGAAGGAUAUAACGUGCCACUGCUUUUCGAACUCACAACCUUACGUUCGUGAACCGAAAAUCCUAACCACUAAACCGAUAAUAAUUAUGGUAAAGAUGAAGGUGAUGAUAUCAAUAAUGAUGCUUUUGCCUGAGAUAUUAACAAAUGCCAUUUUAAAGAAAAGCAUAACCCGCUACACUUACACAGAAAAACAUGUAGGGAGGUGGAGAGACAGAUACACUCCCUCUCACUCUAUCUCUCUCUCUUUAACACACACACACAUAGAGAAUGAAAGAGAAAUAUGGUUGCCAAACAGCUGUUCAUAAGUCACUUCACUGUUUUUGAUAACAGUAAUUUUUCUAUGUUUCUAAACUUAGCUUUCGCAAAUAACAAAAUUAAAUAAAUAUAUAUAAAGUAAUAAACAAAAAUAAGAAAACAAAGCUAGUUAUACCUUGUUGUGAUAGGAAGAAUAUUUCCAUGGAAAUUAAGGUGGCGUCAGUUGCAUUUUAAUUCCAACAGCAGUGCAAUAAAGUCAUUAGUUUUAGCUGUCCAGAAAAGUUAAGCACGGCCAGCAAUGAAGUCGUUAAUUAUGUAACAGUCAACUAGAGAAUAGAGCAGUUGUGGUCAUGAAGAUAACUAGUUUGCCAAAAGGGAAUUUAAUAAUACAUUUUGUUAGUAGCGGAAGAAAAAACAUUUCAGUGUUGGGGGGAAACUCUGACAUUUAAUUUCCAGCUCGUCGGCUUUCGUUUGCGAAUCAGCCGCUAAAAGAUGACGAUAACGACAGAACGAACGGCGACGAUGAAGACCACGCCUAUGAUAACGACGACGACGACAACAGCGACAAUGACAGGUAUAGUGGCGAUGAUUAUGAUGGUCAUGAUCAAGAAGGAGAAGAAGAAGAAGAUCAUGAUCAUGAGGAUCAUGAUCAUGAGGAUCAUGAUGAUGGUUGUCUCCGAAAUGCUCGUCCACGCCAUAUUCUAACAAAGAGGGCUGAAGUCGUUGCAGUUGCCGUUGGCCAAUUUUCAUUCUCUUUCGACUUGAUGAGGAGCAAUAAAGCCAUGAACCACCACCCGGUGAUAUUUGCUUCAAUUAUCCAAUGAAUACAUUAUCCCUUUAUUUGUAUGGCCUUUGUUAUUUAAUCUCAAAACAGAAUUGAGCAGCCAUACGGUCAAAGGUGUUGCAACUGUCACCAUCCUCUUGAAUGUGUGUUUUGUGUGUGUGUGUGAGCGCGUGCGUGCGCGUGUGUGUGUGUGUAUGUGUGUGUGUGCGUGGGGGUGAGUAUUGUGUAACUAGAUCUCCAUCGGCCAACGGUGUCUUCAUUUUUUAAGACAGUACGAUUUAAUUUAUGGGAAAUUUGGUUCGAUUUCAUGUAAGCCGACUGAACUCGUAGAGGCGGACUCGCGGUCGGAGGAUCGCCGUUUCGAUUUCCAGACCAGGCGUUGUUUGUGUUUAUCGAGCGAAAAAUCUAAAAACCUCCACGAUGCUCCGGCAGAGGGUGGUGGCGACCCUUGUUGUAUUAUUUCGCCACAACUUUAUCUCACUCUCUCUUCUUGCUUCUUGAGUAACGCGGCGAUGGACUGGCGUCCCGUCCAGCUGGGGGGAACACAUACGCCACAGAAACCGGGAAAUUGGGCCCAUGAGCUGGCUAGGCUUGAAAAGGGCAGAAAAAAAAUAUAUAUGGGGGAGAAUUCACAAAAAAACAAAAGACGAAGACAGGUGAUGUAGACAACAAACAGAUGUAUUAGUUUAACGCUCGGGAAGUGAAAAAGUCUUUAACGUUUCGAGCCUACACUCUUCCACAGAAAAGAACCCAAAAAGAAACAAGGAGAGGGGAAAAAAGAAUGUGUAGUGGCUAGCGAUCUGUCAUGAUAUAUAUAUAUAUAUAUAUAUAUAUAUAUAUAUAUAUAUGUUUAUAUAUAUAUGUAUGUAUAUAACGCACGCACCCUAUUAAGUAAGAUUGUUCUGUUUACCAAGUUAGCCUUGAUAUUAACUCUCACGCGACUCUGCAGCUUUCUUUCUUUGUCUCCCAUUCCCUUUUUCCUCUUUUUUCCCUCACUUAACUUGUCUCUUCCUCUCUCUCUCCCCCUCACCGUUCUUCAUGGUCUCCUCGCACCAUUCCCCUUCUUCUCUCUCUUCCUCUUGCUCCUCCUCCCCCAUUCCCGUCGUCCAUCUGCGACGAUACUUCCGUCGUAACUGCUAUCCUGUCUUUUCUCGCCCGCCUUCUGAGGCUACUGGUCGACAUUCUUUCUCUCUCGUCGUCCACUAUAAUCCAGCGUUUGCAAUACUUUUUUCGUCUGGCGUUAACAGCCCUUCUUAUCUUGUUCUCCUUGUCCUGUCUCUCACUGUUAUAUAUUUAUUUUUCCACUGUUUAUAUAUAUAUUUUUUUACUGUUUAUAUGUUUGUACUGUCGUUACCGUCUUGCUUUUUUUACCCCUCUGCGAAAAGAUCUCAGAAUUUUAAUUGAUUUGCUUUUCGCAGGAAGGAAGUUUUCUUCGAAGUAUACGUCUCGCUUUUAUCCUUCGAAACGUUUAGUAGAUGAAACCUUAGCGACUGAAGAAGGGGAUUUUUCGUUGUGCUUAUUGUCCUGUAUCUCCUUUUUUUUGCUUGUCUUGUUCCUUGGUUUGUGUCUAUGUUUUUCGUCUCUCUAUGUGUUCGACGUCUUUUUGGUGUCCUGUACACAUAUAUGCGUGUAUAUGUACAUGUAGAGGUAGGUACGUACAUAUAUGUUUAUAUAUAUGCAUAUGUUCUAUUUUAUUAACAUAUAUAUAUAUAUAUAUAUAUAUAUAUAUAUAUAUUUAUAUAUAUGUAUGUAUGUGUGUAUACAUAUAUAUAUAUAUAUAUAUAUAUAUAUGUUUAUAUAUAUGUAUGUAUGUGUGUAUAUAUAUAUAUACAUAUAUACAUAUAUAUACAUAUAUACAUAUAUACAUAUAUAUAUCUAUCUGUAUAUAUAUACACACAUACACAUGCAUACUUACAGGUAUGUGUACAUUUUGUACGUUUCAAGCUACGUGUGCGCGUUAGUGUCACGUGACAAUGUUUAUUGCGCCUAAAAAGAAAGCCGACACGGUUGAGGGAGCAUGUUUAGUUACAUUCAAGGCACUCCUAGUUUAAUCUGUCUGGUGGGAGAGUGGACAGGAGUCAUUUGUAUGUAGUGCCUAAAGUUUAAAUUGUUAGCUGUGUAGGUUCAUCAUAAGUAACAGAAUGAGUUUUGUGUGUGAAUAGUUAUUUGUGUAUGUAUUGUGUUAAAGUUUGUUAUGCCUUAGUUUGUACUUAACUUACGACGCCAAAUAUUAUCACUUGAUUCUAACACACGGAUGUAGCGGGGAACCUACAAAAAUUUCUAAGACCACUCAUGUGACUAUCCUCUACCAAUCAAGUCCUAUUCAAAACAUAUACUAAUUUGAGCCAUGAACCUCCCUAUAAAAAUAGGGAAAGCUUCAAAUACUAGUCAGAAGCAAUACAGCUGCGACAUGAGUCACGUCUUUCUAUUUCAACUUUUGAAAAUCAAUGUAUAUAUUUAUUUCUUUAUUGACCACAGGGGGCUAAACUUAGAGGGGGGCAAACAACGACAGACAACGGGAUUGAGUCGAUUACAUCAACCACAGUGCAUAACUGGUACUUAUUUAAUCGACCCCUAAAGGGUGAAAAGCAACGUUGACUUCGGCGGAAUUUGAACUCCGAACGUAACGGCAAACGAAAUACCUAUUUCUUUACUACCCACAGAGGGAACAAACAAGGACAGACAAACGGAUUAAGUCGAUUACAUCGACCUCGGCGGGAUUUGAGCUCAGAAAACUCAGAAUGUAACGGCAAACGAAAUACCUAUUUCUUUACUACCCACAAGAGGCUAAACACAGAGGGAACAAACAAGGACGGACAAACGGAUUAAGUCGAUUACAUCGACCUCAGUGCGUAACUGGUACUUAAUUUAUCGACCCCGAAAGGAUGAAAGGCAAAGUCGACCUCGGUGGAAUUUGAACUCAGAACGUAACGGCAAACGAAAUACCGCUAAGCAUUUCGCCCUGCGCGCUAACGUUUCUGCCAGCUUGCCGCCGUAUGUAUGUAUAUGUAAAUAAACAUAUAUUGUCGUGAUAUAGGUAAAGGAAGUUGAGUUUGGAAAAGUACUGUUGUGUGUGUCAAUUUUGACUCUAAGAUUAGUUCUAUUAAAAAUUGUUUUAUCCUUUGAUAAAAGUGGAUAAAGCCAACAAUAGAUAUAACUUCCGGUAUUAACAAAUCUCCUUCACAUUUCGGAGGAUUUUAUGAUUUUCUUUUAGACUUGAUAUUUAACUGAAAGAUUAUCAUUUUACAAAAACGACUAGGUAUCAUUCACAUCGGAAUGUUUCUCAGCUUUAUAAAGACACGCGUCCGAAUAUUUUUAUGUCUCUAAUACAGUUUGGAAUAAUUAUUCUAUUUUUAGUACGGGAGCGAGCUAACUGAAUUUUACUGGAAGAUGACAUUCGUUCAAUUUAAUUCUCCAAUACUGUGAUUGGCAAAUAUCUUGGAUAAAAUUGUCUGGAACAAUAAAUUUCAAUUCAUCAUGAUAAAAGAUAUGUUCAAGGAUAUUUCAAAACUUUUAUAUUUAAAUUUUAUAUUUAAAUAUCGUCGAAACAUUCUGAUUACAGUGGCCUACUGACGGCAAAAUAAUCAUUUCUUAGUGACACCUCAAAUGUACUAUAUAAAAGUAUUAUAUAACAUUUAUUUCCAAGGUCGGUCUCCAUCGUGUAAUCAACACAAGAUUGAUGAGAUCCGAAAUUGGGUAUCGCUGUCAACAUAAAAUUCAAUGAUGCCCCCAGCGUAUAGAAUAACGAGUUCCCCCUAAAAAUUACUUCCCGAUAUGAAUGGAUGUCAAUUUCCUAAGAUAUGUAAUUAAAACAAAACUAACCAAAGGGAAAUGGAAUGUAUUGAGUACCGUAGUCCUACCAGAAAAAAAAAAUCUUAAUCAAUUUCAAUUUUCCUCUUAUUUGGAGAAAGUAUAAAAAUAAACAGAAACUUAACAUAAUUCAAUAGCAACUCUUAAAUAAUGUGAGAGAUAAUUUUAAUAAAUCAAGAAUUAAAUUUGAAAUAUAAUUAUUCUCUUGUUCAAAGAAAAACCUGAUAUUUAAUAUCUAGACAUUACUAUUAAUCAUCGUUCUAAGAUUCGCAUGUCACGCUUGAAACUUGAAUCGAGUUUCUCAAUAUAAACGAAACGACCUUCUCCAAUUUCUUAUUUGUUUUGUUGUACAUUCGAAGCAUUGUUAUAUCGCUAUGACUGUCGUUUGGCUGUUUAUUUGGGAUUUGACUAAGUAGAAAUAAAGUACUCUUACAAUAUUACAAACUUGUUAAGGCGGCGAGCUGGCAAAACGUUAGCACUCCGGGCGAAAUGCGUAGCUGUAUUUCGUCUGCCGUAGACGUUAUGAGUUCAAAUUCCGCCGAGGUCAACUUUGCCUUUCAUCCUUUCGGGGUCGAUUAAAUAAGUACCAGUUACGCACUGGGGUCGAUAUAAUCGACUUAAUGCAUUUGUCUGUCCUUGUUUGUCCCCUCUGUGUUUAGCUCCUUGUGGGUAGUAAAGAAAUGGAUAUUUCGUCCGCCGUUACGUUCUGAGUUCAAAUUCCGCCGAGGUCGACUUUGCUUUUCAUCCUUUCGGGGUCGAUAAAUUAAGUACCAGUUACCCCCUGGGAUUGAUGUAAUCGUCUUAAUCCAUUUGUCUGUCCCUGUUUGUCCCUUCUGUGUUUAGCCCCUUGUGGGUAAUGAAGAAAUAGGUAUUCCGUCUGUCAUUACGUUCUGAGUUCAAAUUCCGCCGAGGUCGACUUUGCCUUUCAUCCUUUCGGGGUCGAUAAAUUAAGUACCAGCUGCGUACUGGGGUCGUCGACCUAAUGGACUGCGCCCCCACCCUCAAAAUUUCGGGUCUUGUGCCUAGAGGAGAAAAUAAAAUUACAAACUUGCUACAAGUUCAAGUAUGCUGUUGUAUUGUUGUCGUUUGUUCCUUCUCGAGGCAUGCCUGGCUCAUAAGGGCCGGUUUCCCGGUUUCAUUGGCGUAUAGGUUCCCCACCUGGACGAGUAUAGGUUUACCACGCCGGUCCGUCGCAGGUGAGCUGCUAGAUGUAGGAGGAAAAAAUGAGAGAAAGUUGUGGCGAAAGAGCCAGCAGAAGUUCGCAAUUAACAUCUGCCGGAGCUGCAUGGAACUCAUAGACACAGACAUCACACGGUCUGAGAUUCGAAUCCACGAUCCCUCGACUGCAAGUCCGCUGCUCUAACCACUAGGUUAGACUCCACAGCUCAAGUAUGCCCGAGGCAUAUUCGAACCCGGAAGAAAGCCAUUCACUGCAUUUUUUUCAUGACAAAAUACAGUGAAUAGAUUUCCUACGGGGUCGAAUAUACCUCAGGCAUGUUCCAACUGGUAACAAGUUUGUAUUUACACGCAUCACUGAUUUGUUCUGUCACGCUGUAUUUCAAGGAAAUUGUUGCUACCACACAGAGAGCGUCUAUUAUUGUAAGUGAAGAACGAGUUCCGGAAAACUUAGUGGUUGGGUUUUCUAUUCCUGCUGGCAGUCAAUUCAAUUCAGUUCACUGUUCUAUCAAAUUUAUAAUUGCAAAGUGUCUUUUCGGUUAUCUAUGUUAGCUUAAUUUGGAAAGUAAAGGUGAAGGAUUUGAUAUAUUUAAAAAGCGACGGAAUCAACGGAUCAAAUGGCUAAUCAUUAAUGACUGCUAUAAUGAUAAUUCUUUCUAAUUUUGGCGCAAGACCAGCAACUUUUAAGAGAGAGAGUAAAUUGAUUACAUCGACACCAAUAAUUAACUGGUACUUUAUUUUAUCAACCUCGAAAGGAUGAAAAAGCAAAGUUGAAAUUUAAGCGUAGAAGCAAAGAGACGGAAGAAAUGCGACUAAUCAUUCUUGUUCGUCGCACAAAAGAUUCUGCCAACCCGCCGAGUAAUGAGGAUAAUGAUGGAAAUUUAUAUAACGAUGACAAAAAUGAUGUACAUUUUGUUUUGGCGAUUUUAUUUUAUUCCAUAAUUAAAAUUACCUCAUUAAAUUUAACAUGUCUGAAUGAUUCGGUGCAUGUACAUUUAAUUCAAAUAUAAUUUGCUCCAAUGCGGAUGAUUCGUUAAUAUAUAUAUAGCUUAUUUAAGGCGGCGAGACUGCAGAAUCGUUAGCACGCCGGGCAAAAUUUGAUCCAUCUUAACGUUUCGAGUUAAAAUUCCACCGUGGUUGACUUUGCCUUGCGUCCUUCGUGGGUUCGAGAAAAUAAGUACCAUUUGAGUACUGUGGUCGAUGUAAUCGACUCACCCUUUCCCCGAUAUCGCUGGCAUUUUACAAAAAUUUGAAACGAAUAUGUACAACUUAUCCGUUAUACUUAGCUUAUAUGUGACUAUUUAGUUCAUUCAUCAUUCAAUAUUAUUGCCUGUGUAAUGCGGCGAGCUGGCAGAAUCGUUAGCACACCGGGCGAAAUGCUUAGCGGUUUUUCGUCUGCCGCUACGUUCUGAGUUCAAAUUCCGCCGAGGUUAACUUUGCCUUUCAUCCUUUCGGGGUCGAUUAAAUAAGUACCAGUUACGCACUGGGGUCGAUAUAAUCGACUUAAUCCGUUUGUCUGUCCUUGUUUGUCCCCUCUGUGUGUAGCUCCUUGUGGGCAGUAAAGAAAUAGGUAUUUCGUCUGUCUUUACGUUCUGAGUUCAAAUUCCGCCGAGGACGACUUUGCUUUUCAUCCUUUCGAGAUCGAUAAAUUAAGUACCAGUUGCUCACUGAGAUCGAUCUAGUCGACUGGUCCCUCUCCCACAAAAUUUCGGGCCUUGUGCCUAGAGUAGUAAAGAAUAUUAUUGGUUGUGUUAUACUCAUAUAUUCAAUAUAAAAUUUCCUAAAUGGGUUAAAACAACUUAUCAGAACUUUUUUCAUUUGAUUCAUUGUUUACAUGAUUCAAACAACCAAGUUAAAAAUUCUACUAAAUUGUUUAAAAAAAAAAUCAACCAAUUAUUCAUCUGUUUAAUAAUUUGUCUGGACAUUCGGCCUAAUGAGCUUUCACUUCAUUAUACAUCUUUUCCGGAGAAACAUAAUUUACUUUUCACGUUAUGCGUUCCAUUAUAUUUCAACUGAGCGAAUUUGAUUUACUGAAUGUACAUUUUGCACGCUUAUAUAAUUCUUCAACAACUGAGUAAUUGUUAGAAUAGUUUCCUAUUCCUCGAUCAUUGUACUAUUUAAAAUCUAGAGAAAUAAUGCUAGACAUGCAGAUUUAUAAUUGCCAAAUUUAGAAAAAUUAAAACAUCUGACAAAAAAAAUGUAUUUACACGUUUACACAAAUACAUAUAUAUAUAUAUAUAUAUAGAUAUAUGUAAUGUAUAGUUCACAGAUGAGAUCCAGAUAUUUUCCAUACAGAACAAGACAGUAGUGCUCAAAUGAUUCAAACUUUACAGGGGAUCAUUCCACAAGGUAAAGAAAGGUUAUAAGAGGGAUCAGAUUGAGCGAGUAUAGAAGCAAUUAUGACGAUAAAGAAAUUGGAUAUGUCAAAUGUAUUAAUUAUAUUAAAUACGUCAAAUACAAAAUAUGUAUAUACAUGGUUGGCCAAGACUCACCUGACAGUAAAUCAAAAUCAUUUAAUUCCAAGAUAUAUUUAUAUAUGACACCUGGAUGAAUUUGAUAAUAGCAUCUAAAUAUGAAACAUUAUGAAAUUGUUCAAAUUGAAGUAUUCUUUGAGCGACACAGUUUUCCAUUCGAGUCAAUACAGAAUUACAGAUAGUAUUCAUGGAAUUUUGAUUUACUGUCGAGUGACUUUUGGCAAAACGAGAGACUUUUGGCAAAACGAGAGAAAACUAAAGAGGCGGAAGAAGGGUAUUAUAAGUCCAACAGCUGUGUGCGCGUGCGUGCGUGUGUGUGUGUGCGUGCGUGUGUGUGUGUGUGUGUGUGUGUAAAUCCUUGCUAUUUAUAUAUAGAUUUAGUUCAUCACAAAAUGUGGCCGUAUGGAUGCAUUCAACAUAGAAUGAAAUGAGCCUCCGUCAUCAGAGUUGAGAAGACCUUACAUUUCAGCUCUUAACAUCUAUAUAUUUAUAUACAUAAAUUCACAUCAUCUGAAAGUUUCCACAUUUUGCUCUCUCUGAUUUUGCAUGUAUACAUACACAUAUAUGUGUGUGUGUGUGCGUGUGUGUGUAUGUGUGUGUAAACUCUCGCUACAUAUAUAUAUAUAUAUAUAUAUAUUUAAAAUAGCUUAUAUAUAUAUGUGUAUGUAUGUAUAUACAUAUAUAUAUAUGUAUGUAUGUAUGUAUGUAUGUAUGUAUGUAUGUAUGUAUGUAUGUAUGUAUGUAUACAUAAUAUAUAUGUGUGUGUGUGUGUGUGUUUGUCCGCCCGCCCCCAACAUCGCCUGACAACCGAUGCUGUUUACGUCUCCGUAACUUAGCGGUUCGGCAAAAGACACCGAUAGAAUAAGUACUAGGCUUACAAAGAAUAUGUCCUGGGGGACGAUUUGCUCGACAAAACGCGGUGCUUCAGCAUGGCCACAGCUAAAUGACUGACACAGGUAUAAGAAUAAAAAAACAUAGCGAAGGUAUAUAUAUUUAUAUAUAUAUAUAUAUAUAUAUAUAUAUUAUAUAUAUAUAUAUAUAUAUAUAUAUAUAUAUUUAUAUAUAUAUAUAUAUAUAUAUAUAUAUAUAUAUAUAUAGUUAUCAGUAAUAAUAUAGGGUGAAAUUAAUUAAUUUGGAAUAAUCAUUAAUUUCACCAAGUAGAUUUCGGCAUGUAAAAGCCCCAUUCGAGGAAGGUUUAAGUAAUACUAAGUAAUUAAGGGUUUAGCAACGAUUUGCCUCACCACACACCGAGUUUAGAAAUAGCAGUCAAAGAGUUCUGGCUAUUCUUUCUACUUAAAAGGGAGAUCUCAGUAAAACCGCAGCACUUAAAAGGCAAACGCAGGCAAAAGAGAAAGAAAGACGACAAUCAUUCUAUAUUAAGUCACCUACGGACGUACGUUUCGAAAUUAAGUCUUAGGAAAGCAUAAAAAUUAGAUAAUUAUGUCUUACCCAACUAUUUUUCUCAUCAGCGUAGGACUCUACAAUUAUGAAUAAUUGUAUAUUAAAUUUGGAGGUACUAGAAGACAUCACCUCAACUCAUGGUAUCAGAGCGAGCUUAAGCGGUUACCAGUAUCACCAAAUUCAAAGUGUGAAUGAAAGUUUGUGUCACCAACCUCCUCCCACCAGCGUGCUGCCAGGAUAAGAUGUUGUGGUCAUUUACUGGGAUGAAAUAUGGUUAUCAGUAAUAAUAUAGGACUCCAUUUUUUAAAGCCUGGUUUUUUAAAAAAAAAUUUGUGGAACAGCUAAGUUACGAAACGUAAGUAAACCAACGCUAGCGUCAAGUGGGGACACAGACAUAAACAGACACACACACAAACAUAUAUAUAUAUAUAUAUAUACACGACGGGUUUCUUUCAGUCUCCGUGUACCAAAUACACACUUAAGUCUUUUGUGUCCCGAAAUAUUUCACAGGUAUUUCUAGUCAUUCGAACAACAACAAAGCAGUUCCCUUGCUUCUGCUCUUGUUGGAACCCGGGUAUAUUUAUACAAACAAACAUAAAAUAGGUAAACGAUUGAAAUUUUAAGAGGAAAAACGAACGCAAAGACCGAUAAAUGCAAAAAUAUAUUCAAAAUCGCUUACAUUAUACAAAACCCCAAACCUCCUUAAACUAGAAACCCUAAACAAGUAUUUCCCUUAUGGAAUUUAAAUCUCAAUGAUAGACAAUCAUGCAAAUUUACUGCUGUGUAAUAUUUGUAUGCAUGUGUGUAUGUAUGUAUGUAUGUAUGUAUGUAUUUAGGUAUGCAUGUAUGUCCAUAAUUGUUGAGAAUAUAUAUAUAUAUAUAUAUAGGCAUAGGAGUGGCUGUGUGGUAAGUGUUUUGCUUACCAACCACAUUGUUCCGGGUUCAGUCCCACUGCGUGGCAGCUUGAGCAAGAGUCUUCUACUAUAGCCUCGAGACGACCUAAGCCUUGUGAGUGGAUUUGGUGGACGGAAACUGAAAGAAGUCUGUCGUAUAUAUGUAUAUAUGUAUAUAUAUAUAUAUAUGUGUGUGUGCAUGUUUGUGUGUCAGUGUUUGUCCCGCCCCCAACAUCGCUUAACAACCGAUGCUGGUGUGUUUAGGUCCCCUUAACUUAGCGGUUCGGCCAAAGUGACCGAUACAAUAAGUACUAGGUUUACAAAGAAUACGUCCUGGUGUCAAUUUUCUCGACUAAAGGCGGUGCUCCAGAAUGUCCACAGUCAAAUGGCUGAAACAAGUAAAAGAGUAUAUGGAGGGAAUGCAUGAGCACGUGUGAAUGGAAGACACUAGUCCAGGCUAUGAAGCAGUGGAACUGAAUCCGGGACCGCUUGGUUAUGACGAAAACUACUUACCACACAACCACUACAUAGAAAUACGUUUCAAAACUGCUACAGUAAAAAUGCGUGGUAACUGGGAAAAAUGGAAAUGCCGAAGUGGUUCACACAAUACCCCAUAACUGUGUGAACAUAAUUAUGACUCUCAAUUGUUAAAACAUAACUAUACACAUACGCACUUCACAUUAUAAGUCCGUAGGUGAUUGCAUGUCCCCAAAUACGAUCUCCUGUAUAUAUAUAUCUAUAUAUAUAUAUAUAUAUAUAUAUAUGUAUAUAUUAUAUAUAUUCUCUGUGUAUAUAUAUAUAUUUUGGUAUGUUGAUACAUUGAUAUAUGAAGAUAUUAACGGAUAUGAUUUCUCAAAAGAAGUAUCACGGAAUAGCAUCCAUCUUGUGUACACAUUAGAAGAUAUGUUCAAAUUUAGAACAUAAAUAUACACGUAUGUGAUAUUACAUAAAUACCAAGCAAAUAUUUAUAAAUUUCCAUUGACAUUGCAUAAUUUGUUAUAUUUCGUAAGAUUUUCUUUCCAACAAACUCUUUUCCUUUUACUAUUUCUGCACACUGCAUAAGAAACUACUCAAUUGUCCGUAAUGUCUUAAGAUAUAAUUUUCUCAUUCGCAAAUAUAAUAUUAAGACCCGUCGACAGCAAGCUUCAGUUUUCGUUAAGCAAGUCCAUUAGCAAGAAACUCGAGUUAUGAUCGAUUGAUCACGUAAUCCUUAUUCUGAAUCUAGAUAAAUAUGGACAGGAAUAAAGAAACAUAAUAGCAGAGUGGUUAUCAACGAUCGAUGGAUGUUUUAUGAAUAGGGAAGAUCAAACAAAUCACGCAGCACAGUAUAUAUCUUAAAAUCAUCUCUCUUGGGGGACGCUAAUGGAAGAGUAUUUAUGCAUAUGGAAGUAUGUACGUAUGUAUAUAUGUAUAUAAGUUAUAUGUAUAUAUUCAUACAUAUAUAGACAUAUAUAGAAAUAUAUAUAGAUAUAUGAUAUUUAUUAUGUAUACAUACGUAUAUGUACGUAUAAUGUAUAACGAUUAUCAGAUAUACGUGUAUAUAUAUAUAUAUAUAUAUAUAUUAUAUAUAUAUAUAUAUAUACACGUAUAUCUGAUAAUCGUUAUACAUUAUACGUACAUAUAUAAUAUAUAUAUAUAUAUAUAUAUAUAUAUAUAUAUAUAUAUAUAUAUAUAUAUAUAUAUAUAUAUAUAUAUAUAUAUAUAUAUAUAUAUAUAUAUAUAUAUAUAUAUAUAUAUAUAUAUAUAUAUAUAUAUAUACAUAUAUACAUAUAUACUUAGCUACUUCUCUCCGUAUCUCUGUCUCUCUCAACACACACACAUUCGCAUAAAUAAAUAUACAUGUGCUUGUGUAAUCCACACGCUUGCGUAUGUGAGCAUCACACACACUUACACGCAUACACACAUUAACACGCGCUCCCGCAUAUAUAAAUAUGUAUAUAUAUAUAUAUAUAUAUAUAUAUAUAUAUAUAUAUAGAUAGAUAGAUAGAUAGAUAGAUAGAUAGAUAGAUAGAUAGAUAGAUAGAUAGAUAGAUACACACACAUGUAUAUAUAUAUUCACAAAAAAUAUAUACAUACAACAAAAUGAAAUGAAAAAAUAAAAAGUAUAGUAAAAAUGGAAAAUUAUUGUUAAUAUUACAAAAUGCUAUGGUUAUGAUAUAUGCCCGAAAUAAGUCGAUAUCUAACAUCACUUUAUAAUUAUUUGUAAUGCAAACCCUUAUGAACAAAUGACGCUUAAGGAAACAAGUAGAAUAUUACUAUGUUUAUGAAUAUAUUUUAAAAAGUGUCUCUAAUCUUCUGUUAUGGCUGUGUUGAAAGAAAAGCUUGUUAUUAUCUUAAAAGGUUAUAAUUACAAGGUAGAUGAAUAUACUGGCGACCUGGCUUGUAUAAUUAUAGCUGUUUCAGAUUGUAAAUGUAUGUAUACAGCAUAUUAACGACCUGGUUGUGUAAUGUUCAUAGGGAAAGCUGUUCACCUCUGAAAUGGCAAGUCUUCAGCAAAGUAAAGAAUGAAUAUUCAUAUAUACAGGCAUGGCUGCGUGGUUAAGAAGCACGCUUUGUAACCACGUUGAGUUUAGGUUCAAUAUCACUGUAUUGUUAGGCCGGUCGAACAAUACUUUGUAAGUUAAUUUGGUAGACAAAAACUCUGUGUGUGUGUGAGUGCGCGCGCAUGUAUUUUUGAAUGCUUGUCACGUAUACUACAUGACAACUAAUGUUGGCUGUUUAUCUCCUAGGUUCGGUAAAAAAGAGUUCAUCAGAAUAAGUAGUAGAUUUUCAAAAAGCUUAAAACAUGCAGCUGAUUUGUUUUCGACUAUAAUCUUCAAAGCGGUACCCCAGCUUGGACGCAAUCAAAUGACAGAGUUAAGUAAAAACUACAAUAGAGAAGAUACACUUGUUUGUUGGGGUUUUUUUACCUCUAGGCCAGUUUUGAUUUAACAUAGGUCAUUCUAGUAAUAACUACGUCAUAUUCUUUCUUUUCCAGUUCUCUUGAAUCUCACAAUGUAAUGUAGGUAAUGUUUUUGUGUGAUAAUUUGAGGGAAAUUCGAAGUAUUUCUAGUCAUUCGAACAACAACAUAGCAGUUCCCUUGUUUGUGCUCCGGGUAUAUUUAUACAAAGAAACAUAAAAUAGGUAAACGAUUGAAAUUGUAAGAGGGAAAAUGAACGCAUAGACCGAUAUAUGCAAAAACAAAUUUUAAAUCCUUUACAUUAUACAAAAACCCAAGCCUCCAUAAACUAGAAAUCCCUAAACAGGUAUUACCCUUAUAGAAUUAAAAUCUCAAUGAUAGAAAAUCAUGCAAAAUUAGUGUUGUUUAAUGUAUGUAUGAAUGUAUGUAUGCAUAUAUGUAUAUACGUAUUUGUUUAAUAUAUAUAUAUAUAGUGGGAAUGUAUGUAUAUAUGUAUGUAUGUACGUGUGAAUGCAGCAAGAAAACUAUCAUAAACCAAGAUAACAAUAAAGUUCUUAACCCUACAAGAAGUAUAAUUUUAUUGAAGGACAACUUAGAAUACAAGAGAUAAAAGAUUCACAGUCAAAAAGCACAUCAAGUGUAUACAACAGUCAUAGCUGCCUAACGGGUAUCAUUAUCGUUUCGAUGCCUCGGCAGUACCAUUCAAUCUGUGAUGUCAGCACAGUUAAAACAUAAGCGUUGUCUACAAACUGAUAGACAGUAAACCAGACAUUAACAUAAUAUGCGCAUUAUGUCUAUACUUACUAACUGUUACAAAUAUCAAAUCUCAGACAUAGAUCACACCUUCCUACAGCUACGAAACACAAAAAUUAAAAAUAUGUAUAUAGAAAGCAGUGAAAUGUCCACAAAACAGACAUUACCACCACAAGAACUCUAGAGCUUAAAAACUAUAAACAUUAAAAUGAACUAGUCGACUAAACGAAUAGACUAAAAGUUACUGAACAGGCGCAAGCGUGACAAGAAACUUGCUUCUCAGUGGCAUGGUCCCGCAUCGAUCAAAGAGCCUUGAGAGUGGUUUCGGUAGACGGAAACAGAAAGAAGCUCGUCGUAUAUAUAUGUAUAUAUAUAUAUCCUCACACACACACUUGAUCAUCAUUGAUAUGUAUUUAUACUCACAAAUACACACUUCUCUUGCAAUGUUCAUACAUGAUCUCUUUUUCUGACUAUAUGUGAAGAGAUGAGCAUAUACACACAAACGAACAUUGGUGAAUAUUACAUCCAUUAAUACACGAUGCAUAUAUAUAUAUAUAUAUAUAUAUAUAUAUAUAUAUAUGUGUGUGUGUGUGUGUGUGUGUGUGUGUAUUAUGUGUGUGUUGACGUUCUCAUAAAGUAGCUGUUCGGCAUAAACGACCGAUAGAUUAAGCAGCAGGCUUUAGAAGUAAGUACUAGGGUGGAUUCGUUUGGCUAAACUUCUUUAAGGCAGUGCCCCAACAUGGCCGCAAUUUGAAACAAAUUAAAGUUCUAAUAGAUGGAAACACACGUUGCAAAUACAUAAAACGGAAAAUAAUAAAAACCUAAGGAAUAAUCAACUGAGAACUGUAAAGAUGUAAAUUAAUUGAAAACAGAUAUAGAUUAAUGAAAAAACAUGGACCAAUAGACGUUGCAGGGAAUGAUAAAUGUCAUUUAAUAUACACUGUAUUUAAAUCUGAGCGACUAAUACUUUCAUGUUGUGGAAACACAAUAAUUCCGCAGAUUUGUAUGUUAUGUCUUGUGUCUUCAAGCAGUUCUUCAGGCUCGAAUGCACAUAGAUGGUCUCUAAUUCUAGCCUGAAGGACUCCCUGAAGACUCCAGGCAUGAUAUAUAAAUCUGCCGAAUUAUUGUUUCCACUACAUAAAACUAUUAGUCGCUCAUAUCUAAAUACUGUGGAUAGAUAGAUAGAUAGAUAGAUAGAUAGAUAGAUAGAUAGAUAGAUAGAUAGAUAGAUAGAUAGAUAGAUAGAUAGAUAGAUAGAUAGAUAGAUAGAUAGAUAGGGAGAGAGAGAGAGAGGGAGAGAGAGAGAGAGAGAGAGAUAGAUAGAUAGAUAGAUAGAUAGAUAGAUAGAUAGAUAGAUGUGUAGAUAGACGUGUGUGUGUUUGUGUGUGUGUGUGUGUGUUCUAACACACACUUUGUAUAGCGAUAUUUCUUGCUUUAGCGCAGUUUAUUCCGAAUUAAAGAAGGAUGCGAUUGUGUAUCCAUUCUCCAAGAAGGUCAAUCACUCUUAUUUGCUAUCCACAGCCCAAUCAGAAUCUUGCAAACCUCUUACAUUGUGCCGUCUGUUAUUUCACGAAAUCAUUCGACACUGUAAAUUCGUCAGCCCUAUGGCAGUUGUUCAGAAAAUUUGGAUGUGCAGAAAAUUUCCCUCUGCAUACUUAAAUCAUAGCACAAGUUUCAGACCACUCUAGCUCUGCACAGUUUGAUGCUACAGAGAAUUCCAAGCAAGGCUUCAUGCUAGCUCCAACAAUGUUCUCACUGUGCCAUGGAUGCCGGACGACAGAUUUAAGUCAACCUAACGUAAUAUACAUAGAGGAAAAAUCCGAUGUUAAUCAAUUUAAGGUUCCUUACCUCAAGUCUAAGAUCAACAUCAUGCUUAUGUCAGUAGAAGAAAUAUGCGCUGGUGAUCGUACAUUAAUACCAGACAUUACAAUGAAAAUUUAGUUCUUGAAGUAUGCUCUUGAUGCUGUGGUUUCAACGUUAAGAUUGAAAAUUAACACCCGUAAAACUAAAAGUCUGUAUCGACCACGACUUGAUUGUGACCAAUUGACGCCCUAAUCCAUCACUACCGAAGGGCAGAAUCUUAUAGAGGCAAGCUACUUUACCUAUCUAGGUAGUUCAACUAGAAAUGAUGGUAGACUCAGGAGACGAACUAGAUUGCAAAUAAGCAAGGUUAGAUCGGAAGUUUGAAAGAGUGUUUGUAGAACAACACGCAGGUGCCAAAUGAAGUGCAAAGUAUAGCUAACAACAGAAGUAUCUGCGCGGCAAUAAUUUAUUAAUUGUGAAAGCAUGCUUUCAUGAUGAGAUACCACAGAAAGGUCGUGGCUUUUAUAAGAAAAGACAAGAACAGAGACAUUCUCUUCUUACAGAAAGCCAAACUCUAACAAGAAGAUAUAUUGGGGCAAUGACAUUCAAGCUGAGUUACACACUCACAUAGAAUGGAGAAACGUACCCGAGAAGAUAAAUACAAUUGUGGAGACGUUGAGAUAAAUCAAAGAAGAGGCCGAGUAAGAUAUAAGAACAUGGAUAAACGUAAAUGCGGAUAUUGGACAUCCAUAGGAGUAGCUAGAUCACGGCAGGUGAGAAACAAGUGGAGAAGAUAGAUUCCACGACAGCUGAUUCCACGACACACGAUAUUUCAUAUGGAUAGUUAUUGUCGACAAUUGACUGUUUGGCUUUCAUGAUGAUGAUGAUGAUGAUGAUGACGAUGAUGAUGAAAGACGACAACGACGACGGUGAUGUUGACUCUAGUGCUGGGGUGCGUGUGUCUGUGUGAAUACGUAAAAUUUCUUUUUUACAUCAGUGAAUGACGGUGAGAAUCGGUGCAUCAGAAAGUGCAGUAUGGUUAUAGUUCUGCCACCACCACCUUCUGCAGUCAAAUCUGUCUCUGACUUACCAGAUCGCUAAAAUGUUCCUGAAAAUCCUGGAAUCGAUUAAUCUGACUAAAACGUAUUUAGGCGUUGUCCCAUCAUAAAUAAGUGGCAAGCCAAAAAAUCCCCAAACUACUGAGUAGAAAUUCCUUAGUAAUAUCGAUUAUUUACUCAGUCAAACAUUCAAUACCACAAACAUACAGCUCUGACUUUCUUCAUUAAGUAUAACGAUUGAAGGUUUCAUCGAGUCCAGCCUGGUAUUCCCUAACUUAUUCUAUAGCCUGUAUUGUACAUUCUAUAUGACAUAUAUUGUUAAAUGCGUCAAUUGAUUUCAUUGAUAACCUUUGUCCAUAUAAUCAUUAUUUAUUUAACUAACCUCUGUCUGUAUGUCAUAAAAUGUCGAAGCGAGUCGUUAUGUAUUUACAGAGAGUCGUAACCGAUCAUUAAUGUGUAAAAUAUUCUUGGAUUUGAUAAGGUCGUGCUACACAAAGUAGAGAAAUGCUAUUUCAUUGCUCUAGGCAUUCAAUUAGCGAUUCGAAAUUGAAAAGCAAUUAAUCAGGAUUCAAAUUGUUUACUGAGUUUUGAAGGAGUUUUUCCAUGUACAUACAAACAGAAACAUACGCACAAACAUACCACGUAUAAUGCCCACAUACAUACACGUAUACACACACAUAUACAUACACCAAUAUAUAUAUAUAUAUAUAUAUAUAUAUAUAUAUAUAUAUAUAUAUAUAUAUACAUACAAACAUACGUACAUAUAAAUUUGUAUAUAGAUACAUAUACAUGCACAGUAUAGGUAUGUGUGUAUAGAUAUAUAAACAUACACAUUCACUCAUCCAUAUACACAUACAAACAUACACACACAUACAUACAUACAUACAUACAUACAUACAUACAUAUAUACAUACAAACAUACAUAUGCGCGCUUACACACGUAUUUAAGGAAAUUUAUUUUCACACCUAUAGACAUAGACGCAUAUAUGUGUCGGUGUAUGCUGGAGUUUGCCCGCGCGUCUGACUAUGCAUGUAAAACUAAUUUAACACACAUCUAUAAAUCUGUAUGUAUGUAUGUCUCUAUCUCUCUCUAUAUAUAUAUAUGCAUGUAUGUAUAAAUUGUAUGUGUUAUGUAAUAAUAAUUUAGAAUGCAUGAAAUUCAGUUUCCUUUUGCUUCGAAAUAAUCGAAGGAUUUCUACUCGAAACUUCCUGAAAUGCUUCUAGUGGUUUAUGGAAGUGUGUGGAGGAGGGACAUUAUUCUUACCUUCUCUUCUACCUUUUCUUCUCCUUCUUCUUCUUCUUCUUCUUCUUCUUCUUCUUCUUCCCUCUCCUCCUCCUUCCCCACCACCUCUUCGGUGGUUCUGUUUUCCUUGCAGUCUCUCGUAAAAACUGUUCGCUGUCUGUUCAAUUUACGGAAAUAGAUUUAAUCGAUUUUUAGUAUUCUACCGAACAACAGACACAUUUUUGCCGAAGCAAUUCGGAUUUAAUCGAUUCCAGAGGCGACACGGACCACAUAGGGCACUGAAAUACCCUUUAUUUAUUUAUCUACUUAUUUACUUUCGUCAAUUUAGAGGUAAAGUCACUUUGUCUUACACCUUUCAGGUAGUUUGAGGUGUGUUAUUAUAAAUAUUUGCAAUAUUCCAACCGUCCGAAAUUAUUUCCAAUACAUACAUUCAACAACAACUAAUUAAACGAAGCGGAAUAAAAUGCUUGAUAUAAAACUAAAAGUUAUAAUAUAUAUAUUCUCUGAAAAAGGAGAAGUAGUGUAGCAAAGAAUCGAAACUGACUACCACAGGUAAUACGAAGCAUAACGUAUUUGACGAAUAUCAUUUCUCAGCUUCAAAGCGGCGAGCUGGCAGAAUCUUUAACACGCCGAGCUAAAUGCUUAGCAGUAUUUCUUCCGACUUCACGUUUUGAGUUCAAAUUCCGCUUAGGUUGACUUUGCCUUUCAUCCUUUCGGAGUCGAUAAAAUAAGUACCAGUGGAGUAUUGGGAGUCGAUUUAAUCGACUAGCCCCUCCCCCAUAAUUUCAACCUUUGUGCCUAAAAUAAAAACGAUUACUUUUUAGCUUCAAAGCAGCGAGCUGGUAGAAUCGUUACCACACCGGACAAAACGCUUGUCAGCAUUUCUUUCGGCCUUACGUUCUGAGGUCGACUUUGUCUUUCAUCCUUUUGGGGUCAAUAAAUUAAGCACCAGUGGAGAAUCGACUUAACCGCUCCCCUAUAAUUUCAGGCUUUGUACCUAUUUAGAAAAAAUAUUCUUUAGCUUCUAGUGCUACAUCAAACUAAACUCCUUUUAUCUUGUAUGGUAGAAACGGAGUCCACCACUCGAAAUUACAAGAUAUAUAAUACAUGACGCUUUCUGGGACAGUCUAUCAAAUCUAACUGGGUCUACGGAGAACAUUUACUUUAUCAUUAAAACCACAUGAAACGUUCGCCACAGGAAUCCAGAGUGGUGGAAGCACAAUGCUUUUUGCGUUUAUCUUCAAUUCAAUCUCGUGUUAUUAAAAAAAUGGUUGUGUUUUUAUUAAUUCGAUUAAUGGUGCAGGCAUGUCUGUGAUGUUAAGAACCUCGCUUCGUAGCAACUUGAUUUCAAGGUCAGCCCCACUGUGUAACACCUAGGGAAAAUGUCUUCUAUCGUAGCCCCAAGCCCCGGCCGAUGCCUUGUGAGAGAAUUUGGAAAAGGAAAACUAUGUGGAAGCCCAUCACACACACAUACUCACAUAUGUGUGUGCGUGUGUGUGUUCGUCUCUGUGCUCGUCACUUGCUGCCACGGGUACUUAAUUUAUCGACUCCGAAAGGAUGAAAGACAAAGUAUUUAGGAAGAUUUGAACCUAAAAGAUGAAAAUAUGUUACAAUGUGCUACUAUCAAGCUGUAUAUUAACGCCAAUAAAUUUGCAUUAAAAGGGUCAUGUAAAAAAGGAAAUGUUUCUCACAUUGACAUUAGGCCAUGCAUGUUCUUUUCUACUCUAGGCACAAGUCCAGAAAAUUUGAUGGAGGGGGCCAGUCGAUUAGAUCGACCCCAGUAUGCAACUGGUACUUAAUUUAUCGACCCCCAAAUGAUGAAAAGCAAAAAUCGACCUCGGUGGAAUUUGGUCUCAGAACGUAAAGACAAACGAAAUACUGCUAAGGAUUUCGCCCGGCGUGCUAACAUUUCUUAUUUCUUUAUUGCCCACAAGGGGCUAAACAUAGAAGGGACAAACAAGGACAGACAGAUAUAUUAAAUCGAUUACAUCGACGCCAGUGCGUAACUGGUACCUAAUUUAUCGUCCCCGAAAGGAUGAAAGGCAAAGGCGACCUCGGUGGAAUUUGGUCUCAGAACAUAAAGACAAACGAAAUUCCGCUAGACAUUUCGCCCGGCGUGCUAACGUUUCUGCCAGCUCACCGCACAUCGCCUAUUACUACUACUUAUUUAUUUUAUUUAUUCUUAAAGAAAGGAAAUACAAAGCAGACUGAAAUGGGCCGUGAACUUGGAACAAAAUGGGCUAUGAUAAAUAGCUGCUUAAUGCUAAGUGGGAUUCAUGCAAGGCCAGAUAUCAAAUGGGGAGAGAAAGAGUCGAUUUUAUAUACUUGAGUAUCUAACUAAUAGUUUAUUUUCUUGAAAGGCAAAUUUGACCGCAGCAGGAUCUGAACUCAGUACGUAAAUAACCGGAGCAAUACCGGAGCGACGUUCUACCGAUUGUGCUAUAAAGUAAACAUAGUUAGCAGGACCAGUUUCAAUCACUAAUGGCUCAGUACGUUUACAUCUCGUCACUCAGCUAACCAGUCCGAUGCUAUAAUAACUUCAAGUGAAUACAUUGGUUCUUUUACUUGAGAAUCGUGUCGGGCAAAUUCCAACAGUAUUCGCUCCAAACUAAAUGAUACGGCUAUAUAAGCAGAUUGCUCCAAGUUCAAUAUGUAGUAGAAACGUAAAUACAGGCUUAAAACAUUUAUACUAAAGGAUUAAAUGACAGUACAAUGUUUGUAAAUAAUGUAGGAUAUUGUGAAAUGUCUGUUUCACAUCCGUAUAUAUAUAUAUAUAUGGAUGUAGUACCUGAGAGUUCUACCCAUACGACCCUCUUAAAUGGGCGAAGACGGAUGGUUGAAUAGACCGUUAUUUCUUGAUACUUUUAAUUUUGCUUACUCGCUUUCCCUGGUAUCGGGAAUUUAAACAUGGUCGGAACUCUGUGGAAACAGCUCCCAGAUCUGGUCGCCCCGCUUCUGCCAUUGAUGAGGCAUCUGUCCGGUACAGCGAAACACUUUUAAUAACUAUUAUUCUUUCUUUUCCUCCUCCCUCUCUCUCACUCUGUAUAUAUAUAUAUAUAUAUAUAUAUAUAUAUAUAUAUAUAUAUAUAUAUAUAUUGUUAUAUUUCGGAAUGGUCAUAUUGCCAGUUUGCACAACAAAUAUUUAAACGUAUAUAUAUAUAUAUAUAUAUAUAUGUGUGUGUGUGUAUAUAUAUAUAUAUAUGUGUGUGUGUAUAUAUAUAUAUAUGUAUGUAUAUAUAUAUAUAUGUAUAUAUAUAUAUAUAUAUAUAUAUAUAUAUAUUAAAAUUUAUAAGUUUAAAUUAUCUAAAUAAUUUUUAAAAUUUUAACUUUAAUUUAAAUAUUUUAAUUUGGAAUUUUAUAUUUUUUAUAUUUUAUAUUUUAUAUUUUUUUAAUUAAUUUUAUUUCUAUGUAUUGGCUUAUGAUUUUCACUGAUUGAUUUGCCUAAUAGUGGUUUUAUCUCUAAGUUAAUAUAAUAUAUAUAUAUAUACAGGAUAGAUAGAUAAAUUACAUUAUAUAUAUAAAUAUAUAUAUAUAUAUAUAUAUAUAUAUAUAUAUAUAUAUAUAUAUAUAUAUAUUGUGAAAAUAUUAUUUUCACAAUAAAAUUUUCGUAAUUCCAAUGCCUUUCUGGUACACAGUUUUAAUUUUUUAUUGUUAUUUGCCGCUGAAUGUAACAUCGCUUGCGCGGUGGAUUUGAAAAUUAUAAUAUAUAUGUAGCACGUGUGUUUUCGGUGCUAUUUGCUGCAUAAAUAUGCAUUAAUUUUAGCGACAUCAGUGAUGAAGUACGGAUGACAAAUUACUUUAUUUGUACUUUGUUACAGAAACUCGAGUUUGAGGGUAACUACAAAACUAUUUUUAUCUUCAUUCCCUUUGAAAUUUGUUUAGGCUUUGGUUGUUCUUUCUAGCAUAUAAGAUGUCCUGUCAAAGGCCACUUCUUUCGUAAAUUGUUUAGACACUAUAUAUAUAUAUAUAAAUAUAUAUAUAUAUAUAUAUAUAUAUAUAUAUAUAUAUAUAUAUAUAUGUAUGUACGAGGGACGUUCAAUAAGUAAUGCCUCUGACCCACUUGCAGUUGUUUGAUCUAGCUGAAAUUUUGCAUGUGCAAUUAUUUAUAUCUCUAUAGAGUAAGUGAACUAAUUGUGGUUUCUGAUUUACAGGUGUUUGAACUGAGUCAAGUGUGAAAUGGAGCCUGUUGAAUGUCGAGCAGUGAUCCGGUUUUUGUAUUUGAAAGGACGCACACCACGGGAGAUUUUUGAUGAAAUGAAAGUAACUUAUGGUGAUGAUGCCCCAUCAUAUGACCUUGUAAAACGCUGGUAUCGUGAAUUCAAACAUGGUCGGAACUCUGUGGAAACAGCUCCCAGAUCUGGUCGCCCCGCUUCUGCCAUUGAUGAGGCAUCUGUCCGUCAAGUUGAGGCUGCCAUUUUGGAAGAUCGACGCAUAAUUAUUCGCCAAAUAGCCCAUGAGGUCAAGAUUAGUACCGGGUCUGUGGAAACUAUCAUUCAUGACCAUUUGCAUAUGCAAAAGGUGUCUGCCAGAUGGAUUCCCAGGUUGCUCACGCCUUUCCAGAAGCAAGAACGCGUCGAGUGCUCGAGGAUGAAUUUGGAGAUGUGCCAAGAAGAUGAGUCAAAAUUUUUCAAAAGACUGAUUACACAGGAUGAAACCUGGGUCCAUCACGAUGAUCCAGAGACCAAAGCCCAGUCAAUGCAGUGGAAGCACCGUGACUCACCCCCUCCAAAGAAGGCAAGGGUGCAGCCCUCCGCUGGCAAGGUCAUGCUCACAGUCUUCUGGGACCAGGACGAAGUAGUGAUGACCGAUUUCCUGGCAAAGGGUACCACAAUUACAGGAGCCUAUUAUGCUUCACUUUUGAGGAAAUUAAGAGAAGUUAUCAAAAUCAAGAGGCGGAGGAAGAUCAGCAAAGGCAUCCUCCUCCUGCAGGACAACGCUCCGGUCCACAACUCGCUUGUCGCCAGAUCAGAAGCACAGGCGUAUGGCUAUGAACUCCUCCCCCAUCCCCCUAUUUUCUUGACCUUGCACCCUCUGAUUUUCCCCUCUUCCCAGUCAUGAAGUUGUUUUUGAAAGGCAAGCGUUUCCCAGAUGAUGCAGCCUUGAUUUCUGAAGUCACGUUCAGGUUGGAGGACCAAGCUGGGGUCUUCUACAAAAACGGUCUCCAGAGCUGCAUCAAACGAUGGGAGAAAUGCGUAGCUCUGGGUGGUUCCUAUGUAGAAAAAGACUAAUAACUGUGCCAAGUUUCGUUGCUCUACUGCUAUGGGAAGUGGGUCAGGGGCAUUACUUAUUGAACGCCCCUCGUAUGUAUGUAUGUAUGUAUGUAUGUAUGUAUGUAUGUAUGUAUGUAUGUAUGUAUGUAUGUAUGUAUGUAUGUAUGUAUGUGUGUGUAUGUGUGUGUACGAUGACUUGCAUAUUCCCUCUUAAUACGUUCUGGCAGAUUUAAACGUGAAUACACUAAUGGCUAUUAUAGUUUAUUUGCCUUAGGCGGCGAGCUGGCACAAACGUUAGCACGCCUGUCGAAAUGCGUAGUCGUAUUUCGUCUGCCGUUACGUUCUGAGUUCAAAUUCCGCCGAGGUCGACUUUGCCUUUCAUCCUUUCGGGGUCGAUAAAUUAAGUACUAGUUGCGCAUUAAUCCGUUUGUCUGUCCUUGUUUGUCCCCUCUAUGUUUAGCACCUUGUGGGUAAUAAAGAAUUAUAUUAUAGUUUAUUUGCGUAAUGAAUCGAAUGAACUAUGAACACACGUUCGUCUGAAGGGCAAUGUUCUGCAAUGACAAAACACAACAGCAUUUAGCAUAUUUCGCGACCGAAACUACUGGAACGUAUUGAUUUCAAAUUUUGGCACAAGGCCAGCUAGGUCUGGGGAGGGGACUAGUCGACCAAAUCACUCCCAUUACUCAAAUGAUACUUAUUUUAACGACCCCCGAAAGGCAAGCUCAACAUUGGCGGAAUUUGAACUCAGAGCGUAAAUGACGAAAUGUCGCAAAGCAUUUUGUCCGGCGUGGAAACGAUUCUGCUAGCUCGCCGCGUUAGAUCUGCUGGAACAUCUUAAGAAUGAAUAUACAAUACACCGUUUUGAUCUUCGCUGUUUACCGUCCGGUGACAUAUUAGAUAUAUUAUAUAUAAAUAGUAUACACACACACAUAGACAUAUAUAUAUAUAUAUAUAUAUAUAUAUAUAUAUAUAUAUAUAUAUAUAGAGAGAGAGAGAGAGAGAGAGAGAAAAUAGUAAAAAGUGAAAAAACUACAGAAGGCUUGUUUUAAAAGAUUAAAGAAUAUAUAUUUAAGUCAAUAUGUCUGAAGAAUAUUAUAAAUUUUUUUCUUACAAUGACAUAGUUUAGAAGAAAGACCGGUUUCGCGUUUAGCUUUUCAAACAAGCCUUCUGUAGUUUUUUCACUUUUUACUAUUUUCUAUAUAUUCAACCACGUGCUUUCACAAACCAACUUUCUUAUCUAUAUAUAUAUAUAUAUAAUUAAAAAUGAGGGUGUCUAAAAGACACCAACAUGCCGAAAUAGCAGUCGAAUAGAGUGACUACUUAGAAGUAUAUAUAUAUAUAUAUAUAUAUAUAUAUAUACAUAUCUAUAUAUAUACAUAUAUAUAUAUAUAUUAGAGAGAGAGUGGGAGGUGGCUAGUAAUCAGUAAUUACAAAGGCUUCAAAUAGUGUCGCUUUUUGUUAGUUAGAUAAGAAAAUAGGGAAAAACUUAUGAGAGGCCGCCGUGAAGACCAUAAAACGAUUAAUACAGAUUUUAAAAAUCGUUAAAUUUAUAGCUAUCUGGGGAUCAAGAAGCAGAAAAAGUUUCUGAAGACAAAACAGAAAAUACUUAAGUAGAAUCGAUUCUUACAAGAGAGUGGAAGAAUAGAACUAAACGGGUGUGAAGUAACGGUAAGACAUGGAGGAACAAGAGAUAAAAUGUUUGGCAGAACAACGACUAUGAAAGUGUUUACAGAAAAGAGGUAGGGAAUCAAUGUCUUGGCGAUAAGAGUGAGGUUGAAAUUUGAGUGCCAAGCUCACUUUUGAACUCCAUCAAAUUAGAGGUGGGACAUCGAUAUUCCACAGAGGAGUAAAUAAGUGAAUUUUAAAGACCUAGAAUGUAUUCAGAGUAAAAAUAAUAACGAGAUCCUUAUAGAGAACCACUAACCUUCAGAAGGAUCAAACACCUACUUGUCUAGUACCUUCUGUGAAGACCUUUAAAAGUCUCUUCCCUUUCUGUUGAGCUUCCUGUUAAUCAUAAGACUUUAUUCUAAUAGCUUCUUCUUUUACUUCUAAGUAGUCACUCACGUCACUGUGGAUUCAAACCUUGUUUAGAGCAAAUCGCAUUGAAAAAUGUGUUUUUAGAAAUAAAUUCAGAAUAUUUAUUUCGAGUAAGGCAUUUAGGAAGAUUUGAACCUAAAAGAUGAAAAUAUAAGAAACUAAUGUUACAAUGUGCUACUAUCAAGCUGUAUAUUAACGCCGAUAAAUUUGCAUUAAAAUGGUCAUGUAAAAAAUAUUGUUUCUCACAUUUACAUUAGGCCAUGCAUAUUCUUAUCUACUCUAGGCACAAGGCCCUAAAUUUUGGGGGAGAGGGUCAGUCGAUUAGCUCGACCCCAGUAGGCAACUGGUACUUAAUUUAUCGACCCCGAAACGAUGAAAAGCAAAAAUCGACAUCGGUGGAAUUUGAACUCGGAACGUAAAGACGAACCAAGCAUUUCGCUAAGCAUUUCGCCCGACAUCUAACGUUUCUGCCAGUUCGCAGCCUUUGGGUCACGCAUAUCGGGGGAGAGUAUAUAGUCAAUUUAAUUCUUCCCAAAGUCUGAGUGGUACUAAUUUUAUCUACAAUUGAUGUAAUUAAUAAACAGAUGUACUUAAAUACUGCAAAACACUACGUGUGUUAUACAUCCGAUUCUACAACUUAAGCACAAUUUCGUUUAUCAAAUAUCUUUAAAAUCCUUCAUUCUUUCAUGAACACUAGCCUCCCUCGGGCCUUGCAUAUCUAGAACUCUAUUCAAUAUGAUACUUCUUCGUCGAGGAUCCACGAUAUUUGAAGAUUUUGUUGCUAUUUCUAAGUCCAGCAACCUCGUUGACUCCACGCCGUAGAGACUCGUUCUUGGCUCGUGAAAUCAAUUCUAGCUAUGCUCUUGGAACUUUUAGUCAGAAUAAGGAACAGUUAACUUUUACGUUGGAAUAUAUCAUUUAAAUGCAUUCUUAUAUUUGCCUUUGUUUCCUCUAUAAUUUUCUCACAGUUUAUACACCAGCAAAUUUUUAUUCUUAAAUACAUUUAUGUGUAUAUUUUGCUCAACUGUCUGAACAUAUAUGCAAAAUAUAUUAUCCAAUGUUCUUAUGCCACACAUACACACACACACGCGCACACACACACAUACAUAUGUAUUAUACUAUAAUUUUCUAUACUGUUUCUAUACUGUUUUAAAUCAGAAUAUAGUUAAUUUAUAGUUUUAUUCUACUCUGCGCUUUUUAAUGCUGCUUACAUCAUACAAAGAAAAUUGAAUACAGUCUUAUAAACUAUAUAAUCGCUGAUGACAACCACUUACCUACUUAUGCAGCUGAUUGACUUCAAAGGGCUAAGAGGAAUGAUGACGAGAUAAAUUAGCAAAAAUAAAGUAUUUGUUUGCAAGAACUAAAAGUCCAGGCUCUGAGAAUCUCGGAAGUAAACAAGUAAACAAGAUCAGGAAUUUGGCACUGUUAAGGGUCAGUACAAAGCCAUUUACUCUUAAUGGUUUUUAAAGAAAUCGAUUUUUGCAACGUAAAAGCUUUAUUGAAUUGAAUUCUUUUCUCUUGGUUUCUGCAGGCAAAGGUUUAAAUAAUUUGAAGCAAAUGCUUUUUGGGAGUGGGUUUGUAUGCUUCCUUUCGUAACCCAGGAGAGAAUAUGAUUAUUUGAUCGUCUCUUGCCACUAGAGUGCGUAAAGUAUGAAACAUUUUGUGGUAUUUCAGCAUUUGCCUUAGUAAAAUUUCUACACGUCACAUUUACAUUAAAUUAUCUAUAAUGUUCGCAUUUACUUUAACAAUGGAAUGCAUAGGAAAACCACGCAAAAAUCAAUAAAGAUGAAAUAAUUUGUUGGUCUUAAUAAAAAUAAACAAGUUUUAUUUGAGAGAUACUUCGCAGAAAUUUCCUCCAUCUAUGAGAAGAAAACUAUCAGAAUUUUACCCAAAUUUUCUCCUUAGGUCAAUGUUAACGGACGGAUAAAUUUCCCUGUUGGGGUCUAUAGUAAUUGUCAAAAAAUUCUUUAUACCUACUCAUUAUGGAUUUAGAGAAAUGAACAAUAGUGGUUAAGGAAGAAUUAGAAACGUAUUUCAGUAUAAUAUGUGAACAGAAUUAUGGAAAGUAAUUUAGAUUCUGAGAAUGCAACUAUACAGUGUUGGCUGACUGCGAAGGCAAGACUUUUCAAAGGAAUCUUGUACAAGAGCUUCUCUCCAGUUUUAUGCCAAAGGAAGAAAUGUUGUAAUUUUGUAUAUAUACAAAAGUAAGUUGAAUUUCAGAAGGCUGUCGUUCUAGAGUGAAGGGGAUUUUAUGUUAUUAUUACAGGCUUUGAGGAAAUUAGUCAAGGCAUAUUUUCAUUAAUAGUAGUUGGUAAAUUCAAACACUUGCAAUUAGCAGAUUUCUUCACCGGUAAUACUACAGCACUGCUGCAGGAGAACUACAUAGGAUUUUACGAAGAAUAAGUUUUGGUUGUGUAAGGAAUGUAAACGGUCAUAGUGUCGAUUGUCUGCCUAGCUUUCAUGGAUAUGUUAUAGUUAAAGGAUUUUUGCUGUUAGUGGUAGUCGGCAUAAGAUUACUAGAUUGACGAUCAGAUAACAAAAUGUUCACGUAAUUGCUUCGCUGUGCAAUAAGAUAAUGUUUUAUUUCAUCAGACACUUUACCAAGAAUGUAUUUUUUCUUUUAUCCUGAAAUCGUUUCAGGUGUUUUACUAUAUGACCAUACUGGUGCAGCAUCUUCAGUUUUAGGGCGCUCAUGUAAGCGAAUCUCGUUUCAAAUUUCCCCCAACAUCCUUUUUAAGCUAUCUCAGUGAACGUGUAUGAAUACAAAACACUAUAUGAAUUAUGUGAAUAAAAAGUCGUUUUAUUAUCUGUUAAAUGAACUCGAAGGACAAUGAAUAAUCAAAAUAAUAACGUAAGAUAUUUUACUUAAAAUGUAAUUUCUUUCAAAAUGUGGCAUCAUAUAAUAUACAUUAGAGCCAAUAUUUUAAAUCUUUUUUAGCAAUGUUUUCUCUCCCAAAUUAUAUUCUAAUGUUUUACAAAUUUUGAUUGAUCGAAGAUAAUUUCCGUAAAAAUCGAUGUUAUUUUAGAGCAUUUCUCCAAAUUUAAUUUUAAUAUUUGGGGAGAGAGAGAGAGAGAGAGAGAGAGAGAGAGAGAGAGAGAGAGAGAGAGUCAAAAUAACUAGUUCCCGGUAGAUAAAAUAAUUCAUUUAGGUUUAGGUGAACAUAGUAGCACGAAAUGUAAGCGGUUCCUUGACUGCAACGCACUGGCUUAUUAUUAGUGAUAUGUUCACAACUCCACUAAGGAAGACUUACAAUAAUGUCCCAUUUGUAUCCAGAAGAAUAAACUAUUUAUCUAUCAAUUAAUUGUUUGACGUGAAGGUGCGUGGCUUAACAAACGUCUCGUCCAGAUGGGGAAUACAUAUGCCAUUGGAACCGCCCCUAUGUGACUCGGGAAGGAAUUUUAUUUUUUAAUUGUUAAACAUGAUAUAACAGGGUGUCAGUUACAUCAGACCCCACACUAAAGUGUCUCUUUUUCGGUCGUUAUUGAAUGAAUUUAUUAUAGAUAGAAAAUAUUUUUAAGUCUUUAGCUUUUAGUGAUAGUUAAACUUUGCAUUAUCAGGGAAGUAAAAUAUUUAUGCAUCAGAAGGUAUCUAGAUUCAUUGUGGGGCAUAUUAAAACGAAUUUUGGCUUAUUUUAUAAGAUAUCGAAUGAGUUAACAAGUACUACUCGGUUAAACCACUAAAACGCUUAGUUGUUUCUCACGGUGGUAACUUAUAAAACAAUUUUAUUACAAAUAAUAUUGGGAUUUAUUUUUAAAGUGAGAAAAUAACUUCGUUGUAGGCGAAGCAACUAUUGGGAAAAUAACGAAGUAUAUAUUGAGUGAAUUGUAUGACAACAAAUUAUCUCCAUUAUCUUCACAUCCGGAAACCAUUCAAUUGAAGAAUUGAGCAUUGUAGGAAGCUUUUAAAGUCUACUACGAGUUGGCUUUCUUAAAAUAUACGAUUAAAGGUUACAUAUACUUUGAAAUUGAGCAAAAGCAAUUGAAGUCAAUGAUAUAUACAACGGAAUAAGGAAAUAUAUUCUCUAUCAAACAGAAGAUAAGUGGCAACUCUUUCUACAAAAUGAUUCCUGUUUAAACGUGCAAGAGUUAGACAACAAUGAGUUAAUCUAUAAAAGUGUUAUCUAUAUAAACAUGCAGGAAAACCAAAACAAUAGAGAUAAAAGGUGUUUCAAGCUUCUUCAAAAGAAAUUAUAAUAUAAUCUUUAUAUCUCAACAUGAGGUCAAGUCAGACAAAAUUGACAGUGAUUUCACACAAUAUCACAAUCUCUCUGCUAUUAUAAAUGUGUGAAACUCUUCUUAGGUAGUAAUAAUUUUUAUUAUUUUGUGUAAUUUAAAUUGUACUACAGGAUAUAGUUAAUUAUCGUAUUUGAAUGAAACCGAGAUUGGUCAAUUGAGAUAAUUAUCACUUACUACUAACAAAGUUGUCUAAUAAAAAUGAUGAUGUUAUUAUUUCAAAUUUUUGCCAUACAGGCAGCUUGGGGAGAUGGGGGUAAGUCGAUUACAUCGACCCCAGUGUUCAACUGGUACUUAUUUAAUCGACCCGGAAAAGAUGAAAGGCAAAGUCGACCUCAGCGAAAUUUGAACUCAGAACGUAAAGAAGGAUAAAAAAACCUAUUUCUUUACUAUCCACAAGGGGCUAAACACAGAGAGGACAAACAAGGACAGGCAAACGGGUUAAGUCGAUUAUAUCGACCCCAGUGCGUAACUGAUACUUAUUUAAUCGACCCCGAAAGGAUGAAAGGCAAAGUCGACCGCGGCGAAAUUUGAACUCAGAACGUAACAGUAGACGAAAUACCGCUAAGCAUUUCACCCGGCGUGCUAACGUUUCUGCCAGAAAAUAACACACCUCCUGAAGCACAAGAAACCCGCCAAUUUUGGAAUAACAUCUGGGGGCAAGAAGGAUGAAAUACCGCUAAGAAUUUCGUCAGGUAUGCUAAUGAUUCUGCCAGCUCGCCGCCUUAAUAAUAAUAAUAAUAAUAAUAAUAAUAAUAAUAAUAAUAAUAAUAAUGAUGAUGAUGAUAAUAAUAAACAAAUAACCAGAGGCAUUAGGAGAAAAUACAGAAGAUAAUACAACUUCUGAAGCACACGAAACCCGCCAAUUUUGGAACAACAUCAGGGGGCAAGAAGUUUCGCACAACCACACUGAUGGGUAGAUUCAUUCCGUGAGAUCCGUACUCCAUCACCCGGUGACUCCACUACAGGACCACGUGCGCAUAACAACAGAUAUCAUUGCACAGAUAUCAAAACUGCCAAACUGGAAACCGGCAGAACCAGAUGGAAUUCAAGGCUACUGGCUCAAGUGGUUUAGAUCAAUACACAUGAGAAUUUCCUUGCAAUUAGACAGUUGCCUACGGAGCGGUGCAGUUCCGGAGUGGAUAGUAGAGGCAAGAACAACAUUCUUAAUGAAAGAUCUCGUGUGGAAACUAUUAACAAGUACCCUCACAGGGGAAAUAUAUGCGUUCCUUGUGGAAAACAGUCUACUGCCAGUAGGACAAAGGGGAUGCUGAAAAGGAUCCAAGGGCACCUAGGACCACCUUGUGAUAGAGAAAGUUAUAAUUAAGAACUGUAAACAGUACCAAAAAAACAUACACAUGGCCUGGGUAGACUUCAAAAAGGAGUACAUGUUGCCACUUCCUGAAUUUUGGAAGCACUCGACAUGUGUGGAAUAGCUGAGAACGUGUGUGCACUGAUUACGAACAGCAUGCAUAGAUGGAAAGCAUGUCUUUCCUGUAACAACUAGCACUUAGCCGAGGAAAUAACCAAAAUAGAUAUCUUCCACGGAGACGCUUGUUCACGUCUGUUAUUUGUUAUAGACUUGAUCCCACUUUCUGUAGUCCUACGCAAUGUCAACGCACAUUAUGAACUGAGAAAAAUGAACCUCAUCUCAAACACCUUCUCUUCAUGAAUGAUUUAAAACUGUUCACAAAAAAAGUCUGAAAUGGAGAGGCGAGUUGAGACUGUGCAAAUGUGCUGCUGUAAAAAUAUAAAGAUGGAAUUCAGUAUCUUGAAGUGUGCGGUGCUUACUUUGAAGCGGGGGAAAGAGUAAAUUGUAGGGGCAUAAAAUUGCCGAACGGAAAGAGAAUGGAAAGCCUGGAUGAUGUUGGGUAGAAGUACCUUGGUAUCCUGGAGCCAGAAAAUAUCUUGCACAGAGAAAUGAAAUACAAGACCAUCACUGCAUAUUUCAAGCGCCUCAAACUUCUCUUGAAAUCAAAACUCAACUCAAGGAAACUUGUAACCUCCAUGGACAUAUAGACUGUUGCUGUAGUCCGCUAGAGUGCAUCCACUAGGAUGAAAGGCAAAGUCGACAUUGGCGGAAUUUGAACACCAGAACGUAGCGGCAGACGAAAUACCUAUUUCUUUACUACCCACAAGGGGCUAAACACAGAGAGGAAAAACAAGGGCAGACACACGGAUUAAGUCGAUUAUAUCGACCCCAGUGCGUAACUGGUACUUAUUUAAUCGACCCCGAAAGGGUGAAAGGCAAAGUCGACCUCAGCGGAAUUUGAACUCAGAACGUAGCGGCAGACGAAAUACCGCUAAUCAUUUCACCCGGCGUGCUAACGUUUCUGCCAGCUCGCCGCCCGAAUAAUAAUAAUAAUAAUAAUAAUAAUAAUAAUAAUAAUAAUAAUAAUAAUAAUAAUAAUAAUAAUAAUAAUAAUACCACAGAUUUGCUUGUCAGUUGUUUGACAACAACCAGUUGAGCAUGUCCCUUAGUGGCUGACGAUAUGAGCAUCUCAGAUCACGAGCAGAAGUAGUGGGGGAGCAUCAUAGCCAUGUGUUGAGAGGGAUUGUUUGGGGUUUAAAUAAUUCACCUGUGGAAACAUGGGUGGUUCUUUCAACAUCCUCAAACAACCCUUAUUGAGAGACCUUUUGAGCGGGAUGGGCUACUCAACCUGAAGAAAAUUCUAACUGGGCCCCACCUGCAAGGUCAUGUGCUGUUUUUCUUGAUAUGCAAUCACCAUGUCGCGCACAUAUGGUUGUGAUGCAUGUGCCUGGUGUACCCUUAUCAGAUGGGUAGUUAUGAUGGGUAUAUUGGGCUUCGUAUAUUUUACCCCAGUGUCACUUUGAUGGCAUGAACUGCUCCCUCACUCAAUAAUAAUAAUAAUAAGUUUACGACUAUUGUUGUUGUUUAAGGAACAUUUAAAUUCAGCUCUAAACGAUCGUCUUGAAAAUUUACUCGCUAUAAUAUUUUCAGAGUUCAAAAAAAAGUCUUAAAACCAUUUCUUUACUUAUGUCUGAGUGCUAAAAAUAAUCAUAUUUAACGAAAUCUUAUUUCAUUACAAAAUGUUAUUUUUCUUGUAAAUCAAUACCAUAAAGAUAUGAUCAUAAUUAAUAUUUAUUUAACUUCACUUAUCAGCAGACCAAAUAUUGAUAUGCUCCACCAUUUGAAGUUUAUAGGAAUUAUCUGAGGCCAUUUAUAGAAUUUUGUCUUAAAAGUAAAUUUACACAGAAAGAUAAUUGAAUAAUCAAUGUUUUAAAUAUUUAUAUUUUUCUUUCGAUAUCAAUUUAGAGACAACGUAUCAUAUGUUUUUGUUGUUGUUGUUGUUAUUUUGUUUUCUUAUUGUUUAUUGCUUUUUUUUUCCUUUUUUGUUAAUGGGUGAGGAGUGAGGGCUCUGAAUAAAUAUUUUAAAUGUUCAUCAUAAGUUAAAAACUAUUUAAUGUUUUCAGUUAUUUCUAUGACUGUAAAUCACUUUCUUUCAAUAAAUAUAAUUUCAAAAAUCAAUCACUCACACUAUCAAAUCUAUAAUCACUUCUUUAACUUUUUCUUUAUCUCAUGCGUCCUUCCAUGGGUGAUGGACUAAAUAAUGACCAGAACAGUGACUAUUUAAACUUUAUGUCCCUUGUUUUUACCAUUGUAAAUUGGGUAAACAGUCAUCAAUUACACUCUUGACCAACAAGAUUGUAAACUCCAUCUGGUGGUAAGGCUCACGUUUAAGAAUUUAGCGUUGUAUGGAUUUAGGGUUUAAUUACUUCAUCCAUGCCCGCUCUUACGUGGAGUAGCAGUACCUGUUUAACAAACAAGUUUUGAAUCAAAUAGUGCAAUAUUAGAAUCAAAUAGUGCCCUGUGCAAUAUAAUCAUAAAGACGUAGCUAAUUCAUACAUGAUUUAGAGAAAAUUGGUCCCUGGACAAUUUUAAAUACACACAAACCUGUGUCAACAUGCUGUCCUUACGUGAACAAGUUCCUUGCCUAAGGGUUAAUAAAGUAGGUCUUGUGCCUCAUUAAAGCUGGAGACUACAAGGGUAAAUUUUAAGUAGACCAACAUAAGAUUCCAGGAUAAAUGUCUAAAUCAGUCUUUAUGACACUUUCCUGGAUAUCUUAGACAAUGGAAUGGGAUCUACACUGAAAUAUCAGCCUUAUAAACAUUGUCCCUUUUUAAACACAUUCUUCAAGUAGGUGGAAUUUACAAAAAAGACAUCACAAAGCUACAAUACCCUUUACAUCCAUACUCUUUCUUUAAUGAACAUCAAGACGUUCAAAACUAGGGGUAUAACAAGCUAGUCUUCUUUAACACCACCAAAUAAGUAGCACUGAAAAAUAAUAGUUUAUCUAAUUGCUAUAAGGUCAGAAAUUACUUUGAGGAGAAGGAAAGAAAGUUUAAAUGUAUAAACUCCAGUGCCUGAGUGAUGCAACUACUUAUUUCAUUGAGCGGGAACUGAUGAAAAGCGAAGCCAACUCCCAUAUGGGUUUUGACUCAGUGCAUACAAAUAUCACAUUAUUUGUCUGACAUUACAACGAUUCUGCUAAUCACUUCGUAUAUGCGUGUCUAUAUGCGUGUGUUGUGUGUGUAUCUGUAUCGAGUACGUUAUACAGGCACCAUGAGGAAAACAACACUCAGUUAGUGUAAUUCAUGAUUGUAACAGUUGGGAUAUACGUUUGGUAAUGUGCGCUUCGUAUCCAAUCUCACGAUCGGAAACGUGACAUUUAAACGUGACAUUGGUUUAACGUACAAGUGAAUACAAUCACACACACACAAGCACACAUUUUUGCAUGUAUGCCAGUGUGUAUGUGUAUCUAAUAUAUAUAUUUACGCAUACGAACAUAUUGAAAUACAGGUAUUACUCGUUUUUGGAGCACCGUGAAAUAAAGUGUCAUGGUCAAGGACACAACGCGCCGCAGGGAAUCGAACUUGCAUCCUUACGAUCGCGAGCCGAAACCAUAACCACUUGGCCACGCACUUUACACACACACACACACACACACACACACACACAUAUUUAUAUAUACACACACAAAUAAAUCAUACAUAUACCUAUGUAUAAAUAUAGCAAUACAUAUAUGUACGCAUACAUGAAUGCAUGCAUGCUUACAUACAUACAUACACACAUACAUACAUACAUACAUACAUACAUACAUACAUACAUACAUACAUACAUACAUACAUGCAUCCAUCCAUGCAUACAUACAUACAUACAUACAUACAUACAUGCAUACCUACAUACGUACAUACAUACAUACAUACAUACAUACAUACAUACAUACAUACAUACAUACAUACAUACAUACAUACAUACAUACAUACUUAUACAAAGGAGACAAUGUAAAUUUUCUUUUCUUUAUGAAAUAGAAUUUUAUAAUAUGGAAAACUAUUAUAUAAAAAUAAUUGUCUUUAUUGUUUCUUCGAAAAAGUUUACAAAUUAUAUUGUUUUUGUUAGAGAAGUAAAUUAAUUUUUAAAUAUUAUGAUUGAUUUUGUAGUUAUUGUGUUUCUAUUUAUUUGUUUCUGUUUAUUCCGAUUAAAUGAAUUAGUUUUGUAUUAAAAUAAUUUCACAAACGUUACACGUAAUUUAUUGUCCAAUAUCUUCAGGUCGCCUAACUUUUUAUGUUUAAUAUUUUCUAUGUGUAAGGCGGCGAGCUGACAGAUUCGUUAGCACACCGGGAAAAUGCUUAGCGGCAUUUCAUCUGUCUCUACCUUCUGAGUUCAAAUUCCACCGAGGUCGACAUUGCCUUUCAUCCUUUCGGGGACGAUAAAUUAAGUACCAGUUCCAUACUGGAAUUGAUCUAAUCGACUGACCCCCUCAACCAAAAUUUCGGGCCUUGUGCCUGGAGUAGAAAAGAAUAUCUUCAGGUCACCUAGCUUUUUAUGUUUAAUAUUUUCUGUGCGUAAGGCGUCGAGCUGGCAGAAACGUUAGCACGCCGGGCGAAAUGCGUAGCCGUAUUGCGUCUGGCAUUACGUUCUGAAUUCAAAUUCCGCCGAGGUCGACUUUGCCUUUCAUCCUUUCGGGGUCGAUAAAUUAAGUACCAGUAACGCACCGGGGUCGUUGUAAUCGACUUAAUCCGUUUGUCUGUCCUUGUGUGUCCCCUCUGUGCUUAGCCCCUGGUGGGUAGUAAAGAAAUAGGUAUUUCGUCUGCCGCUGCGCUUUAAGUUAAAAUUCUGCCGAGGUUGAUUUUGCCUUUUAUUCAUUCGGGGUCGAUUGAAUGAGUACCAGUCACGCACUGAGGUCGAUAUAAUCGACUUAAUCCCUUUGUCUGUCCUUCUUUGUCCCCUCUAUGUUUAGCAUUUAUUAUUAUUAUCAUUAUUGAGUGAGAGAGCAGUUCAUUCCACAAAGUGACACUGGGGUAAAAUAUACGAAGCCCAGUAUACCCAUCAUGGCUACCCAUCUGAUAAGGGUACAUUAGGCACAUAUGCGCGACAUGGUGAUCUCAUAUCAAGAUAAACAGCGCAUGACCUUGCAGGUGGGGCCCAGUUAGAAUUUUCUUCUGGUCGAGUAACCCAUGCCGCUCAAAAGAUCCCUGAAUAAGGGUUGUUUAAGGAUGUUGAACGAAACAUCCGUGUUUCCAAAUGUGAAUUAUUCAAACCCCAAAGAAUCCCUCUCAACACAACGGGCAAAAUGCUUAGCGGCAUUUCGUCUGUCUUUACGUUCUGCGUUCAAAUUCCGCCAAGGUUGACUUUGCCUUUCAUCCUUUCGGGGUCGAUAAAAGUAUUACCAGUUGAGGACUGGGGUCGAUGUAAUUAACUCAUCCCCUCUCCCAAAAUUAUGCUUAAAGUGGCGUGCUGGCAGAAUUGUUAGCACCUUGGGCAAAAUCCUUGGCGGCAUUUUGUCCAUCUUCACAUUCUGAGUUCAAAUUCUGUCAUGAUCGACUUUGCCUUUCAUCAUUUCGGGGUCGAUAAAAACACUGAGGUCGAUGUAUUCAACUCCUCUUCCUCCCCCGAACUGUAGUCUUUGAAACCAAUAUUUUCUGUCUGGUCUAACGGUUAUGAAGUUCGGCUCACAAUCGUAAGAUUUUUUAAUUCCUAGACCGGGACGGUGCGAACAAAUGUAUGGUACAUGUUACCAAGCGAUACUGGUUCGUGAUUGAUGAGUUGUUGCACUGUACUACUUCCAGGAUAUAUUUUCCUAGUUCUGUGUUACUCUUUUUAUUCUAAGUGCUCCAUUCAUUUCUAUCUCAGAAAUAAUUCUAUUCUUUGACUACCUUGAUGGUAAAAUUAUUCUCAAGUGUUCAGUGUGGGAAUAUAGCGAUCCAGCAACUAUUUCCGUAUAAAAGUUUUUAUUUUAUCAAGUGACGAAGUUCAGCAAGAAACGGCCCAACUACGAAAACUCGUUUUUCUGAAGAUUGUUGUACAUUGUUGUGGCUAAGCUCUGAAUUGUUUGAGUAUUCUAUAAUGCAUUUUUAGACAUUUUAUUGAUAACAUUUAAAUACAAAGAAACAGAAAAAGAAAAACGAAGAAAAAGACUAUGCCUAUUAGCAAAUGUAUUCCAGCUAUAGACAUGCUAAACAUAGAAGAGACAAACAAGGCCAGACAAACGGAUUAAGUCGAUUACAUUGAUCCCAUUGGGUAACUGGCACUCAUUUCAAAUUUUUGCCACAAAGGCAGCUUGAAAAAGGUGAGGCUGAGUCAAUAACAUUGAUCCCACUGCGUAAAUGGUACUUCCAAUCGAUCCCGAAAGGAUGAAAGGCAAAAUCGACCUCAGCGGAAUUUGAAAUUUGAACGUUGCGGCAGACGAAAUAUCGCCAAGCUUUUCGCCCGACGGGCUAACGAUUCUGCCAGCUCGCCGCCUUACACACAGAAAGAGUGUAAUAUAAAGAAAUUUAGAUGCUGUGUCAUACCUUCUUGUUAACUCUUUUACAUACUUCCAUAAAUCUAUCUUUGUAAGGGAGAGUUUUUUUAUGAAUGAUAGAAUUCCAGCAUCUUUGGUUGCUAGACAGGUUUCAAAUGUUCAUACAAGGCCAGUAAUCCUAAGUGUGAAAUUUAGUUGAUUAUUUCGACCGCAGCGCUCACCUGGUACUUAUUUUAUCAAUUCCAUAGUGAUGGAUGGCAAAUUCAGCCUCGACGGAAUUUGAACACGGAAUAUAAUUAGCCACACUAACAACCGAUGAUAGAAACAAUUAACAGUAAGUCAUUGGUUCGUAAAAGUACUUACCCCGCCUUUCCUCUUGUCCAAUGAUUUAGCUAAUUAUUGGAUAAUUCAUAAUCAGAGAUAUUCAUCAAUAACUGAUCAGCCAUUUUUUUAUUUGCAGUUGGUACCAAUGAGAUCCAAGUAUUUUUGCAGUUACAAUAAACGAAGGAAAAGUUAGACGAUCUUGAGAAUUAUAUAUAUACACCACCCACGUGUGUGUGUAUGUGUGCGAGUGUGUGUUUUUACGUGAACGAAAAUUAUUUGCAACAGAAGUGGUCACUUGUUAAAACUACGUUGUUUUCGCACUUGUUUAUAAUUGCACAUUUAGCCUCACAAUAGUGUUCACACAAGUUAUUAAGUAUAUAAGCGCACACACAAACGCAGUUGUGCGUUUAUGAGCGCAUGUAUGUGUGUGUUUGUAUAUGUGUGGGUGGUUCUGUAUAUUUUUGUGUAUGUGUUUAUAUAUAUAUAUAUAUAUAUAUAUAUAUAUAUAUAAUAAUAAAUAUUAGGGAAUAAAUCCAAAUUUACAGUGGUUUUGUCUCGAAUUAAUAUUAUAUAUAUAUAUAUAUAUAUAUAUAUAUAUAUAUAUAGAGAGAGAGAGAGAGAUAUAUAGAUAGAUAGAUAGAUAGAUAGAUAGAUAGAUAGAUAGAUAGAUAGAUAGAUAGAUAGAUAGAUAGAUAGAUAGAUAGAUAGAUAGAAAUGGUAAAACAACGAAAGAAUGAAAGAGACCUCGAUAUUAUGUAAAUAGAGGAAUUUAUCUGUAAAUCAUAUAUAUACAUACUUACAUAAACAUGUACACACAUAUCCACAUACAAACAUAUAUACUUAUUCAGAUACUCAUUUACCACGUUCGCACACUGCCACCUACUUGCGCACAACUUCUGCAAAAGCAACCAUUCUCCCACGGAUAUUAUUUCUCCCACUGAACACACGCAUACACCAGCAUACAACCAUCCAUACAUACAUUCAAUCAUACGUACACACACAAACAUACAUACAUCCAUACAUACAUACAUACAUACAUACAUACAUACAUACAUACAUACAUACAUACAUACAUACAUACAUACAUACAUACAUGCAAGUACAUACAUGUUUACAUACAUACACCCGCAUACAUACACUGUCCAUUUAUUUCCUUCAAUUUAGCUUAGAACUAGAUUAUAGAAUCAUAAUUUCGCCUUCCUGAUUCUAUUAUUGCCAAGGGAAUCAUUAUUUAAGGUUCGUGCAGAAUGUAACUUUAGAGAAACCUUUAAAAACCUAUUAACUAUCUAGUUCAAACAAGGAUGAAUUAUGAAACCAUUGAAUAUCCACAGUUAAAUUCUAACACAAGUUCUUGCAUUAGAGUAAUACUGCAGCAAUUUAUUCAGUACGUGACCAAAUAUAUGAGGUCAUGAAUGAUAAAGAACCACGUGUCAUUUGGACCUAUUCACGACCUAGCUUUCUAUCUGCAUUGUAGCUGAAACUCUUUCUAUACACUGCUAAUGCUAAUAAGCAAGGAAUUACAACCACGCAUACUGUCACCAAUAAAUAAUGAGUCUCUCUUGCAUAAAUAAAGCUAUAAUCCGUUUUACUAUAGGCACAAGGCUUGGUAUUUUGGGGGAGGAUAUAGUGGACUACACCGAUGCCAAAUUCUGCCGAGGUCGACAUUGCAUUUUAUCCUUUCAGGGUCGAUAAAAUAUGUACCAGUUGAAUACUGGGGUCGAAUGAUCGACUUGUCCCCUCCCACCAAAAUUCAGGACUUGUGCCUUUAAUAGAAAGGAUUAUUAUUAUUAUUAAAGUGGCAAGCUGACGGAAUCGUUAGCACACAAGGCAAAAUGCUUCGCGGCAUUUCGUCCGUUUUUAGAUUCUGAGUUCAAAUUCUGCCGAUGUCGACUUUGCAUUUCAUCCUAUCGGGAUCGAUAAAAUAAGUACCAGUUGUGAACUGGGGUCGAUGUAAUCGACUUAUCCCAACAACCCGAACUUACUGAUCUCGUGUCAUAAUUUGAAACCAAUAAUAUUUUUCUGAAUAUGUUUAUAUUUCUUUUUCUUCAGAGUAUAGAAACUUGAUGUUGUGUCAUUUAUGCUUUAUCAAACAGCAUCAGCAACCCAAGUUAAGUAUAAAUAUCAGGAAGUGAAACUGUGUUUUAUCACAGACAUCUGACGCUUACAUCUUACGUUGCCACACUUGUCGCUUCUCUCUGUUUUAAAGUCAUAUGUAACUGCUACAGUGAUCGGAGUUUUCUAUAUUAAGCUACUCUCUUCCACAAAAACAAGGGAAAACAAAAUAAAAUGAAGUAAAACGGAAUAUUAGGGCAGAACCAAUAAUAUCUAUUUGAUAGAUCGCUUCGAAUACAUUUUAAUAAUCUUUUUACAAUCGGUUUUAUUACUUCAUCUAUUUAUUUUGUCUUUCCUUACUAUUUCUAUAGAACCAAUUUCGUCCACCAAAAAAGCAUCAUAACGGAUACACAUACACAUAAACAUUACACACACAUACACACACACACACUCACGCACACACAAAAUAUUCGAUAACAUCGGACAUAUAUAUCGAUCCGGAAUUAUCUUAACACUGUUGCAGCGUUAUUUUAUUCACUCGUUCUUAUCAAUGUUGAAAACGAAAUAUCGGUAUGUUUAACGUUUUAUUACCUCCAGCCUAAAUCUUUUGAUUGGGGUAAUAAAUACAGGGUUAAUGAAGAACUUGAAGGGAAUGGCAGCUGCGAGAAUCAUUAGUUUGUUAAUUUAAAAGAUCGUGCUUGAUAUCCCACCACAAGUAGUGUGAUGGCAAAGGCACGCAGUUGUAAAUACGUGUCACAAAGUAAUGCAUCUCACGAGUAAAGCAGCGUGCGAGUAUAAGAUUCAUAAUGUUUUAUUUGAACUGAAACUACAAUUUCUAAAGUACUACACUAAGAUUUUCAUAUUUACGAUUUCAAACUUGGUAAGAGCUAUCUUGAAGCGUAAAAUCAUUGUAACUGCAUAAGGGUUAUUCACGCCAUUGUGCUACAUAUUAUAUAAAUAAGUACAAUGUUGGACCACACGAUUAGUUGCUCGUAUGAAAAGACGUUUGUAUCUCAUUAUUUUAUAUUGUACCAUGAUUUCCGUUAGUAAUUAAACUUCCAUUAUGUAUUUUCUUACGAGUAAUUUUCAGAUUAUUUGGCCCAAGGGACUAAUUUUAGCAAUACCAGCUUUUGUAUCAGCCUGAAACAUGUGCCAAAGAAAAGUGAUGUUUGUUGAUCACAGUAAACAGCAGAAAAGUUGCUUAAUUAUCAAAUAUUUUGUUUAUGGACCUAAAAAAUCUUCAGUGGACGAAGACAAUACGAGAAAGAAAAGGAAUUUCAAUCGAGGCAUAACAGUGCAUAAGUCAUUUCAUUUCAUUUUAUUCAUAGUGGACACUGAAGUAGGACUUUGUUAGUAUUCUUUAAACUGACAAUACAAUCAGGAUAUUAAUUAAGAUAUUAGUUUUCUUCAUGGCGUCUUUCCCAUCUUCUACACGAUUUAAGGUAUUAAAUCAAUAUUUCCAGGCCUGCGAGAGAUCAGCUUAACCACUGUGGUUUUUAACAUUCACAUCGUAAAAUCCUAUCAUUAUGAACUUAAAGAUUAUCGUAUCGAAAUUGCCCUUAUUAACUGCAGCAUUCUUUAAUGGACGGAAGCGCAGAGCACCGGAAAAUAUACAACACUGAAACCAUGCUUGAGUAAGGUAUUUGACUUUCAUACAUUCAAGGUCGAUACAACAAUUAAUAGUUUAGAUUCAGCAGGCUAUACACCUGUCCGAUCUUGUACUUAUAUAACAAAUUAUUUUGAACAACGCAGCGACAUUGUAUGCUAGUUAUUUACUACAUGGUGUGUGUGCGUGUGUGAACGACAUAAAAAUCUGUCUUAUUCCCAAAUGAAACGUAGAUUUAACAUUGAUGAGGAUUUUUCUCAUUUUUAAUGAAUAUGCCAAUUGUGUUCUUUCAAAUAAACUUUAUAAUCAAUAACAAAGGUAGCACCCAACACAUCACUUUUCUACUACUAUAUACUCUGUUCCCGAAAAUUCACUUUACAUUUUACAGCUCCACACAAUCAUAUUCUAAUUGACCAAGUCUGGCAUUAAUUAAUAGUAAUUGUAAUCUUUACCUACAUGCUAAUACUCUGGGAGGAAACAGAUCCACAAUAUUUAUCUUAGGUAAAAAGAAAUACUGAAUUUUCAAAUGUUACUAAUAUCAGAGAGGACAGCAUUAGUUGCGUAGAACGUUAAAUUUGCAUUUUUCACUAUAUUCAUAUAUAAUGCAUAUAUAAAUAUAUGGAUAUAUGUAGUAUGCAUGUAUGUAUGUAUAUAUGUAUAUAUGUAUAUAUAUAUAUAUAUAUAUAUAUAUAUAUAUAUAUAUAUAUAUAUAUAUAUAUAUAUAUAUAUAUAUAUAUAUAUAUGAGGUAAGGUUGAAAAGUGCUACACUUUUAUAAAUACAUACAUACAUACGUAUGUAUGCAUAUAUGUAUGUGCGCAUAUAUGUAUGUAUUAAAUAAUAUGUGUAUGUUUGUGAAAUGUAAGGAUAAGAUGGAGAAUUAAGAAAUCAAAUGACCUCUUAGUUCUACCCCUUUGUAAUUACUUAUGUCUCCGCGUAAACUGGGACCUUUCUCUGGUCUUUGCAUGCUGUUUAAUAUGAAAAUCUACUUUUCUGGAAAAAUGGACGGUCUUUAUGAAGACGAUGAGCUCCUAAUUCUAAAUAAUUUCAGCCCAUGCGCCACUGAUUGAUUCAAAAAGAGAAACUCAAGGACUUCUUUAAGUUCUUACAUUUCUGAAUAACCGUCGAAGCUCAUCUCAGAAAAGUGAGCUAUCUUAAUGUUUCCUUUGAUUAUUUUAACUACAUAUCUAAACAAUCACUAAAUUUUUUCGAUAGACACUGUAACUUCCCUAGACAUAAUAUUAACUAACUUAUAGCGAACAUUUCACUUCGGCUUUUAGCUAAUGAACGUAUUUUUGACAACGCGUCUCAGAGGAUAAAAUUCUGCCUCAUGACAUCUCCUAAACAACACCCCAAUAAAAACAAUAACAGGAAAAGAAACAACCUGAUUCUAAUUUCCCUUCAGCAUUACAGUAUCUUCAAUGAUGUCUCAAAUCUUUUUUAAACUUCUUACGAAGUCUUUCUCCUUAAACCAUAAACCUUUCACAAAAAUUCUAUUGAGCCUUCGUAUUCAACCACUCAAAAUAUAACAAAAUCAUUAGCCCACCAAACACCGGCUCGUGCAACUAGAAAUGCCAUCUAAAUGCCUUCUGAAAUCUAAUUGCAUUGCUGGAGGUGUUAUAUGCCAUUACGUAGAUAACACUAAUGGUAAUGCAAAAGCAUGCAUCGUUAUUACUCAAGGUUUCAUUCGCACAUGCAUUCCUUUAAAACCCAUAACAGAAACGAACAUCUUUCGUUUUCCAAAGAACAUUUCAAUAUAACAUCAUUUCAAACGUAGUAUAUUUAUCAGAGGAAAGCAUAUGAAGAGAUUAAUAAUCCCAGAAAUCUUUGUACCGUAGAAGGGUACCACAUUCUUUCUACAAAGACCCCAUUACUCGACUACCAUUUAGCAAACAUUCCGAAAAGCAUUAACAGAAAAUGUACGCCACAUUUAUUUUACAAGUCGAUCAUCUCCCACAUCGCAAACAAUGGCCUAUAUCUCUGCAAGCGUGCCUACAUAAGUUAGGUCUUUACGUAUUAUUUCUUUACGUUAUUCCAUUCAUGAAAUAUUUCAUGCUCUUAAUUCAUUUCCUGACUGAUAGGUUUUCACCUUCACCAUUAUGGACUGCUGCAAAUCGAUCAACGCUAACCACGUAUUAACGUGUAAGACUUUUUUAGAUUUGUUUUGUUUUGUCUUUUUUUUUUUACAAGUUCAACCAAUUUCAUUCAUGUUUCAUCUUUAUUCCAUUUUUCUCGACAUUCUAAGAUGAAUUGCUGGAAUGGCUCUCCCAUUGCCACUAAAUCAACAAGGCUGAAGACGUGUAUAUGAAUUCAUGGAUACAUCUUAGCUUCUAAAAAUGCCUUUUUAACCACACUCGGCUGUAAUAUACAUGUGUGCGCGCGUGACUCCCUACACGUACACAUAAUAUAUGUAUGUCUGUAUGUAUAUAUAUGUGUGUGUAUGUGUAUGUGUGUGUAUGUAUAUAUAUAUAUGCAUAUAUAUAUAUAUAUGUAUAUAUAUAUAUAUACAUAUAUAUACAUAUAUACAUAUAUAUAUACAUAUAUAUACAUAUAUACAUAUAUAUAUAUAUAUAUAUAUAUAUAUAUAUAUAUGUAGUUUAAUAAACUGAAGCUGUUGAGUCGUCGGGGUUUUACGUAGGCAACUGAAUACAGUGUCCUUCAGCGUCUUGCUACCUUGGCAAUAUGUAUACUAUUAUUUACAGGGUAUAUAUAUACAUGUAUAUAUAUACAUUAUAUAUAUAUAUAUAUAUAUAUAUAUAUAUAUAUAUAUAUAUAUAUAUAUAUAUAUAAUGUAUACAUAUAUAUAUAUAUACAGGGUGCCUAUUGUCGUCUAAAUUAUGCAAAAAUGAAAAUAACACUGACAUCUCAUUUUAACAGAUAUAUUUACAUAAAAUAUAUCUUGAGAUAUUAAAUAAAAUCACCAUUGGCUUCAACUACGGCCUCCAAACGACUUCGGAAUCUCCUGCAACUCUUUUGGACAGUCUUCUUGUUUAGCUUGGUCAAUGCUGCCAUAAUCCUUGCCUUCAGUUCAUCUUUGGUGUUACAAGGAGUUUUGUUGGUCUCUCGCUCAACGGCGCCCCAUACAACUGGUUGCAGUUUGGGCAGUUAGGUGGUCAGAUUUUAGGAAUGAUGUGGUCGCAGAAAUUGUCUGAGAGUCAUGACUGGAUAAUUCUGCUUGUGUGGCAUGGUGCAGAGUCCCGUUGCCAGACAUAUGAGCUUCCAGUAGCCACCCUCUUGACCUAGUGCAGCACUACGUCCUCCAGCCACUUGAUGUAGGCCACUAUGUUGAGUUUGUGGCCGUGUGGGAUGAUGAACGGAGGUAUAACGUCUCCAUCACUAGUGAUAUCUCCAAACACCAUGAUACUGACUGGAUGUUUGAUUUUUAUCACUGUCGGUACAUGUCCCCAGAUUGCACUAUCCUCAAAUUGACACCCAGGCAUUCUGAAAUGUUCGUAUUGGAGCUUCCUUCGCGAAUGCCAAGUAGUACAGCAUGUCGUUUCCAAAUUUACAAGUCUGCAAAUAAUAAUAAUAAUAAUAAUAAUAAUAAUAAUAAUAAUAAUAAUAAUAAUAAUAAUAUUUUGUAAGCGCAAAACUUAUAAGCAAUUACCGUGCAAUCACUAACGAAAAUAAUUUAAUAUUUGGGCAUGUAAGCCCUCGACUACGAGAACCCUGUUUUAUUUUCGUCGAGGGCUUAUAUACCCCAAUAUUAGAGUAUUUCCUUUAGUUAUUGCACGGUGAUCGUUUAUAAGCUUAAUGCUUAUCAAGUAUUACUAUUAUUUACAGGAUAUAUAUAUAUAUAUAUAUAUAUAUAUAGUGAAAGGGGUACAGUGAUCUUGCUGUGAAGAGUGGAAUAUCCAACGUUUCGGAUUCAUUCCUUCGUCAGGGGGCAGAGAAAGAGAAAAGAUAAAUAAAGAGAAAAAUGUCAAACAGAGUUUAGAUCAUCUCAGCUUGAAAAACUGGCUGUAACUGAUAAUGGACGCAUAAUAAUACGGGCUGCUAACGUAUAACAGAAGUUAUUGAAGAGGGCGUGCUGAAAGGAGAAGGAAAAGAAUGAUGGUGUGAGUAGAGGUAAGAAAAUCCGGGAAUGUAACAGAGAGAAGGUGGAAGGAAGUUUAAAAACGGUAAAAAAGAAUUAAGACGACAUUAAAAUAAUGAAAGGAAAAACGUUCACUCAUACCUGUUGGGGACAUAGUGCCAAGAUCAAAUAUGAGACGUUGCUCCUUUCGUUUUCUGUAGAGUGGUCGAAGGCGAAGAAAUUGAGAGAAAAGUAUGGCAGAUCUAACGUGUUUAGUGUGAUAGGAAGAGUGCUGGGAGCUAGGAGUGGGAGUCAGUAGGUUUAUAGUAGAUAGAGGUGGAGAGGUGGGUAUUGUGUAUUUUAACGGAGAUGUCCAGAAAGCAAACAGAUGUAUCAGAUAUGGUACGGGUGAAUUCCAAGGCUGGGUGAAAGGUGCUAAAAAAAGAAAUAAAAUCGUUGAGCUAUUGUCUGUUAAGGCAUGUAGUGCCAAUGCAGUCGGAAAUGUAACGACCAUAUAGCUCUAGGAUGGGUCCAGUCCCACUCCUACCUGCAGUCCUUUUCCUCUCACCCCAAACACAUUAAAUCUGCCACACCUUACUCUCAAUUUCUUCGCCUUCGACGACUUUACAGUAUCGAAUCGGAUUUCGAAUCCCAUUGCAAAACGAUGUGACAGUUUUUUUCUAUAUCGAAGGUAACCUCCAUCAGUUGUCGAACUGGCACUCCACCCAACCCGACCCAUCAACCGCAUUUCAGCUCUCUUAUCAUCUUCACGCACUUCCACUGAACCGUAUUCCCCCCCUCUCUCUCUCUCACCUUACCACCGGUCCAUCCUUCCUCUACAGCUCAAACUCACCCACUACUUUAGUAGUCUCUUUCCUGACCAAACAAUCGCCCCUGUCUUUUUCACACCGCCUAUACUGUCUUUAUGUAUGUAUAUAUGUAUAUAUAUUCAGACAUACAUACAUACACACACACAUAUAUAUAUAUAUAUAUAUAUAUAUAUAUAUAUAUAUAUAUAUAUUCAUAUGUAUAUGCUUAUAUAUGUGUAUGAGGAAUUAUGAUGAUAAACACAUGUUCAUAUCACUUGUUCUUUCUCUGCAUUUUAUCAUUAUGGUUAUUUGCAUCCUCUGCAUUAAAUAGUCCAUUCGAUGCGGUACCACGACGGAUCAUCAUUAUGUUACACAACUAAGGGUUUUGAACCUGUGCAACUAAAAGUCAUUGUAGAUGAAACGCCGCGGAAAACAGUAAAUAUUAGGAAGAGUUGAUUCUACGUGCGACUAGAAGAUAUCUUUCAGAAGAAAAUUAUACACAGUGUAUCAAGUUUAUCACGGUUAGAGAGAAAACAUAGGUUAGUGAUAAAGGAUGAAAUACAGUGGAAUGAGGAUAAGAAGUGUUGAUUGUGUGUUAGUUGGAGUUAGUUGGCAUAACUAAUGAUGGGUUGAUGCCAGUAGAUGUUUAUCUUGAGGAUACAGGCUCGCAUCGCAUAUUUAUUGUUUUUCGUUUAUUUUCACAUGUUUGAUAUGCUUUAGCGUAGUUUUGGUGUUAGAGGAGAAAUAGGCAACUAUGGCUCAUGAGAUGUCUGUUAACUACUAGCCUGAGCCCUGAAAGUAGAGCUGGUUAUGAUGAUAUCUGGUCCCUUUACUAUUUCAAGUAAACAAGAGAGCUUCUGCCUUUUCGCUUGAUUUGCUCGAAAAGCAGCCACACUUCCAUCAAAUAAUCUUCUACUGUUUUAGAAAAGUCCCUCUAGUAAUAUCCUAUGGUCGUAGAAAAGGACGCAUGGGUUCCCUACGCGUAAAGGACAAAGUAGUCAUGACUAGAAUGUCUUAGAUCAUAAGCUUAGUCGACCACGACUAACCUAGGGUUAAAUAUUAAUAACAUCAGGAUUUAAAUAUUUUCUCAAAUUAUAUAUUGUAUUUGAAGAGAAAAAAGACUAUUAGCUUCCCCUGUUGUUAACAUUUAUCAUACAAUUCUCUGAUAGAAACAGAUCUGUGUCAGGUUCCUUUCAUACAAUUUUCAGUGCCUCUAUAUAAACAUCCCUCAACAUAGAUUUUUAACCUGCACGUAAUUUAUGUCGCCCAUUAAGUAUAUGAACCGGAAAUUACUGUUACGACUUUGAUAUUAAGAAUUUUAAAAAAUAUAGAAAUAAAUUGGACAUUUAUUGAGUGUCAAAAGAUUAUAAAGAAUUACAAAAGAGAAAAAAAAGAGCAAAUGGUGCUAAAAGAUAGAACUCAACUCACCUCGGUUAUUAAUCUUGCUGAAUCUAUUUUCAUACAAUAGAAUUACAGUAAAUACAUACAUUUGUACCCCGUUUUUCUUGAAACAUAGAAGUCGGUGGGGUCAACAGUUCCACAGUUACUACCACAGUGUCUUUCUUUAAUCUCGGAACAAUCUCAAUCGAUAGAUAUUUUCUCCUGAUACAGCGAAUAGUUAAUUGAUAUUAGGUGUUGCGUGUAACCUCACGUUUUACUUCUUAACCUAUUGUUUGACGGCCACCGCUAUUCUUAGUACAUUUGAAAUUAACCAUCUGUUGUCAGCAUCCCAAUGCACAAACAUUAAGAAUGAUAAUUUCAUUAUUAUAGUUGUUGUUGUUGUUGUUAUAAUAAUAAUAAUUAUUAGUAGUAGUAUUAUUAAAGCAACGAGCUGACAAUCGUUAGCACGCCGGGAAAAAUACUAUGCGGUAGUAUUUUCGAGCCUCGUGCCAAGAGAAGAAAAGAAUCGUUAGCAGGCCAGGCAAAAUUCUUCGUCCGUCUUCAUGUUCUAAGUUCAAAUUCCGCCGAGGUCGACUUUGCCUUUCAUCCUUUCGGGGUUGAUUAAAUAAGUACCAGUUUAUGCACUGGGAUCGAUGUAAUCAAUUUAAUCCCUUCCUCCAAAUUUGAGGCAUUGAGCUUCCAAUAGAAAGGAUUGUUACUGUAAUUAUUAUUUAGGCAGCGAGCUGACAGAAUCGUUAGCACGCCGGGCAAAAUGCUAUGCGGAAUUUCGUCCGUCUUCAUGUUCUGAGUUCAAAUUCCGCAGAGGUCGACUUUGCCUUUCAUCCUUUCGGGGUCGAUGAAAUAUGUACUAUUACGCACUGGAGUCGAUAUAAUCGUCUAAUUCCCUCCCGCAAAAUUUCAGGUCUUGUGCCUUUAGUAGAAAGUGUUGUUGUUGUUAUUAUUAUUAUUAUUAUUAUUAUUAUUAUUAUUAUUAUUAUUAUUAUUGUCAUUUACAUUUAAUCUGCAUGUUUAUGCAAUCACUUGCCGGGGCGCACCCAGCGCCCUAGGGGCAACUGAAGGUUAAGAGUUGUUGAAAUAUAGCUGAAAGCUUGGGGAGGGGAAGUAGAGAAAUAUUUCCAUGUAAUACAACAAACAUUUACAUUGAUAGGGUUUUUCUAAGGAUGUGGGCAGUGCUUGUUAGCACAAUCUUUUGGAUUUCCUUGAGACAUGGUUCUCCAGGGAUAUUGUCUAGGUGUUUCUGACAUCCCUUUUUUUAUCACACCUAGGGCACCUACAAUAACAGGAACAGAUUUUGUUUUAAGAUUCCACAUCUUUUGUAUUUCGAUUUCCAGGUCCUUAUAUUUACUAAGUUUGUCAAAUUCCUUUACAGAUAUAUUCUUAUCAGUGGGGACGCUUACCUCUAUUAACCUGCAGGUAUUUUCUUCCCUUAUUAUUAUUAUCAUUAUUAUUAUUAUUAUUAUUAUUAUUAUUAUUAGGCGAUCUCUUAAGAUCGGUAACACGUUGGGAAAAAUGUUUAGCGGUAUUUCGUCCACCUUUAAAAUAAGUACCAUUAUUUGUAUUUGACGGAUAUUUGUCCUCAUCUUGUUUGUUAUUAAUACAUCGUUUCGGCUGAUAUACCCUCCAGCCUUCAUCGGAUGUCUUGGGGAAUUUUCGAACCUGGGUUAUUAUUAUUAUUAUUAUUAUUAUUAUUAUUAUUAUUAUUAUUAUUAUUAUUAUUAUUAUUAUUAUCAACUGCAUUACUUUAGGCUUUACGUCUGAGUUCAAAUUCCGUCGAGGUCGAAUUUGCGUUUCACUCUUUUGGGGUGGAUAAAAUAAUUACCAGUUGAACACUAAGGUCCAUGUAGUCGAAUUAUCCCUUCCUUACAGCUUGUGCCAAAGUUUGAAUUAUUAUUAUUAUUACUACUACUACUACUACUACUACUAUAGUUGUUGUUAUUGUUGCUGUUGUUACUACUACUACUACUACUACUACUACUACUACUACUAUAAUUAUUUUAUUCAUUAGCAUAACACAUCGGACGUGUUUUCGAACGCUCCAAGUAAGUUCAUCUCAAAAAUAUUUAUUUACACCAGUUUUGGUGUCUGUCUUUUUGCAAUAAUUGUUUUAUUCCAAGUUGUGAAUGGAAGCACCAGGAACCUAUUACUGGUUUUAUAUGGUUGGGUAACCCCCAGAGGGGCGAUUUUCGGCCCACCAAAUAAAUUCGAUGGGUGUCAAAAUUUAAUGGAAUCAAUACAACUCAACAAGAUGGCGGAACGCGUCUUGAAAGAGUUGAGGAAGAACAAAUCAGACUCUCCUACAAAUAUGGUAAUAGAUGAAGACUUUCCUCCCCUUCUCUCUGUCACAGGCAGCAAUACAGGCGAAGGGGAAGAAAGAGAAAAACAAGACUGACAUGGUACAAAGUACAAGGAAAAGUAACAAUAGUAGCAGUAACACUAACAGCAGCAGCCGUGGAGGCGCAAUGGCCCUAUGGUUAGGGCAGCGGACUCGCGGUCGAAGGAUCACGGUUUCGAUUCCCCGACCGAGCGUUGUGUGUGUUUAUUGAGCGGCAGGGGGUGGUGGCGACCCCUGUUGUACUCUUUCGCUCCAACAUUCUCUCACUCUUUCUUCCUGUUUCUUGUCCCCGACUUCCUACGCAACCGCUGAGCCUGGAUGCGCAUUCAUCCAUCCGUCGGUGCUUUCUCUUCUGCGGACCUUACGAAUAGCAAAGGACCACGUUUCAGACUUCUCCCACUGGGACGAAGACCGCUUCGCUCAACAACAACAGCAGCAGCCGCAACAUUGACGGCAGCUGCAGCAGUAGUAGUAGUGAGAGCAGCAACAACCACGAAAAAAUAAGCAACAGCCGUGGCAGUAGCAAUAAGAACAACAACGAGAGCAAAAGUAACGACAGCAACAUCAAUAAGAACAACAACAACAACGACAGCAGCAGCAACAGUGACAACAACAAAAGCAACGACGAAAACAAUGCAAAUAAAAAUAUCAAAAUUAGUUUUGCAGCAGCAGCAGCAGCCAAGACUAAACACCGAUAUACUGUCGACCUUACAAAUACGGAGCAGAUGCUCCCAGAGGCAUGGAAACUAAUUAAUCAAGAGAACAGUUGGACAAAUCUCACGAUCCUAUCAGAGGCAACUGAAACGGUGGAGAGAAGAACGGUGCUUUUUAGAUGCAUCUCAGCAGCCAAAAAAAAAAUAAAGCGGCUUUGAUAACCCAAGUAGAUACUGAGGCGGUGCUGAGGUGCAUAAGAAAUGACAUCGGAUACAUAGCGAGGGGCAAACAACGGCACUCUUUCGAUGCUGUUUAAAUCAGAAGACCUCUCUGUGAAAUAUUCAAUUACCCACUACAAAACAAGCAAACUCAUCAUGUACCCCCCCACACACACACACUUGGGGAAACGUACAGCCCGUGUCCGCAUUCCUAAAAUCCACCCAGGACUAGAUAUUUGGUGGCUUCUGAGAUGCGUAAUCGUGGAGGGGGCGGACACUGUUUCUAUAGACGCAACAAAAACUGCCAGGGAGGACUGGUCAGCUGUUGACCUGGAGAUACUUCACCAGAUCAGGCACGAAAACAUAAAAAAAAAAUCCCAGACCACAUUCAUCACCAGAACGGUGAUACAUAUCAUAACUGAGGGCAAAAGGCCUCAUUGUUUCAGGUGUGGAGAAACGAAUCACUUGGCUGCUCGCUGCCGCAUACAGACUCCACUGCUGCCUACGCUGGGACGAGAACCACAAACAUCACCAGCACUGGCCAAACCACCAGUAACAUCACCAAGCCCUCCCACCUCUUCACACCAAACAAAAAUACAUACAUAAAGAUUAUAAACAUACACACAGACACAGACACACUUAGAGCAACAGACCCUUCACCUUCCAGUAGUGAAGAUGAAGGAAAACCGAAAGGGCCAAAAAAAGCACAAAAGGAAAACUCCAUAAAGCAUAGCAACACCCAUAAUAAAAAAUACAAACACUAGAAAAAAAAAAAUAGAGAAGAGAAGUGGUUAGUAGCUAAACUAGAUGAAGCUAUUUGUAGUGGCAUUACAACUGACGUGCUAGCAAUGAGAAUGGCAUUAGACCAGUUCUUCAACGCGAAACAUGAAGGUUGCAUUGUGAGAGCGAAGGCGCGUGCUCUAAGAAAUGAGGGGAUCAAAGCUGUUCGAUGGGCACACAUGGCGGAGACGCAGCGUGGUAACAAAACCACAAUUUGGUCUUUGAUGGACCGAGACGGACACGUGCUGUGCGAUUCCAGGCAGAUGUGUGAGGCCUUUCGUCAGCACUUCGCUCGGUUGUUCGGACAGAGUGGUGAGGUGGAGAUGGUGGCGGACUUCAACUCCUACAUCUACGGCUUGCUGCGUCUCUCGACGGCCGACACUGAGCGUUGUGAAAGGCAUAUAACUCAGCCGAAAAUCAGGAUGCCCUUGUCGGUUGUAUGAAGCACAAGUCACCAGGUUUAGAUAAUCUACCCAAUUAUUAUUAUUAUUAUUAUUUAUUAUUAGUAGUAGUAGUAGUAGUAGUAGUAGUAGUAGUAGUAGUAGUAGUAGUAGUAUCAUCAUUAUUAUAAUUAUCAUUAUUAUUAUUUCCUCGUGUCUCUCAAAUCAUUCUCUAGUUCCUGAAGGAAAUAUGGUGUGUGUGAACCCGUGAUUGUUCUUAGUGAAAAUAUUGAAAAUUUUGAAAAUAUUGAAAGUAGUUUUGGCACAAUUCGUAGAAAACGUCUGAUAACUAGAACAUUUGUGUUGUGACUCCCAUUUAAGGCGCAAUAAAGAUCAUGAUAUAAAAAGAAACGUAUCACAGAAACUUAUAGUUAAAUCGACUUUAAAUCAAUUUAAACUACAGCAGACAAAAAUAGCUGCCAGGAAACUACUGGCGAAGUCUCGCGUGAUCGAGUCGAUAAGUUGCGGAAACGAAAGACAAAAGAUGCCACCUGCACAACACUGUCUAUUUCAAAGAAAAUUUAAGUUCGAAGUCAAUAAAAAAGAGUCAACAUGAUUGCUCGAUAUGCUAAAAAUAAAAGUCCAAUUUCUUUCAAUUUUUUUCUUUUCUUUUAGUGUUCCGAUUUUAAGAGGUUUUACAACAAAUAACAGCAAAAUUCAAAUUACACAUAACCAUCCAUAAAAGCGGUGGGUUGCGCAGACAUUUGAUAAAGUGGUCCUAAGUAAACCUAAAGAUGGAAUUGUGACGUUUGCUGUGCCUUUAAUGAGAUGUUUACGCAUUCAGAGCUGAACUUGUGUUAAUCUAUAACAGCAACAUAUUGGAUAAUGCUCUCCUGCAUUUACUAUGCUUGAUGAAUUGAAUACUUUUCGCAUUAACUCUAUCUAGCUUGUGGAUAAACAACAAUGUUUCCAUCUCAGUUGACAUUACCAUAAAUUGAGCGAUGCUGUUUAAGUGGAGAAGCUUAGGGUAGGGAGCAUUAUGAAAUUAAUGUUUCACUAGUAAUCUAUGAUGUCUUCUCAACCCGUGGAUACAGGUACACAUUCAUAAAAGUAUGGAUAUGCAAGUAUAAAUAGACAGACAAACAAACAGACACACAGACGGAUGGAUGGACGGACGGACGGAUGAAUAUAGAUAUAGAGAUUAAAAUAUGGGGAUGCACGCAUAAGUGACAACGAACCAGAAAAUAUUGAAACGUGAAGAAAUUGCAAGAAUGUGGACUAUGAGGGGAGUGUUUGUCGUUCUAGUAGUUGUAGUAACAUUCGGAGUACUAACAACCAGGUUCGAGAAAUCUGUCAGAGAAAUUGACAUGAGAGCAGAGAAAGCCCAAGAAACUGCACUGCUGGGGACAGCUAGGAUAUUGAGAUUGGUACUUCAAUGUUGAAAGUCUCCCACGAUAGCUAACAACCAAGUACCAAAGCAUAUAAUGUGUGGAAAGAGACCCUGUGAGACCUCUGACAGCAGGCUGCUGUCCGCUCUCACAGAACCUACCAGAGCAAACAAGAUCAAACGCUCUGAGAAGUUGCGACCCCCUUCGGUCAAGAAUGACCAUGGGAUUGCACCAAGGCACAAAUCUGGGCAAGGUUGUUUAUGGAAGACCAGCAGUCGCCCACGCAUACUAGCCUCUCCUCUCCACGCCACCGAUGUUUUCCAAGGGAAAGGCAAAGGCCGAUACAGUUAGGCACCAAUGACGUGGCAGCUCAUUUAUUAACGUGCAAGUGGCUGAGCACUCCACAGACAUGUGUACCCUUAACGUAGUUCUCGGCCUAGUCACACAGAGAGUGACAAGGCUGGCCCUUUGAAAUACAGGUUCAACAGAAACAGGAAGAACGAGUGAGAGAAAGUUGUGGGGAAAGAGUACAGCAGGGUUCACCACCACCACCUGCCGGAACCUCGUGGAGCUUUUAGGUGUUUUCGCUCAAUAAACACUCACGAUGCCCGAUCUGGGAAUCGAAACCGCAUUCCUACGACCGCGAGUCCGCUGCCCUAACCACUGGGCCAUUGAGCCUCCACAUUGCGCUCUGAGAAGUAAAACAAUAAUAAUAAUGUAUUUCUAAUAGUUAUAUAAAUGUAGAGAACAUGUACUUGUUCUCCUACACUGUAACUCCUCACACAAUAAUUUUAAAAUAAUACGAUUUUAUUUGGAAUAAGUUGCUAUUUAUAAGUUAGUAAAAUUCAUAAGGCUACAGGGGGAGGAAUGAAUAUCGAGUAAGAAGGUAUAAUAAAAUAAGGGGCUCAACUAGGAUUGUAACCUCUUCUAUUCACACUCACACAUAUAUAUGUAUAUAUGUACACACACACACAUACAUAUAUAUAUAAAUAUAUAUAUAUAUAUAUAUAUAUGUAUCUAUAUAUACAUAUAUAUAUACAUAUGUAUAUAUAUAUAUAUAUAUAUAUAUGUGUGUGUGUGUGUGUGUGUGUACGUGUAUGUGUGUAUGUGUUCACGUGAUAUACAUGUAUACAUAUAUAUGCGUGAAUAUGUGUGGAAGUUAACAAUUAUAUAUAAUUAACAAAUUUGUCAUUUCCACUUCUUACAGAGGUUUCAAUUAAUACUCAAUAGUUUAUUCUGCUGAAAUAAAUUGAUAGGUUCACAUUUAGCAUCCGAAGGUACAUCUUUUUUCUUUUUUCUUUGAUGAAAUUAUGCUCAUGUCACAGAAAUUUAAAUUUAAUGUACACAUUUGUAAUUAAAUUAUUGAGUAUUAAUAGAAACGGCUGUAAGAAGCGAAGAUGACCAAUUUGUUAAUAAUAAAUAAUUGUUAACUUCCUUAUCUCCAUUUUCUUUUCUUCUUCUAUCAGGAUAUAAACUAUAUGCUUAAUAAUUACCUAACGUUCUUAAGGGUAUUUCAUUCCCCCAAAUACUUGGUAUUGAACUAGUAUGAGCAAGUAAUUCGGUUGACCUGAAAGCUGAACCCUCAUAGUUGAAAACGUUGUAGAACCAGCAACUUUUGCAACAGAAGUAUGUUAUUUGAGUAAUAAUAAUGUUCCACUCAUUCUCCUAAUUGCAAACAAAGCAAUUGCAAUAUUUUUUGAAUAGAUAAUGUGUGUGCAUAGCAAAAAUUGACGAAUGAGAUUAAAGGAGGAAGUGAAUAUAUAAUAUGUAUUUAAAUUGAGCUGAAAAUCUCAAUGAAUUGAAAACUCGCACACAUGCACACACAUGCGCGAGCGCCUGUGUUCCUAUGAGUAUGAGUACAUAUAUAUAUAUAUAUAUAUAUAUAUAUAUAUAUACAUACAUACAUACAUAUAUAUCUGUAUAUACAAACAUAUAUAUAUACAUACAUAUAUAUACGUACAUAUAUAUAUAAACAUAUAUACAUAUAUACACAUAUAUAUAUAUAUAUAUAUAUAUAUAUAUAUAUAUGUAUAUAUACAUAUACAUAUAUAUCCGUAUGCAUAUUUAUAUACAUGCAUCUAUAUACAUACACACGUGCAUACAUAUAUAUACACACACACUUGUUUGCUUGUGUGUGCGUGUGUAUGUGUGUGUAUACGUGUAUGUGUGUGUGUGUUUGAUGUGUGUGUGUGUGUGUGUGUGUGUGUGUGUGUGUGUGUGUGUGUGUGUGUGUGUGUGUGUGUGUGUGUGUGUGUAAUUGGGUGGCAUUUUUGAUUUUGUAUGAUUUCUAAAGUGACUAUAAACACUAAACACGUCAUUGAUUAUUUUAAAUCAAAAUAAUGAAAUACGAAGAAUUUUUUAAAAGUAGGAACGUAACUAGAAGAUGAGUUGUACAGCUCUGAAUUACACCAUGACUUGAAUGAAUUUAACUGACACUAAACAUAAACAGUGUUGUAAAAUUGAGAUAUAAAAAAGUGCAUGAAUUUGUGUAUUAUAAUUGAAAAUUGUGCAUACUACUGUCCGUCCUACAAUGUACAUAUAUAUAUUUAGAUAUAGGCUUCUACAAAAACACAUAUCAAAAUAUAUAUACGUAAAUACUUGGAGUGUGUGUGUGGACAUAUGUUUGUGUAUAUAUAAACAUGUAAUACGUACAAAUAUAUAUAUAUAAAUAGAUUGGUAGGUAUAUACACACAACCACUUAUAUGUGUUCAAACACACAUAUACAUACACACACACACAUAUAUAAAUAUAUAUAUAUAUACAUGCAUAUAUAUGUCUAUAUAUAGACAUGUAAUGCAUACAAAUAUACAUACAAAGAGAUAGAUAUGCAGACACACAUAUACACAUGUACAUAUGUACACAUAUAUAUAUAUAUAUAUACACAUACAUGCACAUAUAUGUAUGUAUAAAUGCAUGUAUAUAUAUAUAUAUAUAUAUAUAUAUAUGCGUGUGUGUUGUGUGUGUAUACAGAAGUGUACCCAUGUAUUUGUAUGUAUAUAAUUGUGUGAGUGUGAAUAUGUGGAGUGUGUGUGUUCUUUUAACACUGAUUCUCAGCUCAAUUUAACUACAAUUUGAAUGUCUGACUUCCCUUUCUUUUUUUCGAUCUCACUUGAUGCGCUCGAAUUUCGUAAAAACUUUUAUUACCCACGAGCUUUAUCUAUUGCGAAAUUGCAAUUGCGUCUGUUUGCAAUUAGCAGAAAGGCAAGGCAGUAUUAUGACUCGGAUAACGCAGCUUUCUUUAUUGCUGUUAUUAACGAAUAAUAUUGGUCGAUCACUGAAGAAACACUUUCAAUGAUUUUAAUGCAGUACUGCUGAGAUAGAAGAGAAAACGCAUUGAUAAAGAAAAUACAAGAGAGGUAGAGAGAGAGAGAGAGAGAGAGAGAGAGAGAGUGAGAGUCUGAAAGAGACUAAAACGGAGGGUGAAUGAGAAAGCGAUUGAGAGAGAGAAAUGCGUAGUUAAGGGUUGAAUUACUGGAAUGUCGAAAUGUCUUGUUGGAGAGGAAGUUAACGAAUGAUACCAGAUUAAUGUUAUCUGAGUGUUAUGGUAGAUUGGCGUAUUCUGUGUUAGAGACUGAAGGAGUUGGGAGGAGGCUGGAAGAGGUUGAGUCGUGGCAAAAUAAUCACAAGACAGUAUCGAGAGAAUGACAGAGGUGGUGGUGGUGGUGGUGGUAGUAGUCGUGGUGAAUAUGAGAGAAAUAUUUCCGGUUUGAAAACAGAUUAGUGAGAAUAGAUAAACUCUAUUCACACUAAUAUAUAUGUAUGUAUGUAUGUAUGUAUGUAUGUAUGUAUGUAUGUAUGUAUUCAUUUACUUGUUUCAGUCAUUUGACUGGGGCUAUGCUGAAGCACCACCUUUUAGU
rnacentral:lncRNA from 1 species